rnacentral:lncRNA from 1 species
UGAGUCUAUCGAGCCUCCGCCUGCUGCAGUAGGAGAUCCUCCAGGCGCUUCAUCAGCGCCUCCUGUCGGCGCGCCGCCUCAGUCUGCUAUGCCAUCAUAUCAGUGAGGGCCGCAAGCUGGCCCCUCAACUCUCGGACCUUGCCAGAUCCGGAGGUAGCGGAGGUCUUGACCUCCUCCAAGUUUGCCGCAUUGUCCGCUCCAGCAGAUUGAGAGCGUGUGAUUGGCAUCGCACUACAACAUCAUAAAAGCGCAAGUUAGUAAAACUCACGCUGUCGCAUCCCCACUCAACAUAGAAUACCCAAAUCAUGCGAAAGUAAAGAAGUGUUCUUCACCACUAACUCCCGAUGUUACAUUGUCGGCCGCCAACGUAACCCUCCGCGAAGUUAGAGGCCAUACACUUCGAUCAACUCCAACUUUUUAGAGUUAUCAAGAUACCCAAUCAUGAUACUUUCGCUCACAAGUCAAAUAGACCUCGUCUCUCACGAGCCUAUUUCCUAUAGUCCAACCGGCCUAAGGUUUGCUAGGUCCACUAAGACUCAACCCUAGGCUCUGAUACCAAAUUAAUCUGUAACGCCCCGGAACUCAGCGGAAGCCCGCCCGGCACGUGCACAGACCCGCCAUACGUCUAAAACAUAUAAGGCGUCUAAAACAAAACAAUAAAUGAGACAAUAAAAGAAAACAACUAGAAGUAUUAGAGCAAUAUAUAUCAUCUAGAAACUGAAGCAAUGUGAAGAGUAGAGAGCUAAAACCACUAAAUAAACGAUAAAGUAGUACAACCAAAGGUCCAAAUACAAGUGCUAAAAGAGUACAUAGGUGGUCUCUAUACAUGGUAACACAAAAACUCUCGCUCUCCUAAAAUACAAAGAGAGGGAACCACCUAAGAGCAUAAGUAAAUCCUCGCUAUCUAGCUAGCAAUCCCCUUGCCGCGGUCCCGUGCCUCCGCCGGUGCAGAGGGCUCUGAAAGAAAAACAUAAAAUAGAGGGCAUGAGAACUAUUAAAUAAUAGUUCCCAGUGGGCAAUUACUGACUUCAGUGAAAUGCACCACUAGGCCCAAAACUAAGCAAGGUAAGUAAGGCCGGUAAGAAUAAUAUGAACAAUUAAAUCGCUGAAAUGGAAGCUCAAUAUAGCAUGAAGUCUCUACUUUCAUCAAUAAUAAUCUACCACAUGGUCUCUACUUAGCAUGGAUUUGCAUAAGUAAUAAUCUAUCACAUAAUCUCUACUUAGCAUGAAUUUGCAUAAGUAUGAAAGCAACUACUACAAGUAAGUGCACAAGAGUAUCCAACAUGUAAAUGCAUAAGUAUGCAACUAACCCAAUGUCCACAAUGUAAAUAAUAAAGAUGUCAAUGUUUACUAUUCUAGUCAAUGUCCAAAAGGUACAAUAUGUCACCAGUAACCCAAUCCUGUGGAAGCUACCCGUAGGUAGUCCGACCUGGGUCGUGCCAACAAUGGCCCUGUGGUAGUCAACAUCCCCACUCUAGGAAUGAGCCUCCCCCACGGCAUCCCAUUUUGGCGCCCAAUCCCGCACGGGUGAGCAUAUGUCGCGAUGGCUAUCUCCGGAGUGCCGACUUGUAGGGAGCGACCCCCACAAGUAUGUGCGAAUGAGCACAAUGGCAUGCAAGCGAAUAAGUCCGUCUCAGGUCCCAGUGGUUCAUCACUGUUUCAUCGGAUCUAAAACCCGGAAUACAGCACAUGUUCCGAAGGCCCGCCUCUAUAUCAUCGUGUCUAAAACACGGAAUAUAGUAACUGUCUCAAUGGCCUAUCUCUGUGUCAUCAUGUCUAAAACAUGGAAUAUAGCAGAUUUCUAGUGGCCUAUCAUCAUGUCUCUAAGUUGCAGUUCAACAGUUUUCUAGUUCAAGUGCCCCUUUACGGCAUUCUAGUUUACUAUAAUCAAACAUGAGUUUAAUGUUCAUGAAUACAUAUUUUAACCAUCUUCCACACAUGCAACAUGUUUUCCCGACUUGGAAAAGAGAAUACUCUAAACAUGCAUGUACAAUACACAUAAUGCUCUACCAUAUAGAGACGGAUUUUCAUGAUACACAACACAUGCAUUUUAGGUAUUCAUAAAUUCACAUAAACCCUAUCUAGCAUAAAAAUGCAUACAAAAUGAUAAUACACCGUAUAUUAACCACUUAGGAGGGAUUUCCCCCUAUUCACGUGAAGCCAAACCCACCAAAAGCUCUGCGCGGGUGUCCGAAACGCUAACGAAGCUUCGAUAAACACUCCUAGGACCCUAAGAGAUAGGUUAGGGGAGUUACAACAUCGAAACGACAAAUCAUGAGUUCAAACAUUAAGCAACUCAAGGAAAGGGCUAAAAACUCACCGAAAAUGGUGAAAAUCUCUCUGGAUCUCCAAAAGGAAGCAAGAAUCCUUCAAAACCAACCUAAAGGAAGGUUCUAAUAAGAUCAAUCAAGAUCAAAAAGCCUCAACUCGAAAAUCCCUAUUUAUAACUCUAAAAUCCAAAAUCUAGGGUUUCUAUCAAUCAAAAAGCAUCAAACAAGGAUCUAGAGGAAGGAAUUUAGCCACUAACCUCUAGAAGACUUCCAACAAGCCCAAAGUCCAUAAGCUCUCAAGAUCUUCCCUCAACGAAGCUCCAAUCAAGAGCUCCAAGCUUCUCCUAUGGAGGAAACCAACAAGGAGCAAAGAAACAUAAAGAGAAGAAGAUCAAAACAAGCAAAAACCCAUCAAAAAUGGAGAAGAACCAAGAGGGGAGGGUUCUCACCUUGUUCUCCACUGGUUAGGGCACAAGAAAGCCCUCUAAGGGGGCUGGGGUGCCUUAUAUAGGUGUUGUAACAAUUGCAAAAACACCUCUGCCCGAAAAUUGCUCGCGCUGCACUGUGUACCGGUACACGGGCUCGCGUACCGGUACAAUACCUGCGAAACAGCCAAACCCGAGCCUCGGGUUUGCACGAAAUCCGUCUGUGUAUCGGUACACCAGCCCCGUACCGGUACAGCCAUCAGCGCGUACUGGUACAGCCAUCAACCCCGUAUCGGUACACAGCCCUGCUCAGGCUACCCGAGAGCUGACCAAAAAUUCGACUUUUCGGAUUUUGGUGCUAGAUUUUAAACCUCCAAUCUCGAGGUUCAAACCAUGGGUCGGAACACUAUCCACGACCCUCCACGAAGUGUGAAAAAGUUCGGAACACAAAGCAAACACUCGAACCUCACUAUUUGCGACGGUUCAGUGUGUUACAGCGACCCUCACAAGCAUGUGCGAAUGAGCAAAAAUGGCAAGCAAGCGAAAUCAUCAUCUCAAGUACUCGGUCAUCAUGUCUCAACAUGGUAUAAUACUAGCAACCCCAAAUGUCUAGUUCUAUGUCACAAUGUAAUGGUUCCAUCAUUUACUAAUCUAAUGCCACUUUAUAACAUUAUAGUUUACCAAGCCCAAACAUAUUCCAAGUUUAAUGUCUCUUUAUGACAUUGUAGCUUACUAAGUCCAUACAUACUCCAAGUUCAAUGCCACUUCAUGACAUUAUAAUAUCUCUAUGUUUAGCACAUGUUCAAUGUUCUCAAACAAGUAAAAGUUUGUCAUUUCCAACACCUCUAACAUUAUUUCUAAUAUAUCAUGAAAAUGCCAUACACUAGCAUGAAUACUACAUAUAUAUCUCACUACUACAUAAGGAGGAAAUGUCAUGAUACAUAACAUAUGUAUUUUAAUCAUUUUAAAAUUUAUUUAUGCUCUAUCUAGCAUGAAUAUGCAUGAAUUUUUAUUUUACAACAAACAAUAAAGCAUAGGGGGAGUUCACCCAUUUCGAUGAGGUCAAACCCACCAAAAACUCCUUGCAACCCUUUUGUUUGCACGAACAAAUGUGCCCACAAGUCUCCUAACUCCCUAAAGAAAAUUUUAAAAGGGUUAGAUGAAACGAACGAAUUCCAUAGUGUUCAUCUUUAACCAACCCAAGAAAAGAGUUAAAACUCACCUAAAAUGUGGAAAAAUCCUCUCAAAUCCCAAAUAGAAGUUAGAGCCUUUCUAAUCUCACCUAAAUGAAGGUUCUAAAUAAAUCAAUUGAGCUCCAAAAGCUACAAAUAAAAAAUCCCCAAAUAAAUCCUAGAUUCCUCAUUCUAGGGUUUCUACACAAAAACUCUCAAAAACAUGAAUCAAAAGAGAGAAACAUGUCACUAACCUCUUUAGAAGUUUCAAUCUAAACUUGGAAUGAGCUAGGAUUGAAGGUCUCUCCUCCAACAAGCUCCAAGACUUCUUUCGUGGUGGAAAUAUCACCAAGAAGCAAAAAGAAGAAAAAGAGGUGAUUAAUCCUCAAAAAUCCCAACAAAAAUGAAAGGAAAAGAAAGAGGGGAAGAGGAGAGCUCCCUUACCUUGUUCUCCUGUGUUUCCAAGCUCAGGAAACCAGAAAGGGACGUAGGGGCCUUUAUAGUGUUGCAACAAUAGCAAAAACACCCCUCAAAAACAGCAGUUCGCAGUCUGCACUGUGUAUCGGUACGUGGGAAAGAGUACCGGUACGAAGCUACAGUGUGCGCAAACCUGAGCCUCGGGUUGGCGAGAAAAUGCACUGGGUACCGGUACCAACCCGAUGCAGUACCGGUACCAGAUCCAGUUCCGGUACCAGUUCAAUGCAGUACCAAUACUCAGCCCUGUAGAGGCAAAUCUGAGAGCAGCCCCAUUUCCUGCACUUUAGAUGUUUGGUGCUAAGUUUUUAAUCUCGCUCCUCGGGAUGCGAGACAUAGGUCAGAACACAGUCUACGACCCUCCAGAAGAAUAUCUGGAAAAACUCAAAACAUAGAUCAAACACUCGAACCUUGCAAUUUUCUAAAGUUCAGUGUGUUACAAAAUCUAUUAGAUGACAAAUAACUUUUCAGGGUGUUAUUUUUUUUAGUUUUAUCAAAUCUGAGUAGAAUCUUGUAGAUUGCUUGACGAAAAGCCUAAAUAGGACUAAGAUGCUGAAGUCAUUGAGUGGGGGAUAAGACUUUCUUGUAGUAGAACCCAAUUUUUGUGAUAGGAGAUCUUGAAGUAAGUUCAAUGCGAUAAAAACCAACUGUGAGAUUGGUCAAAGAGCACUCUUUACAAUUUUUAUGGAGGAGCUUUAGUUCAAAUCUCAUCUAUAUGGUGAGUAGUACUCUAUGUAGUGGCUGAGAUUAAGCUAGCAGCUUUUAAUGGGACGCAAGACGAUAAUUUCGACAAUAUGUGACUCUACACAUAUCCCUGGAAGGUAUUACAUACAUAAGAGUAUCCAUAUAUGGUCGUUGCUAUGAGAUGUUGGCUAUACAUUGAAACUCUUAUGAAAAAUCAAAAUACUGUGUAUAGCCAUAAAUGCACAGACUCAAAACAAAAAAUUUUGUACUAUUUUUGUAGUAGCUAAAGUCAGGACCAAGAAACGUAAUUUAAGAUCUAAUUCACUCCGAUUCUUUUUUAUAAAAGUUCCUUACACUAAGUAGAGUUAAGUCUCAUAAAAAAAUCUCGCCCAUUGUACAGUAUAAACACCUAAUAAUUUUUAUUUUAAAUUUUGAUUUUAAUUCUUGUUUUUAAAAUUUUGAUUUUUGUAGGGGAUUAUUGAUGAAAAACUCAAAAUUUUGAGUUUUGAAUUUAUUUUAAUUUUAAAUUUAUUUUAUUUAAUAUUUAAUAUUAUUUAUUAAUUAUUAUUUUUACUAUUUAUUUAUUUAUUUAAUUUUCUUGGUGAAAGCCUAACAAGAUUCUCUCCUGUUCCAUUUCCUACGCCAAAAGGGAGGGAACAUGGUUUUCGUUUUGUUUGUGUUGAUUGCCGAAUUUCCUGAUGCCUUGACCCUCCUCGGGAAGUGUGUCGGGGUGGAAAUCGGCUGCUGAUAGUGACCCUCGAAGUUUGCACCCACGACGGGUCAAGCGAUUCGACCGAUGAGGGAUCAAAUCGGUCGGGUCCGAAAACCUCCUUAGUAAAUUCUCUUCGGCAAGAUGAGCCGAAUGAACAGGUGGGGUCUAUAUUUCGGCUGAGAGAUGAGCCGAAUGGCUAGGACAAAAACGAGAUCUGGUCGGCCUGAGGAGCCGAAAACGACUUUCUAUUAAUAAGAAGGGAGUGAUGCCCGGAGGGCAGACAGACUCCGAGGUGUACAAGGGAGUGAUGCCCCGAGGGCAGACAGACUCCAAGGCGUUUACAAUGAAGUGAUGCCCAGAGGGCAGACAGACUCCAAGAAGGCUAAGUUACAAGAACUACUCCUAGGCAAAAGCGAGAAAAUAUAGGGAAAAAUAAAGGUGGUCUUUUGUGCGCAGGGGCGAAGACCUGUUUUCAGGGUACUACAGACCUAUUUAUAUAUUUUCCCCUUGUGUUUAGUUAUUGCACGAUCGGCCAUCUUCUCCGGAUUUGGAGGACCACGUUCGGCCGAUUGGAACUGCCGUUGGGAACCGCCCAUAACCGCUUGCGGUUGUCACAUUUUUCGAACAAACGCGGCUCAUAUCUCCUGGCGCAUUUUUCCGUGCUCCCGAUCCAGCGCUUUGAACCCUGAAUAUGGAUAUGAACUCAGUGUGCCAACUGUCCGCGCCGGAUUGGUUCAACAGUUUGCCUAACGGGAAAUAACAUGGUCCUACUCCCUCUACUUCCUCUUUCCUUUAUAUACUUUCUCUUCUGUUUUUACAUCUGUGUAAAAAGACAUGUAUUAAAGAGUAAACAAAUAAAAAGAAUAGUGCUUUCCCUUUUUUUUCAAUUUUCACAUCUUUUUCAUAUUCUCUUUACUGGGUGUUGAAUAAAUUUUCAUUAACCUUCCUCCACGAUCGUGCUUAUAGGAGGAAAAAUUUCGGUCGUAACAUGGGACAGUGUUCUCAGUUAAUCUCGCACGAAGGACGUCAGUACGCCUUAAGGCAGUGCUUCGCAGAGUAUCUAGUGUGUUAUUGAUAGAUCAUUAGAAAUAGACAUCAAUAAGUGUAUAUAUCAUGUUUGGACUAAAGUUCCUUUUCUUCAAAAUAAGAUAAUCUGCUUCGUAUGUCAUACAUAUACGGACUAAAGUUCCUUUUCUUCAAAAUAAGAUAAUUUGCUUAGUAUGUGAGGUGGAUCUAAAUAAAAAAUAGAUUCUUAAUUAAACUACGAUCAGAAUAGGUAAAAAAUUGCAUAUUAACUGACUGUUUCUAGAGCAAGUGGCAAAGGGUUUGGUGGUCGGUAUCCGAGAUUUAAGUUCGAAUCCCAAUUGAUUUACAUUUCUAGUUAAGUUUAUUUUCUAAAUGAAAUAAACGAAGCGGGUAGCGUGCUAUCUAUCUCUCUCAAAAAAAAAUUGCAUAUUAACCACAAGUGAAAGCUGAAUAAUUUGUUCUGAUAUAUCCAAGCAACAACAAGUGCUACACAGAUCACCAAAUCAGAAUGGGUUGGCAAAUCAAACAAUCCACCAUAUUUUUCUAUAACUAAACCAAUAAAAAACAAUAUUUACAAUUUACAUAGCAGUGCACGUUCUGUAGAGAUGUGCAAUUGGAGAUGAUGACAAUCGCUAAUGCUCUAGUAAGCAUUUUGGGAUCUACAAGAGGAGACUCCAAAAAGUGGAAAGACUUGGAGAGAUCAAGCAAAAGUCACCAUCUCUUCUAAUGCUCGUAUGACUAACGCGUGAACGCCUCAUUCUCUCUCUCUCUCUCUCUCUCUCUCUCUCUCUCUCUCAUGCCCAUGCGUCGGACUCCAUUAUUUGUCCAAAUGGACCCCCCUGUUUUGUUCUUUCGCCGAACUACACCUACUAAUGCUGGAGAGAGAGAGAGAGAGAGAGAGAGAGAGAGAGGCGUGCGUCGAUUUCAAUUCUUUAAGUACUUGGAAAUUAUUGCCUGCACCAGGUGUUCUUGUAUACUUUAUAUGCCGCACCGAAUAUUUCACGAUCUGAAACAGUCAAAACAUUUAUGCAUGUUAAAUUAGAUCAACAAACCCGGAGAAGAGUUUGAUAUUAAAUUAUGGGAAACGAUAUAUCGUUGUUCUCAAAAAAUUUAAACUAGCAAAGAACUAUGUUUUUAGUAUUUAUAUUCAAUGCUGUACAAAGAAUUAUGAGUUUUGAAAAAUCUCUUAUUUGAGAAUCAGAUUGAUGUUUUUAAUAUUUAUAUCCAAUAAUGCAUAAAGAAUUAUAGUUUUGAAAACUCUAUUAUCUGAGAAUAAAGUAAUUUCAGAGAGAGUUAUUUAAGAAUCAAGUAAUUUGAGAGGGAAAGAAAGAAUCAGAGAGCAAAUUGUCAGCCGAAGGUCCCCUUGUGAACUUGAUGCGACGCGUACUGAAAUUCGAUAAUCUAAAAUAGCCAAAGUCCCUAUUUAUAAAAUAUUACAAGUUUUAAAAAUCUUUCACCUAGGAGUUAAGUUGUUCUAGAAAUUAGCAAAAUAAAAAAUUCCAUCCUUAAUUAAUUUGUCUUGUAAGAAAAAGAUGUCUAAAAUUUACAACUUUUGUACCUGGUCCUUCUGCAUGUUAUGAUGAAGCACAGAUCCAACGAGUUGGAUGCUGAUCUUGAUCAGAUCUCUAUGGCACAGUUUUAAUUAGAAGCACACAUGGUUUAUGAAAUGUAAUUAUACACGUGGUGCAGGCAAUAAUUUCUCGUAAAUAAAUAUAACAAACGGCUUGAAAUAUCAAUCAAUUGAGCACUUCGACCCGCAAUAUAUCCUCUACCACUAUAUAUAGCUUGGUUUUGUCUUGCAUUCUCCAGCAUUCACUUGUUAAUUAUAUCUUGUAUAUGCAUGGCUUCUCUACUUUUGCCUGCAACUUGCUCCUACGGUUACCUUCCUCUUCCUCUUCUUCUUCUUCUUCUUCUUCUUCUAGCUCUUGGUUUCACUAAUGAACACUUUCAUGUAGCUCGAGCUGAGCUCGAGAGACGUCACACCGUCGAUGUGCGCUCUCUACUGCCGAACGAUGUUUGCUCGUCCAUUCAAGGUGCGAUUUCGAUCUUACUUAUUGGUUAAUUAAUGUUGUUGUGAUUCCUUUUGUGUUAAUGGUGGCAAAAUUAACAUUUAGCUCAUGAGUCAAGGUUUAUUCUUUAUCGUGACUUGAAUUAGUGUUGAAUCAACGAGUAAUUACGAAUUGAGAUCAUGCUGAGAAAGGUAUUAAGGAACAAGUUUCUAAUUGGGAAAAAGUAUUCACUAGUGAACUCCAAAUUGUAAAUCAAAAGAAAUGAAGAUAAUUUAAUAUAUAUAGUUCAUUUGGCUUUUGGUUAAUCUUUAUGAUCAUGCAUGUUUGAGUGGAACAAAGAGGGAAAUUAAAUUGCCGCAUUUACGCAGUGCAUUUGCACAUUCGUAUUUCAUCUCUCUGCGCAGAUUGCAACUUUUUGCUUUGAGCGAGCAAUACUGCUAUUUGUACAUCCAAAAACGUAAAUUUUAUACCUCUACGUUCAAGAGCCAAUAUUUCAUACUUGUCUUAUUAUUAUUUUAUUAAUAUUAAAAAUCGAGAAAAAUUGUUUAAACUCUUGUAUUCGGAGAUGUAAAUUGGAGACCCAUUUUUUCAGUGCAGAGAAAGCUUUUUCUUUUAUCUAAGAUUUUGCGUGACUAUUAACAAGCUCGAACCAACGCAAUUAAUAUUCUUAGAAUCUUUAAAUUCUUUUAAUCAGUAGCCCGUGAGCUAAUGUAAGAUUUAUGCUCUUCACCGUAAAUGAAGCUAGAAACAAUUAACCACUAAUAGCUAAUUGAGUCUUUAACUUUAAUAUAAUUUUAAGCUAAUUAUUUAAAAUAGCUCAAAUAAAAAAACUUAAAAUUAUAAGGAUUCCAAUAAGUAAAAAAAAAAGAAAAAAAAUUACUUUUUCAUCUAUGAACAAUGAAAUACACACCGAUCAUUUCUAGCGCAAGUGACAAAAAACUUUUGGUUAGCAUCCGAAAUUUUAAGGCAGAAGUCUAGUUGCUUCGUAUUUUCAAUAAAUUUAUUUUCAAAACAACGUACGAAGCGAAAAACUAUGUAAUUUAUUUAUUAUUUAUUUUUAUGCUUAUUAAUUAUUCUUUCGUACUGAUGAGAAUAGUUUAGCCUCGUACGAAGUAGUAGUAAUAAUAAUAAUAAUAAUAAUAAUAAUAAUAAUAAUAAUAAUAAUGCUAUCACAGAAUACCAUAAUUAAUUAUUGAAACUUUUUUUUUUAUUAUGAUUUAUAAAUUCUUCAUUGGUACAUACAUAAUAUUAAUUUCUCUUAUAUUUUUAUUGCGAAAUAUAUAGACCAUAAUAAGGGACCAAUUACUGAACCAAAACUCAAACUAAUCCACCGGCACGGCCCUUGCUCACCGUUAAUGCACCGCCAAAGUGCACCCUCCCACAACCAAAUUCUAGCUGAAGAUCAAUCGAGAGUGAAUUGGCUCCACCGCCGGACCUCCGCCGCCGCCCGGCACAGCAACAAACGGCGCGGCCCGUUAACGUUGGACGCGUCAAUGAUUCCGGCUCACACGGGCGACUCCCUCGGCACCGGUAACUACAUCGUCACCGUCGGGUUCGGGACCCCGAAAAAGGACUUCUCCGUCAUCUUCGACACGGGCAGCGACGUCACCUGGAUCCAGUGCCAGCCCUGCGUCUCGUACUGCUACCCGCAACAAGACCCGCUCUUCGACCCCGCGCAAUCGUCCACCUACGCCAACAUCUCCUGCACCUCCCCGUACUGCUCCGCUCUCGACGUCUCCGGCUGCUCCGCGUCGAAUUGCCUUUACGGCGUGCAGUACGGUGAUAACUCCUACACGGUCGGGUUCUUCGCGCAGGACACUCUCACGCUCACGCCGGCCGACGUGAUACCGAAAUUCAAGUUUGGAUGCGGGGAGAAGAACCGCGGGCUGUUCGGGCAGGCUGCAGGACUGCUGGGCCUCGGGCGGGAGCUGGUAUCGUUGGUGUCGCAGACAUACCAGAGGUAUGGUGGAAAGUUUGCUUACUGCCUGCCGUCGACGUCGAGCUCGAACGGAUACCUGACAUUCGGAGAAGACUACCCGACUGCCAACGUCAAAUUUACGCCGAUGCUGUCGAACCCGAGCACGCCGACUUUCUACUACUUGAAUUUGGUCGGGAUCAGCGUCGCCGGCCAACAGCUAUUGAUCUUGCCGUCGGUCUUUUCGACCGCAGGGACGAUCAUCGACUCCGGCACUGUCAUCAGCAGAUUGCCGCCGGACGCCUACUCGGCCCUCCGCUCCGCGUUCAGGAAGCAAAUGUCGGCCUAUAAGCCGGCACCGGCGCUUUCGAUCCUCGACACGUGCUACGACUUGUCGGGGCAGAGCAAAGUGAUCAUUCCGACCGUGGCACUGCAGUUUGCGGGCGGCACGGAGAUGAACUUGGAUGUGUCGGGGAUACUCUAUGUGGCGAGCGCGUCGCAAUCUUGCCUGGCCUUCGCCGCCAACGGCGACCCCAGCGACAUAGCCAUCAUAGGAAAUGUGCAGCAAAGAAGGUUCAACGUGGUGUAUGAUGUCUCCAAGAACGUGAUAGGGUUUGGCCCUGGAGCUUGCUAACCAAGUACAUGCAGUAGGUUUUCCACACAUGUCAUACGAAAUUAAGCUAAUAAAACAAUUAAGUGAUUGGGCGGGGAUUGAACAAUUAAUGAAGGACAAUGAAAUCUCUAUUAUUGUUAAUUUGUAAAAGUUUGUACCACAUUUAUAAUACAGCUCAUCAUUGCAAGGGCUUGACCUUCCAUCCUUGUUGACCUAGUUAUGACAAUCAAACCUUAUUAAUACAAUGAGCAUUUUUCAUUAAGGCCUGUUUGGACGUGGAAAUUAAUUAUACAAAGAUAAUUUAUUCGGCAUAAAAAUUUUCUAACAUGAUUAUAAGUAAAAAAUUUAAUUUUUUACUUUCUGAAAAAUUUUAUUAUCCAUAAUUUGCUAUUUUAGUAUUUUGGCCAAUUUGGAUAAAAAAUCCACUAGUUUUGCGCUUUUGCAAAAGUGGGCCAUCUUUUUUUAUUUUAUAGAUUCGGCGCGAAUUUUCAGCAAACUACCAAAAUAUCCUUAUACCUUUUUCUCUCUCCUCUUUUUUUUUCUCUCGUUCUUUUUUUCUUUCUCUUCCUAUAGAGCGGUGGAGGCGCGGAGGCGGAGGCGGAGAUGACCCGCUUCGAUUUUGUCCGGUGCAUCCUUACCCUUAUCCGCGCACCCCCCGUCUUCCUCACCUCCGACCCCGCCAAAACCGCGCUGCGACUCUUUUUUUUUUACCCUCCUCCACCGCCUCCAACGACGACGCCAAUCUCAUCAUUUCUCGCCCUUCUCGCCCUUUCCCUCACCCUCUUCCUUCGCCUCCUCCGCCGCCUCCGACGACGACGCCUCUCCGCCAGCAUCGGCGCCGCGGAGGUUGCUGCGGCGCCGCAGCCUUAGAGCGGGGGGUCUUUAGCAGCGUCAUCACCGGCGCCGUUGGCGAAGAGGUGUGAUAAAAAAAAAUUAUAGAAAAAAAAAGAAGAAAAAAAUAAAGAUAAAAAAUUAUAUAAGAAGGAAGAAGAAGAUGAAAUUGGACUGUAAAAAUAAAAUUACACUAUUUUAAAAUAAAUUUAUGCUGUUUUAUUGAAAAUUGCUCUAUUUGAUAUAAAAAUUACACUCUUUUAAAAUAAAUUUUACAUUCUUUAGGCUAAUGCUGCACUAUUUAGGAUAAUUUUGCACUAUUUUUUUUUUCUUUUUCUUUUUCUCUUUCUCUUCUUCUUCUCCAAUUCUCUUUUUUCCAUGCUAGAAAUAUAAUUUAUUCAAAUUUGAGUUUGAUUUUAUUUAGGAGUCAACAUAAUUACACUAGGAUCGAUCAAAACAGCAGUGUUUUAUCUUGCUAGACUUGAAUUAAUUUUAAUAUAGAUGCAUGUACGGUUUGCUCGGGUAGUUAGGCGAUUUGGAAAUUGAUUUUGUCACAACUAGUCUUAAUAUUUAUAUCUUCUUUAAUUGUCAACAUCAAAAUAAGCUUUGGCAAUCUCAAUUCCUAGCAAUCGAGUAGAAGCAAUCGAGUAGAAAUUGGUUUAUUGUGCCUUUGCGUGUAUGCUCGGUACAGCUGGAGUUAACUAAAGAGAUGCUCAAAGAAGAUGUCGGCUGUCCGAGGAGUGCUUCUAUAUAUCUUUUAUUUUUUUAAUAUCGUACACUCAUUCUUAUUCUACCAUUCAAAUUUUAUAACUUCUAAAUUUUUUUAGUUGUGAACUAUAAUAAGAGAUCACUUUGAGAGAGAUAUUGAUUACCAGGUAUUGAAAAAAAGAUAUUUUAACCUUUUAUUAUAAAGGUUAUCAAGUAAUUUUACCCCACUAUAUUAUUUAAAAUCUCUCUUCUCUCUUCAUGUCUUUUUUUUUAUCCAAAACCAAAAAAGCAUGAAAUUAUUUCACGGACCGAGUAUGAAUUUUAUCUGUACCUAUCACUACAGGAAAUUAGUUAAAAGGCGACACUUAUUUAGCGGCUUUUUGAAUUGGGCCGGCCCAAAAUAGUAGCCCAAAUUAUAUAUUUCUCCUCUCUUUAUCUGGGCCUAGCCCAUAAAGUAAUUAGCCAAUUCCUUCUCUUUCUCUCUCUCUAGGCCCAAAUAACCCAUCUCUCUCUUUCCCUCUCUCCCUCUCUCCCUCUUCUACACAGACCCAAAACCCGACACCUCUCGCCCUUUCUCCCUCGCGGAUCGAUUCCCACUUCGUCGCCUCCAACCUCUUUCCUCUCUAGGGUUUUCUCCUCAACCAUUUUCUGGGGUUUUAGACUCGUCCGCUCCUCUCAACCUCACACACGAUGGCCAGAUUGGGGAGGAUCGUUCGCCGAGGCGACCCCCCUUGAGCUUGCACGUGAUCGUCGCUUGGGAGGACUUUCGCCGAGGUGAUUCCUCUUGAGCUCGCACGCAAUCGUCGCUUGGGAGGACCUUCGUCGAGUCACACGCGAUCGCCGCUUGGGAGGACCUUCGCCGAGUCGCACGUGAUCGCCGCUUGGGAGGAAUCGUUCGUCCACCUUCAUCAUCCUUCUUUCUCACUACUUUUUUUUUGAUAAGUUUUGAUCAUUUUUUUUUUUUCAUUUUUAAUUAGCUUUGGAUGUUCAUGCAUAUGCUCUGUUCGUCCACCCAAAUACGCGUGCUUUUGGGUGCAAUAGCCACAAAUUCGUGUUCUCCUUGUUAAAAAGGUCGUUUAAAUGUCACUACUAUAUUAGUUGUAUAUGACUACUUUAGGGAGUAAUUGAUGAGAAAUAUUUGUUUAAAUUUAUCUAAAUACUGAGCUUUUCCGAAAGAAGUGUAGUUGUAAAAAAUAAUCAGUUGUCAACUUUGCAUGUGCAAAUUAAGAGCAAGGGAAAAAAAAAGAAAAUUAAGUUUAAUUAGUAGCAUCUUCCCCUUAAUUAAUCACCUAAAUUAUCACUUAUAAACAACGCAAAUUAGUGCAUUUGUUGUUGGGACGUCUCGAGACUAAUACAUACAACUCUUUACCUAAACAACACUUCUAUAAUUAAUUUGAUCUUUUAUAGGAGUUGCUACUAAACCAAGCAAUUUUUUUAAAAAAAUGAAUCGGCAAUUUUGGUUAUGUAACAUACCGGAUUUUGAUAUAAAAGUAAAAAUAAAUAAAAAUAGUAUGAGAUGCUAUUUUUAUUGGAUUUAGAGAAGUAAAAUAUAAGUCAGAAGUGACUUGCGCUGAAAUCGGAAUGAAAACAGAAGAUUUAAAAUUUUCUGUAAGAAACGGGGCUGAUAUUUUAGCAGAAAAUGCACAGUAUCAGAAAAUUAUGAAAACUGAAGAAUAUGUCAGAAUUAUUUUUAUGAGGCUAGAUUUAAAGUUUCAUAUCAAUCCGAUAUCCGGAAGGUGAAAAAUAAAAUCCGACUGCUAUCUGCUAGAGAUUACAGUUCGGUAGAGCUUUUGGUGACCAAAUGUGGUCGAAACUGAAAAAUUAAAAUUUGUUUUGUUAAGUUAAGUAAAAUCGAGCCUGACUGUAAAAUUUGAGCUCAAAUAGACAUCCAGAAAGGCAGACGAAAAAUAUCUGUACCGAAGCUGAAAGUGUGAAUAGUGUUUUGAGGGUGUUAAUUAUAUAAGAAGCAUUUGCUUCUUCCUCCUCCCUCCUCAACCGUAUGCAGCACACAUACACACCACACACACGCAUGGAGAAGGAGAGAGACUUUCUCUCUCUCUAGUUUUCUCUCUCAUCUCUCUAGAUUUCUCUCCCAAAAUUGGGAUUUUGGAGGAGAUGAUGUUGGAGACACUACAACAAAAAGGAUAUUUAGUGGCGACUUUUUGGUGGCGACAAGUACUGUCGCCGCCGAUUCAUAGGAAAUGGCGGCGACAUUUAUUUGUCGCCGCCGAUUCUUAGAAAAUGGCGGCGACAUUUAUUUGUCGCCACCGAUUCUUAGGAAAUAGCGGCUACAUUUAUUUGUCGCCGCCUAUUCAAUAGGAAAUGGCGGCGUCAUUUAUUUGUCGCCGCCGAUUCUUAGAAAAUGGCGGCGACAUUUAUUUGUCGCCGCCAUUACAUAGAAAAUAGUGGCGACAUAUAAGAGUCGCCACUGAAAUGGAAAAUAUGGCGGCGACAAGGUGUCGCCGCCAUAUAUCCUUAUGAAGCGCGCCAGAACUUCCCUCCCUUUUUUUCACCACUCACCAACCCAUAUCCCUUCAGAAUGACAAUUUUAUCCUCACUAGUUUAACAUCUAUUACAUAAGGUCUAGGGUCUUUAUUGUCUUUUUACAUAUAAAAAAAGUUUAAUGAAAUUACAGCUGUAAAUAAAAUUUUACGGCUAUCUACUCUUUCUCUCUCAGCAAGUUUGCCUAUCUUCGUCCCCUCCGCCUCGCCACUGUGGUCACGUGCGCUAGGGCUUUGGAGUCGCGGAGGUUCAUGUGCCGCUUCACGGAGUAGAGAGGGCGAAUCGUCUCUUCCCCGUCGUAGAUCACCCAAACUCAGCUUCUGCAUCGCAAAAUCCAUAGGGAUCAGGUUAGGUUCCCUUCCUUCGCCCGCGUCCCCUCACGCUUAACUCCCUCUCCGACCGCGGCGUGCUCGGAGUGGCACCCGUCGUACCGCUUGCGUCUUCUGUUUACUAUUCUAGAAAAUUUGCUGAGUUCCACAUCUCGCUUUUGAGCCCGGACCACUCUGCAUCGGCUGGAGCUUACUCGUUAUCAGCAAUUUUUUUCAUUAACAAUUAGAAGAAGAGCGAAAACAGAGAUUUCGAUUUCUGAUUUUCUUUUUUAUAUUUUUUUUCUUUUCACUCAUCGCAAUGUGGUAAGUUUCUUUUGAUUCAUUUUUUUGUUUUUAUUUCUAAGAAUUGAUAGUAUUCCAGUCUUGAAGUAAUGCCCUAACACAUAUGAAAACAAUUAAAUGAGCAUAUACAUUGGCAUCUCACAAAUACUAUCUAUCAACACAGAGCAAAAUGUUUGGCAUGCAAAAUCUUUGGCAUCUCUGAAUAAUAUCUGCUUAUAUAUUUGCUUUAACCACUAAUUAUGUUAAAAUGCAGGAAUUUUGCUUUAUGAGAUGUUAUAUGGGCGCACAUCUUUUCGAGGAAAGAAUAGAAAAAGGACAUUUUCCAACAUUUUGCACAAGGACCUCACAUUUCCAAGCAGCAUUCCGGUGAGAAACUUGCCGCUGAAUCAAUUUUCAUUUUAGUGGUAGAAGUGCACAGAGGGUGAAAAAAACUAAUUCAUAAUCUAGCACUAGUAGUGGUAAUGCCUAAUGGUCAUACCAAGAACCUUAACCUUCAUAGUUACGACCGGAAAAACGAACAGGAUAUUUGGACUUCACGAAACUUUUAGCUAGGAAAAAUCUACUAGAUCGUUAAAUGCUUGAAAAUCCCCUUUUUUCCCUACCUAACACCACACUAUAUGUUGGUUGUAUCUUAUUGUCAGAGUAACAUGAUUUAAAUAGGAAAGAUCUGUUCUCUUGCAAUUAAUACUACAAAUUUCUGUAGUUUGUAGAGUAAUAAAAAAACUAAGACAGGCAUAGUUUCUAGAAUGUUCAAUAUGUAAAGAAGCUUUUUUUCCACUGGUAUGAGUAAAAGUGUGCAUUUUUCAUUCUAUGAAAUAUUAUUGAUAAAUAAAUACCGAGUUGACUGGUCUUUUUUUCCUUUCUUAUUCUAGCCAGGUUAGCCUAGCAGCAAGGCAACUAAUCCAUGGAUUACUCCAUAGAGACCCUGCUAAUCGUUUGGGAUCAAGUUCUGGAGCAAAUGAGAUCAAGCAACAUCCUUUCUUCAGUGACAUCAACUGGCCACUUAUUCGCUGCAUGGUAAAUAUGGUUAUGAUUCAAGAUGUUGGGAACACAUUGUUUUCAUUAUUCUGUGUUUGAUUCCAGUCCAUUUCCAUUCCUAUUCCAAUUUUGAUUCCUAUUUUAAACAAACAUGCCCUUAUAUUCAACGCUCUCUAAUGACAAAAAUAUUUUGAAAAUGACAUAUUUUGAAAACUUUACAUUUGAUAGUAUAUGAAAAUGACAAAAAUAUUAUUAUUGUGUUUUAUUUUUUGGUUGUGUUGGGCGAUUGUAGUAGGUGAUUGUAUUAGGUGACAAUACAGUGAUACUCUAACAUGGUUCUUGUUUUCUGGUUGUGUUGGGUGUUGUCCCAAACUUGUAGAUGAUUAGUUUUUUUCAACUUAUUUCUUGUGUGAGCAUAUAAUCUCUGUUCUGAGAGACAUAAUUCAAUGCAAAAUAUAGGAUUUUUGCUUGUUAAUUUGUGAUUUGUUUGGAAAGCUUUUUAAGAUGAAUUAUGUUGUAAAGAUUAUUUAUGCUCUUCUUAAAUAAUAUCUAUUACUACCAAUUAUUUUUUUAAAAAAAUUAAUUUUAUAUUAGAGAAAUGGUGGCGACAAAUGUUGCCAUCAUUAGUCAUAAUAAUUAUGUAAAGUUUUCGCGGCGACAGUAUGUCGUCGCUAAUUAUCUCACUUGUCGCAGCCACAAUUUGUUGCCAAAUAUUUUAGUGGCGACAAAAUGCCGCCGCUAAAUAUGUAACUUUUGGCGGCGACAAUCUGUCGCCGCGAAUUAUAUAAGUUUUAGCGGCGACAUUUUGUCGCCCCUAAAAUCUAACUUUUGGCGGCGACAAUUUGUCGCCACUAAAUAGUUUUGCCGACAGGGUUUUACGCGGCGGCUUGCGGCGACAGAUUGUCGCCGCCAAAACAUUUUUCGUGGCGACAAUUUUGGCUAUGGCGGCGACAUUUGUCGCCACUAAAUCUUGUAUCUGUAGUAGUGAGAUGAUGUUGGAGCUCUCCAAUGGUGAAGCAAGCUCUCCAAUAGUGGAUUUAGCUUGAUGAGCAUGGUGGCCUAAGGUGAGAUCUCAUGAUUUAAGCUAGGAUUUAGUUUAAUCCUUUAUGUAUGAGGUUCUAGUAGCCUCUAAUGUGUUGUUAGCAUGUUAAAUCGUUAAUACAUGGGUUAAUUGAAGCUUGUUGAGGUAAGCUUGAGCCCCUCUCAUGGUAGAUCUUUAGAGCUUUAUUUAUAUGCUCUAAGAUUGGGUUUAGAGGACUCCCUAGAUGAUAUCAACAUGCUAUUUGCUUGAAUCAUGAAUCAAUUUGGAGGUUUAUUGCAAUAGUAGCAUGUUAGGGUUCAAAAAUAGGGUUUUGCAAAAUGUAAGGACUUGAUCUAAAUUAACCUUAUGUAAACCUAAUUGCUAGGUAUACGAACGUGUUGGCGAAGUCGGUUCGGCUAUUCGUCGAGCCUACGCGAAGAUAUUGAAGAAACGGACGUUUUGGCUUUGUUUCCGCCUGGAGAGCCGAGACGACGUCCAAAAAUUACGAGAACGGAUCCGGAGCAUCGUGGCAUCAAGUUAUAGACCUUUAAUUUUCGGAUUGUGGAUUGGAGGUCGUUCGGUGGUCGAGCGUGUGAUCGGGCCGAACCAGGCGACGUGUGCCGCGGGAGACCGAUUGCAAGUGACUACAAGCAAUCAGAACGCGAUAACAGGUUGGUUGUGCUCACCGAUAUGUCUAGCUCGCUUCCAUGUCAAAGUAAAGUAAUAUUCAUUAUUGAUGCAUAUAUGUAUAGUGGUAGGUUGCAUAAGGUAUUAUGGAUGCAUGAACCUUAUUAUGUUUGAUGUUUAUUACCUACCAUUGAGAUGUGCAUGUUAAUACAUUGAGGAAUAUGAUAAAUGGAAUAUGCAUGUUGAUAAAUCAUGGAACAUGUUGGAUGGUAUAUGAAUGUUAACAUUAUGAAAAUAUGCUAGUUGGUAUAUGUAUAUAGACAUAUUGUGGAAUAUGAUAAAUGGAAUAUGCAUAUUGGCAAGUUGUGAAAUGUGCUAGAAAGUAUAUGCAUGUGCAAUUGUGACAUUGUGGCAUUUGACAUAACAAUGAGAACUUAGAAACAAAGUGACAUAUUGACAUAAAUGUAGAGAGUGGCAUUAAUGAGUCUUGAAUACUAGAGUUAUAAUGGUGACAUCAAUGGGACAAGGAUGCUAGAUUACAAGUGUGGCAUUAAUGAACACUUAGUGUGGCAUGAAAAUGAGUAUAAAGAACAAGUAGUGUGAUGACACUAAAGCAGGUUAAAGAAUGCAAGUAGAGAGAGUGACAUUAUGACAUUACAACCUUAGAGUUAAGGGUCAUAUGAGCAUGAUUUUUCUUAAAAAUUAAGGAAUGGAUUGAACUUGGAAUCCUUAAAGUUAAGGAUUGAUCGUACUCACCCAUAGUCUUGGCCCGAGGACGGUAGCUCCCCCUCGGGCGAUGAGCUCCGAAGUAAUCAUCACUGGGUCAUAGCGAGUAUCUCCCCAGAGGACGGUCCCGUCGGGUUGUAGCGGGUAUCCCCCCGAUAGUAGGAAUUUGGGUUAGUGAGUUUGUUGAGGGCGAAACCUUCGGGUUAGCCAAGAGAUUGGGCAAUGAAAUCUUGCAUUCAUCAUGAAUUGACUCAAGAUCGAGUCGAGUGGCAUAGUUGGCUAAGGUAAAUGUAACCUUAGGAAAGAGUGACAAUUGAGUAAAGUACGGCUAAGAAUAAAGAGUAAAGAAUGGCAAGUGAUCAAGAAUUGCUAAUAAUAUAAAGAAUAGUAAAUGAUAGAAAGUAGAAUCAAUUAAUCUACUUGCAUGAGUUGCAUGAUUUACAUAUUGCAUGUCUUGAGGCAUAAACAUGUAUUCAAUAUUUGCAUAAAUAUUAUCGUGGAUAUCUGUUGGACUAACAUGUUUGUAUUGCCUCCUUUGGACCUAGUGGGCUAGUGGGUCGAGCUUUUCCCUUGGGUGGCCGUACCCACUGGGAACUAUGGACAAUAGUUCACCCCCGUGUUGUUUUUGGGGGUACAAGUUCAUACGUGAGCGGCGCGGCGGUGCGAGGAAAGAGCGUAGCUCCGUAGUUAGCGCCCUACCACCGAGACCAGAGAUAGAAGUACCCUAAGUCGGCUUAGCUUAGGGGUAUAGAAAGGAAAUGAUCAAUGUUGUAAUAAUGAUGUUAAGAACUUGAUGGUAUUUGGAAGCUAAAAAGAGAAUGAAAAGUGUAAUAUGUGAUGUAAAUUGUAAUAUGUGAGUUGAAUGCAUGUAAUAACUUAAUUGUUUAUGUUUUCGAUACUUUCCUUAUGCAAUCUAUGUUUGUAUGUUGUUCCUGGUUAGAACCCCGCGCAUUGUAUGGAUUGUGACGCCUUAGACGUACAGGGGAGACUCUAUCCGCAGUACAAGGAAAACUUUGUCCGUUCGACGGUCUGUUGCCGUGCUCGAAAUCGACCAAAUAGGAGGGCUCAUGGCGUGACAGGUUAGAUAUGAGGAAGUUAAGGAAGCAAUAAUAAUAUUAAUUUUAGCAACCAAAACCAAAAAAAAUAAAUUUAAAACUUUUGCAUUUCUUUGAAUAUCUCUACUAAAUAAUGCUUUUGCAUUCAUAGGUAAAACAUACAGUAUUUAUCUCCUGCGAGGAGCAUGUUACAUAUAAAUUUUAAGAUUAUGAUAAUUAUAGUGAUCAUGCUGUGCUAGAUAGAUAGAUAGUUAUGUGAUUUUGCAAUUAACACAUCCUUUGAUACUAGGAGUGCAUCAUAUAACAUUUCUGUAAGGCACUAAAAGCAGGGUGGAAGUGCUUUCCCAGCAGCUGGCGUUAUGAGAGCACCUUUUCAAUAUGGUAUGAUAGGAUGUUCUAUGAUCAGUGAGCCUCUCUGUUAAGUAAGUGCCCGGUUUUUGUUAGCAAGCUUGGGCAUGAAAGGGGCUAACAAAAAUUUUCUUGCAGGAUUUCGUUCGUCAGGCAUUACAUAUGUUUUUGUUCUGUUGCUAUUGAACUAAAAGUACAAAUAGGCUAUGCUUGUUUUUCAAUAAACUUGCUUAAUAUAUUAAAUUAUUUAGAUGUCUUUAAUUUGUUUAAUAUGGUUUCUUUCUUCUUUUGGAACUCUUGGUGAUCGGAACCCUAUAGGGUCAUUUAGAUUACUCUUUUGCAUCAGCUUGGCACCGAGAUGGCCUUAUUCUGGUCGCAGGCAACCAAGACACUACAUGCCGCUUGUGGGAUAUAAGAAACUUAUCAUAAUCCAUGGCCGUGCUCAAGGGGCGGAUGGGGGCGAUCAGAGGCCUGAAAUUCUCAUUGGACGGCAGGUUCAUGGCGAUGGCGGAGCCUGCAGAUUUUGUCAAUAUAUAUGAAACUGGGCUGAUUACAGCAGCGCACAAGAGAUCGAUCUCUUCGGGGAGAUUGUAACCUUGGUGGCAGUCGUCAGGUAGGAAAAAUGACUUUAUCUAGAUAAUUUUAUCAAUUUUAUCAUUAUGCUUUAAUUGUUAACUAUAUUCUUAUUUUGUUGAAAGAAAUUUUUGUUUUUGUUACAGGAUCCUAAGUCUUCGGGCACUUGCUAUACGUCAGCAUCAUCAAAUCCUUCCAGUGAUACUUGAUUAUUUCUUUUGUAUUUGGAUCUACUAUGCCCUUUAGCAUUGUAACGAAGUGAAUUCUCGAAAGCCGAGAGUUGGACUUCGUCCAGGAUCGAUUAACUGUCGAGCGCGUAGCCUUCGGAAAAGCCAGAGUGGCACGAAACCCAAAAAGUGCAUUGGAAUGGAGUCCGCGAGAGCAAAUGAUGCAAAAACCUGCACUUGGCAGACCUGCUCUCGGGGACCGCUCGGGGACCGGUCCCUAGCGGGAGGGACCGGUUCCCGAACAUGGUCUGUGCGGGUUUGCUCUCGGGGACCGGUCCCUAGAAGGGAGAGACCGGUCCCAGCGGCUGGUGGUUGCGGCGACGCGCGAUGCAACCGGUCCCCGGGCCAGAGGGACCGGUUCCCACACGCGUGGAGAUGGGGAGGUCCUCGGGGACUGGUCCCCAAGGGGGGAGACCGGUCCCUCCGGGCAGGUCUUGCCCAGUCUAGGCAGUGCAUAGAGUGAAAAGUUGAGGGACUUAUAUGCAUAUUGUUACAAUAGAGGGUUAUGAGAGGGGUCUCUCUCUCUCCUCUCAUUUUCCCCCUCACUCUCCCUCAGCCACUCCCUCUCUCUGUGCGUGAAGAAGAGGAAGAAAGAGAAGAAGAAGAAGAAGAGAAGAAGAAGGAGAAGAGGACUAAGAAGAAGAUCUUCCUCCUCCUCUUCAUCUUCUCCUUGGUUGAGGCUUCUUGGAGAGGUAAGCUUCCAAGCUCUCUCAUGAUAGAUCUUUAGAGAUGGAUUUUUGAUCUCUAAAAUCGGUUUAUUUGGAACCCUAGCAUGCUAUCUAGAUGAAUUUCCCCCAUUUCAUAGAUCGAUUUGGUGGAUUUGGCUAUAGUAGCAUCUAGAGCACCCAAAAUGGGGUUUUGGUAGUUAUGAGGGUUUGAUCUCAUUUGACCCUCUGUAAACCUAAUUGAUAGGUAAUGAAACGCGUUGGCGAAGUCGGUUCAACGAUCCGAUGAGCCUACGAGAAGAUAUUGCCGAAAUAAGGGUUUCCGGCUUCGUUAUCGCCUGGAGGGCUGAGGCGACGUCCAUAAAUAGCGAGAUUGGAUCCCGAGCACCGUAACAAUAAAGCGAAGAUCUUUAAUUCUCGGAAUUGCAAAGCGGCGCGCGGUUGGAGCGCAACUGCGAGAUUGGGCCAAACCGGGUGUCGAGUACCGCGGGAGGCCGAUUGCAAGUGUCGACAAGUAAUCGGAAAGCAAGCUAAGGUGGGUUGUGCUUACCGAAGUGACUAGGUCGCCUGUAUGUCUAAGUAAAGUGAAUUCAUAUUGAUGCAUGAUAACAAAAUGACAUAGAUGAUGCAUGUGGUAAAAUGCUAAGUAGAUGCAUAUAAAAUGAUAUAGAGAUCAUAGAACGCAUGAUUAGCAUUGUGAGGAUAUGCACGUAAACUAGGUUGAUAACUCUAGAAGUAAUAGAGUUGAUUGACAAGAGAACUGCAUAGAGGACAAUUAGAUACUCAAUUGGACAACUAGGAUGUCAAGUAGAUCGAGUGGCACCUAACCUAGUGUUAGUAAACAUAGGUCGAACAAGUAGACCUAGAAGUUGACAUCUAGGCACAGACGAGAUAGAACCUAGCAGUUUUACCUAGGUUAUGUGACUGAGACCUGGAACCUAGAGUGGUAUUGGACCUAGGUUGUUGAGUAUAGUGGUAUUAGUUACUAGGAUGUUCUAGGUCGACAGCAUAGGGUUGGUUAUGGACCCUCGACCUGUGGAAGUGGAUUCCGGAAUCCCAGGACCUUUGAUGACCCUGGUAUCAAGGCUAGGGCGUGUGCGACGAUUUCGCCGCUGAGGUUUAUACCUAGGGAGGAUUGGGGGCGAUCACAUGGAGAUCACCGCCCGAGGCUUGAACCAUUGUCAUGGCGUGUGCGACAAUUUCGCCGCCGGAUGGUUAAGCUGAUUGUGGAUCAGACCGCCGGGAUUGAUUGAAACCAUUGCUGGGUAAGUACGAAUGGGUACCGCCAGGUGGCUGAGUCGUGACUGAAACCAUUGUUGGGUGAGGUGCGAUUAGUUCGCCGCCAGAUGGAUAGGUCAUGACUUGAGUCCUCGCUGGGUAAGUGCAACGUGUUCGCCACCAGAAUGGCUAUGUCAAGGGACUUGAGUCGGGUUCAGCGAGUGCGACGAUUUCGCCACUAAGAGGCUAAGUCACGGAGAGCGGUAGGCUGUUGAGCAGCCAGUGCGCGGAAUAUCCGCAGAUGAUUGACUCGAAGCCGAGUCGGGUGGAUAGCUUUGAUAGGGUAGUGGAACCCUUAUAAGCUAGUGAUAGAGGCUAGAGCUAAGGUAAUAGAGACCUUAGAAGCCAAUGGAUUUGAGUGUGAUCCUAAGGUAAUAGAAACCUUAGAGUUGAUUACUAUGAGCUAAGAUUAGCCAAGUAAAUGUAGAAUCAAUUGAUCUACUAGAGUUGCAUAAUUUUCAUAUCGCAUAUUGUGAGGCAUGACAUGUAUUUCAAUUUGAAUAUAUAUUUGUUGUAUAUCGUUGAACUAACAUGUUGCAGUGCCUCCUCGGACCUAUUGGUCGAGCUUUUUCCUUGGGUGGCCGUACCCACUGGGAACCAUAGAGUUGGUUCUCACCCCACAUUGUUUUAGGGUGUUUAAGGUACGCACGUGAGCGGCGCGGCGGCGCGAGGCAAGGGCGUAGCUUCGUAGAUAGCGCCCUACCCCAGAGACUGAGAUAGCAGUACCCCGAGUCAGCAGGGCCUAGAGAUUAGAAUGGAAUGACAACAACCAACUUGUAUUAAAUGUAAUAAUGUGAUUGUAUUUGGAAGUUAAGCAAAUGUAAAAGUAAAAGAAAGUGAUGUAUAAAGUGUAUAAAAUGAAUGCUUGUAAUAGCAGUUAGUUUUAUGUUAUUGAUACUUCCUUAUGCAAUCUUGAUUGAGAUCAGUUCCUGGUUGGAACCCUUGUAUUGUACAGGUUGCGACGCCUAGGACGUACAGGGGAAACUCUGUCCGUUCGGCGGUCUGUUCGUGGCGGCACGGCCCGGCCAAAUAGGCGGGCGGUCGCGGGCUGUGACAAGCAUCAUUUUAUGUUUUGAGCUACAGUGUCAUUUCUAAAAAACUGUUUUUGGAUAUUAUAGUUUUUUAUCAUUUUAUUGAUGUUGAGGAUAUGAGAAACAAUUAGUAUUUUGGUUUCAUUCGAUACUCUUGGUUUAUAUAUGAAUGAAAUAACUUUUUUGUUAUGAAUGUGUCAUUUUUGUAUUGUAUCUUCCAUACAACUAUUAUCCCAAGCUAAUAUACAUAUUAAAAAGUCCCUAUAUUUCAAUCAAUUGUAGCUUUAUAAAAAGUCAUUGUAUAUGCAUAUUAAUAGCUUCCAAAAAGCUACAACAUAAUUUUAUUAACAGCAUUAAAAAGCCGCAAAAACAGCAUUGUGGCACACCAAUUGUCGCUAUACUAACUAAAGGCGGCUUUUUAAUUGCCAUAGCUCUUAAAAACUGUAGAAAUUGCAGUAUUGUGGCAAAAAGCCACUAUAGAUAAUCAAAGGCGGCUAUAAUAGUGCCACAAUUUGAAUGCUUAUAGUGGCUUCGAAAAAGCCGCUAUAGCCACUAAAAUGCGGCUUUUACAAGCUGCCGUUAUAUUGACAUAGAUCUAUACCAACUCAGUUUUCACCGGCUUUUUUUUUGGAUUUUUCAGAAAAGCCGGUAUUUUUUAUUGCGGCUUUUUAAAAAGCCGCUAUAGGUACCCAUAAAAGCCACCUUUAAUAUAAAAUGUUGUAGUGUAUCUUGAACUGGACUCGAAUCCUAAUUGAUUUUUUAUUAUAUAAUAUAUAUAAAGUUUGAUUUUAUAUUUUAGAAAUUUAAAUUUAAUAUUAAAUAUUUUGAAGUAUGGUAAAGAGAAAUAAUUGUAUCGGGUUUGUGUUUGGGUUUUGGAUUUUUGGUCAGUUUCAGAUUGGAUAUGGAUUUUUAAAAUCUGUUAGGUUCGGAUGCAGGUUUUGGAAUUAAUAGUCGGGUUAGGUUUCAAUUUGUUAAAAUUUGCCCCGAUUCUGACAUGUUAACAUCGCUAACCACUAGUCCCUAACUAUUACUUUUUUUUACCACUAAUCUUAACCUUUUUAAUUUUUACGUUUAAAUUUACUUUUAAAAUGGUUAUUACCACUAAUGGUUAAAGUGUAUUAAGUUUAAAAUAUUUAUUAUCUCUAAUGAUUCAAAACUCUUCUUAACCUCAUUCAGUUCAGAGGGUUGAACCAAAUCGCUUAAUAGACUAAGUUACGGUCUGCCCGAUCGAACCAGUUGGUUCAAUUUGAUUUUCAAAUCAUUGAUUACUAAUUUAAUUAAAAUGAAUAAUAAAAGUUAUAACUAAUUACAAACUAAAAGGUAAAGAACUAAAAUUUUAAAAAUCGACUAAAAGCUGAAAAAAUUUAAAAAUAAAAAACAAAACUAACUUAAUAAAUCAAAUCAAUUAGACUAAAAUUGAUAAAAUAUACAAAUAAUCUAGAUUUGUUUCGUGUAGAUUUAUUUAAUUUAUUUAUAGUCCUAGUAUUGUUUAUUCUCUAUUAAAACUCUAUAGUGGAGAUUUAUUAUAAGUUUAUGUGAGGACUGAGAUUUUUUCUAUAUAAAUUUGACAUCUUUCAUAUAUUAUCGUGUGUAUUUUAAGUUCAAAACUAUCCGUCAAAUUUUAGUGAAAAAUAAUUUAAAAUAAAAAUUUUACGUGAUUAUUAAUUACUUUUCACUUAGAGUGAAUAGCAACUCACAUUUUCAGAAGAGGCCAUUGAGAGUAGAAGGCUUCUGUCACGAAUCGGACUUUGUUUCAGGUGACCACUAGCUCGUUUCGAUGGCCCAACUAUGUUGGAGGCAAUGGCGCUGACGGAUUUUGUGUUCGACACGUGGUUAUCGAGUAAUGUGGCUUUUAUCGUAGAUAGGGUAAAUUAUACAUUGUGUUUUUGCUUUUUAAGCACAACAGGCACUCUGUUUUGUGAGGAAACCCACAGGCGGGGACCGUUCUGCCAGAGAAGUUAAUUGGAGAAGGUUUUGGGCCGCGAGAUAUGCGUUUUGGGUGGGAGCGGAUUAUGGGUACGUUAAUUGCCAAGUAUUAUAUAUAUAUAUACUUGAGAAUUAGGGUUUUAUCAACCCUGACCCUAACCCUAACCCUAACCCUUUCCCCCUUCCCACUUCUGGUCCUCCUAAGAGGCACCGCCGCCGCAGCCGUCGCCGUGCCAGUUGCCGAAGGAUCCUUCCUUUUCUCCUCUCUCUCUCCCCAAUUAUUAGCCUUAUGGGUGGAGGUGACCCGACCCUCCUGUUUCUGCGCCGCCACCACAGUCAUCCUCGGACCCUGACGACCCUACCCUGACCUGCCCCCGACGCCGCUGUGCCCUAAGAGCAGCUGCAAUCGAAAGCGGAGCCCAGGGCACCCGUGCAACCUCAGAAAUUCACCCAAGCGCCACUGCCACGCCACGCCACUGUCAUCCUUCUCUGUUGGUCCUAGGAUGAUCGCUGGUGUCGCCUUUGCCCUUCCCCAAGCAGCUACUGUAAGGAAGUGAAUUCUCGAAAUCCGAGAGUUGGACUUCGUUCAAAAUCGACUAAUUGUCGAGUGGGUAUGCUUCGGAAAAGCCGAAGAAGUCAAAAAUCCAAAAAGUGCAUUGCGAUGGAUCCGCGAGAGUAAGUUGUGCAGAAAUCUGCACUUGGCAGAUUUUGCUCUCGGGGACCGACCGGUCCCCGUAAGCUAAAAAUGCGGCAGAAAACCCUGCGCGCAAUGUUUGCUCUCGGGUCCGAUCCCUUGAGAGGGGACCGGUCCUUGAAGGUCCGAUCCCUCAGGCGAGGACCGGUUCCCGUACGCACAACCAGCAAAAAGGAGGAAAAAUUGGCUAAGUCCUGAGAGUUCUCCUCUCGGGGACCGGUCCCUGGCGGGACAGACCGGUCCCCGUACGCGUAGGAUGCUGGGCAGAGCCCUCUGCCCGCAUGAGAGGCUCUCGGGGAUCGGUCCCUCUAGGGACAGACCGGUCCCCGAGCACGAAAACUGCCCAGUCUGGGCUGUGUGAGAGAAACAAAGUGGAGGGGUUUGGGUGCAAUUGUUACAUUAGUUGAGGGGUAUAGGAGGGAUUGCACUCUCUCUCUCCCUCAUUUCCCACCAAACACACAUUCUCUCUUUCUCUCUCUCUCUCUAAGCUCUUUUUCCCUCUCUUUUGAAGUGAAGAAGGAUAAGAAGGAGAAGAAGGAAAGAAAGGAGAAGAAGAAGGAGAAGAAGGAGAAGCAAGCUAGAGAAGGCCUUGAUCUUCUUCCUCUUCUUCCUCUCACCAUUGGAGCUAGCUUAGAGGUAAGCUUUUGAGCUCAACAAUGGUAGAAACCUAGGGUUUGGAUCUUUAGCUCUAGAAAUGGUUUGAUUAGAACCCUAGCAUGCUUAAUAGAUGCUUAAUGCUAGAAUCUAGAGUUUUGUUGGAAUAUUUUGCUAUAGUGCAAACCUAGGGCUCUAAAUUGGGGUUUUGCUUAAUAGUGAGGUUUGAUCUUAAUUGAUAGCAUCUAAACCUAAUUGUUAGGUGUCUAAACACGUUGGCGAAGACGGAUUGAGCAUUCGUCAAGCCGGUGAAAAGUUAUCGGCAAAACAAGACCGAUCGAGCUUCGUUUUCACCUAGGAGGUCGAAGCGACGUUGAAGCAAGUGCCGAAUAACGUUCUUAGCACCCCGACAUUGUCGAAAGGUGGGUGGUGUCAUCCCGAAGCAACCGGGUUCCUCUCUAUGUCUUAGUAUACCAUGAUCUCGCAUUUCUUGCAUGUUGCAUUGUAGGAUUGCAUUGUUUUCCAUUCCUUAUGCUUUCUAAUUGAUAUCAUAGUGUGAGUUGAAUGCUUGGUAUUAUGGAUAGAUAAGGAUUGGGUCAUGACAUUGAAUCCUAUAGUGCCGAGGAAAUGAGAUGGACUCGAUGGAUCCUAGUGACAUAACGAGUGGCAUGUGAUUGACAAAUGAAUAGAACGAGUGGCAUAUAAUGUAGUAUACAAUGAUACUAGUGACAUGUGAACUUAGGGAUAGGUGGAUUCCCUAGUGAUGACUCGUUGAACAAAGAACAUAGCGUAGUUAAACACUUGCACAUAGACAUUGGGAUAGGUGGAUUCUCGAGUGAUUUCUAACCCUAGUUAAUAGGGUAUUCUCGAAUUGAGAGGAUGGAUCAAGCUCACAGUCUGUUUAUACUUGUAGUGGUCGGGCCACACAAGUCGUCGUGCACUCCGUAGUAUGUACGAGAGGGGCAGAGUUGAUGUCCCACAGACAGUCCCGGGUUUGAGAGCGAGGUGAGUCUCCUUACCAUACGGGACGGCGAGGUGAGUCGUGGGCGAACCCAAAGGAUCGCCAAAGAUUGGAUAAGCAAGAGAAUAGCACUGUCAUUAAACAUUUGCUUAUUGGACAUAGUAGUGGACAUAGUGGCAUGUUAGUAAACCAUUUACUAUAUGAUGCAUGCAUACAUUACUUAUGAUUGGGCAUAGUAGCAUAGUUUUCUUACUAUGUCAUUUACAGUUUUCAUAUCUAUCUAUCUAUCUAUCUACUUUUGCCCACUCGGACCUAGUGGGGAGAUCGGCGGAGUUGGCGACCGAACCCACUGGGAACUAUGGACAAUAGUUCUUACUCCACUUUGUUGCAGGGCCUAGUACGAGUACACCGAGCGAGGACCGCGGCAAGGGCAUCGCACUCGAGCAGUAGUACAUAGUAGCUUUCCUAUUUUGCAUUAGCAUUACUCUGUGUAUUGAGAAACUCAUGUAGGUGAGGAAUUGGAGAGCUAUGUAUAUAUUUUGAUGAUUACCUAGUAGCAAUUGCAUUCAUUUUUGGAAAGAUGUAAUGUAAAUGAUGUAAAUGAAUGCAAUGUGAUGUAAUAGCUAGUAGAUCUCCCUUUUGUUUACUUGUAUGUACAUGUGACUCUUACUCUUAUUUGUUGGCACUUGUUGUGCCCUUCGUUGAUUGUGUAUGUAUAGAAUUUCUAUUCCUAGGCAAAUUCUUGUAUACGAUCUGAUUGUUUGGCCUUGGGCGGACAAGAGAGGUGCUGUCCGUUCGGCGUCUGUUCGACGCGCCUGAACCGGACCAAAUUGGUAGCGGUCUCAAGGCAUGACAUACUGCCAGACUGCAAUCUGCACUGUGUACCGAUACACGGGAAAGAGUACCGAUACCAGGCUACAGUACGCGCAAACCCGAGCUUCGAGUUCGCAGAAAAACACACUAGGUACCGGUACCAGCCCGAUGCUGUACCGGUACCACUUCCAAUUCCGGUACGGGCCCGAUGCUGUACUGGUACUCUGCUCUAUAGAGUCCAACCCGAGAGUAGCCUAAAAUCUUCACUUUAGAGAUUUAGUGCUAAGUUCUAAAUCUCGAUUCUCGGGAUGCGAGCCAUAGGUCGGAACACUGCUAACGACUUUCAGAAUACUUAGAAAAACUCGGAACACAGAUCAAACACUCGAACCUCGCAAUUUGCAAAGGUCCCGUGUGUUACAUUCUCCCCUCCUAAAAAAAAGUUUCAUCCACGAAACUGAAAGCAGGAUGCCUCAAAGCUCCAUCUGAAAAAGAUAGAGAUAGCGCUCCUGUAAUGCGCUUUCCAGCUUCCACGUGGCCUCACGUUCAUCAUGGUUGCUCCAAAGAAUCUUCACAUAGGGAAUAUCGCGAUUACGAUGCUUCUUCACCUCGCGAGCCAAAAUCCUCACAGGUUGCUCUUCAAAGCUCAAAUCAUCUCUCAGCUCCAAUGGUGUAGCAUCCAAAACAUGAGCCGGAUCGAAGAUGUACUUCCGAAGGACCGAUACAUGAAAUACAUUGUGUAUACCCGAUAGGUUCGGUGGUAGAGCAAGUCGAUACACUAUCGGGCCUACACGUUCCAAAAUCUAAUAGGGUCCAAUAAACCGGGGGCUCAACUUUCCCCGAAUACCAAAUCUUUUAAUCACUUUGGUCGGCGAGACUUUCAAGAAAACAUGAUCUCCAAUCUGGAACUCCAAGUCUCGUCGACGCCUGUCGGCAUAACUUCUCUGUCUACUCUGAGCUAUCUACAAACGCUCCUGAGCAAUACGAACCUUAUCCUCUGCUUCCUAGAGCACAUCUGGGUCUAAAGCCAAUCUCUCGCCAACUUCACUCCAAUGAAGUGGCGAUCUACACUUCCGUCCAUAAAGUGCUUCGAAGGGUGCCAUCUUAAUGCUUGCUUGAUAACUAUUUUUAUAAGCAAAUUCCGCCAUCGGUAGAUGCUGUGACCAUCCUCCCUAGAAGUCUAUCACACAUACUCAAAGCAUAUCCUGUUGUGUCUGUAUAGUGCGCUCAGACUAUCCAUCACUCUGAGGGUGAAAUGCGGUGCUGAAAUCCAAAUGAGUGCCUAAAGCAUCCUGCAAACUUCUCCAAAAGUGAGACACAAAUCGGGGGUUUCGAUCAAAUACAAUAGAAAUAGGCACUCCAUAAAGUCGCACAAUCUCAUCAAGAUACACUAGUGCGAGCUUCUCCCCUGUCCAAGUCGUGUGAAUAGAUAUAAAAUGCGCCGAUUUCGUCAACCUAUUCACGAUCACCCAAAUAGCAUCAUGCUCAGCCUGUGAGCGAGGCAAUCCCAUAACGAAAUCCAUGGUGAUAUUUUCCCAUUUCCACACGGGAAUAGGUAAACUUUGAAGUUUUUCCGCAGGAACUCGGUGCUCAGCUUUCACUUGCUGACAAGUCAAACAUCGAGCUACAAACUCGCUAACAUCCUUUUUCAUUCCGGGCCACUAAUAAAGUAGUUUCAAAUCUUUGUACAUCUUGAUGUCUCCCGGAUGUAAAGCAUACGGUGCACGAUGUGGUUCUUGAAGAAUAUCCUCUUUAAGGACCGAUUUUGCCGGUACACAAAUCCGCCCGCGGGAACGCAAUAUUCCAUGAUCAUCCACAAGAAAUCGCCGGUGUAACCUUCAACCAUCUUAGCUCGAAUCUUUUGCAACUCCACAUCGUGAACUUGCUUUUCUUUAAUUCUUUCCAAUAGUGUAGGUUGCACCACUAAUGCUAUCAAUCUGAAGGGUGUAUCAGGAGUCACCAUCUCCAACUCCAACCGCUUCAUCUGCUCAAUCAACGGCGGUUGAGUGACUACAAGUAUCGCUAAGUUAUCCGUCGAUUGCCGACUUAGCACAUCCGCCACCACGUUAGCCUUACCCGGGUGGUAGAGAAUCGUCAGAUCAUAAUCCUUGAGUAGCUCCAACCAUCGGCACUGCCUCAAGUUCAGCUCCUUCUGAGUGAAUAAGUAUUUUAAGCUCUUGUGAUCCGUAUAAACUUCACAUCGCUCGCCAUAAAGAUAAUGACGCCAUAGCUUUAAUGCAAAGACUACGGCCGCAAACUAUAAAUUGUGUCUAGGGUAGUUCCUUUCAUAAUCCUUUAAUUGGUGAGAAGCAUACGCGAUCACCUUCCUGUCCUGCAUCAAAACACAGCCCAAUCCAUUAAAGGAAGCAUCACUGUAAAUCACAUAUCCUACUCCAGCAACUGGCAAGGUUAGGAUCGGGGUAGUCGUCAAUCGAGCCUUCAACUCUUGGAAGCUUCUCUCGUACGCAUCAUUCCAAAUGAACUUAGUGUCUUUGUGCGUGAGCCACGUGAGGGGAGUAGAUAACUUAGCAAACCCCUCUACAAAUCUCGGUAGUAGCCAACCAAGCCAAUGAAACUCCGUAUCUCGGUGAUGCUAGUCGGUCUAGGCCAAUCCUUGACAGCUUCAAUCUUCCUAGGAUCCACGACAAUACCCGAUCCCAAAAUCAGAUGUCCAAGGAAUGCCACCUCUCGAAGCCAAAAUUCAUACUUUUUUAACUUGGCAAAAAGCUUCUUUUCCCGAAGCACUUGGAGUACAAGUCUUAAAUGCUCCUCGUGAUCCCUAUCACUUCGGGAAUAAAUCAAAAUGUCGUCGAUGAACACCACAACGAACUUGUCUAGAUAAGGCUUGAAAACACGGUUCAUUAGAUCCAUAAAAGCUGCCGGGGUAUUAGUAAGCCCAAACGGCAUAACCGUGAACUCAUAAUGUCCAUACCGUGUUCUAAAAGCCAUCUUCGAUACAUCCUCAGGUGCAAUCUUUAACUGGUGAUAUCCCGACUGUAAGUUGAUCUUGGAAUAUACACUCGAUCCUUGAAGCUGAUCAAAAAGAUCAUCAAUUCUCGGCAACGGAUACUUGUUCUUGAUCGUGACUUUAUUAAGUUCACGAUAGUCCACACACAAGCGAAGUGAUCUAUCCUUCUUCUUAACAAACAAAACCGAUGCUCCCCAAGGUGAAACACUCGGGCGAAUGAAGCCUUUGUCCAAUAAAUCCUGCAGCUGUGCCCUCAGCUCUUUCAACUGUACCGGUGCCAUCCUAUAAGGUGCCUUUGAGAUUGGAGUAGUCCUAGAGACGAGAUCUACCACAAACCCGAUCUCCUUAUCAGGUAGCAUACCUGGAAGCUCCGUUGGAAACACAUCACAAAACUCCCGUACUACCAGGAUAUCCUCAAUCCUAGGGGUGUCAUCCUCACCCCUCAGACCAACACUAGCCAAAUAGGCUAUGCAACCCCUGCUGAUCAACUGCCUAGCUCGAGACGAGCUGAUCGUCAUCGCAAACAGCGAACUCUGGUAUCCUCUAAAUACAACACCCUCCUGUCCUGGCUCUCUGAAAGUGACAGUUCAAUUUUGCAGUCAAUAGUGGCGAAGUACCUCGUCAACCAGUGCAGACCCAAAACCACAUCAAAUUGUGCAAAGCUAGCAGAUCCCGGGCAUAAUCCAAUCCCUUACUCGAACAGGGCAACCGGGGCAAAACUCCCUAAUGUCCAAGACGUGGUGGGGUAUAACAACAUGUCCCGGAUGCGACAAAGAAACUAACGGGAUGCCAUUCAACUCGGCAAACAGCCGAUUUAUAAAUGAAUGUGAUGCACCGGUAUCAAAUAAACCUCGAACUCUAAUGCCAUUUAAUAAAAUGAUAUCUGCCACCACAUCCUCGACUGCUGCCGCCCCCUCUGUCUGAGCCGCAUACAUACGCCCGCUCGGGGCUUGUCGUGACCCCUCAAUCUGGCACUGGACGGGUGGCCGCCCAGGCUGGUAGUAUGCCGUUGGAGUCCCCUGACUGGUGGCUGGUAAAGCCAGUGCCGAUGCAGAUGACGAUGCCGGUGAAGAACCUCUCGGGCACUCGGUUCGGAAGUGGCCCUCUUGGCCACAAAAGGAAACACCUGCCUCCCCACUGCGGACACUGUGGUGGAAUAUGAGGACCACCGCAGAUUACACACUGGGGAGGUCGGCGACGGUCAGAACCUCCUCGCUGAGCAGAUGAGCCACGACCUCUCGACUGGCUCCGGCUCCUAGGGUGCCUCAGCGGCCUCCCAGAGUGGGCCUGACUCGCACCCUCAACCGCGGGCCUUUUGCCCUUACCCUUAUCCAAGCCCUCUCUCCGCUCCUGUACAUCCUCCACGCCACUCUACACAAUGAGCGUGCAGUUCACGACCUCCCAGUAGGUUUGGAGGUUGGAAGAUUGCACAAACCGAAAGAUCGACGGUCGAAGUUCACGUUCAAAAAUGCGGGCCUUGUCCUCGUCGUCCCGCACGACGAAAGGCACGAAAUGCAGAAGCUGAGAAAACUCCCUCUCGUACUCGGCGACACUCCGCUCUCCCUGGCGCAAACCGUGCAGAUCCUUCUCCAUUUGCCUCUUCACGCUGUCGAGGAAGUAGUGCACCAAUAGAAGCUCCUUGAACUUUUUCCAUGUAAUAGCCGCCAAUCCGUGGUGGGGUUGUCUUGAAUAUCCAACCACCAACGGUAGGCCUCACCGUCCAGGUGGUGAGUGGCGAGCCAAACUCGGUCUCUCUCAUCCACAAAAGUGUCGCGGAAAAGCUUUUCCAUGUGCAUCAACCACUUCUCCACGAUCCAGUGGUCGACUUUCUCUCCAUCGAAGAUUUGGGGAUUGCACCUCCUAAACUCGUUGAGGCGAUUCAUGAGCCAGUCCCGCUCCUCUCCAGCAGCCAUCACGAGAAAAACUGCCCCCGCCGGAGGCACCUGAACUGGUGGUGCCACAACGUCCUCCUCCCGAGGCCCCCUCGGUGCGACGUCGUCAACUGGCACAGGGGGUGAGGGAAUCUGAGCCUCCCUAGAAGCUACCUGCUGCAGAAGGAGAUCCUCAAGGUGCUUCUUCCGCGCCUCCUGCCGGCACGCCGCAUCCGCCUGCUGUCUGGCCGCCUCCGCCUGCUGUGUCACCAAGUCAGUGAGGGCCGCAAGCUGGCUCCUCAACUCACGGACCUUGUAAGAUCCGGAGGUAACGGAGGUCUCCACCUCCUCAAAAUUUGCCGCAUUAUCCGCUCCAACUGAUUUAGAGCGAGUCGUCGGCAUAUCACUACAACAUCAUAAAAGCGCAAGUUAGUAAAACCCACGGUAUCGCAACCCCACUCAAGCAACUAAUACCCAAAUCAUGUGAAAGUAAUGAAGUGUCCUUUACUACUAAUUUUCGAUGUUACGUUAUCAGCCGCCAACGUAACCCUCCGCAAAGUUAGAAGCUAUACACUUCGAUUCAACUCCAAUAUUUUUAGAGUUAUGAUAAACCUAAUCAUAGUACUUUAGCUUAUAAGUCAAAUAGAUCUCAUCUCUCACGAGCCUAUUUCCUAUAGUCCAACCGGCCUAAUGUUUGCUAGGUCCAUAAGACUUAACCCUAGGCUCUGAUACCAAAAUAAUCUGUCACGUCCCUGGACCCAGCGGAGGCCGGCCCGGUGCAUGUCCAGACCCGCCAUAUGCCUAAACAUGUAAGGCGUCUAUAACAAAGCGUUAAAUAAAUCAAUAAUAAAUGAGCAUCUAGGAGUAUCAGAGUAUACAACAACUAGUUUCUAGAAUAAAGAGGUAAAUAAAGGAACCAAUCCACUAGCAUAAACAUAAAGUAGUACAACAACAAAACCCCAAAUACAAGUACUAUAAUAUCCAAAAAUGGUGGUCUCUACACAUGGGUACAAGAACUCUCAUCCUCUCUAAAAAGGAACAAAAAGAGAGGUGAACCACCUAUCAUAAAAUCCCUCGCUAACUAGCUCGAGGCGAUUCCUUUCCCGCGAUCCCGAGCCUCUCCCGAAGUGGAAGGCUCUGUAAGAAAAACAACAAAACAGGGGGCGUGAGAACUAUUAAACAAUAGUUUCCAGUGGGCAAUUGCUGACCUCAGCGAAAAUGCGCCACUAGGUUGAAAAGCAAAAGCAGCAAGUUCUAACAAUUAAUUGAAAGGAAUGGCAUAAAUAUUUAACACGAAUUGAACUUACUAAAUACUAUGCCUCUACUUUAGCAUGAAUUUUCACGAUUAUAAAUGCUAUUCUAACAUGAAUAUGCAUAAGUAUAACCAACAUAAUGUCCAUUGUCUAAUAUCCACUAUGCAUUUUAGUUCAAUAGUAUCCCAAUCAUGUAGGACCUACCCAUGGGUAGUCCGUCUUGCGCCGUGCGUAAUGGCCCCGUGGUAGUCAACAUUCCCAUCCUAGGAAUGAGCCUCCCCCACGACAUUCCAUUUCGGUGCCUAAUCCCGCACGGGCGAGCUUAUGUCGUGAUGGCUAUCUCCAGAGUGCCGGCUUGUGGGGAGCGACCCUCACAAGCAUGUGCGAAUGAGCACAAUGGCAAGCAAGCGUAAAUAUCCGUAUUUAGUCCAAUGUUAUCAUGUCUAAAAUAUGGUAUAAGCACUAGCGACUACAAAGGUCUAGUUCUAUGUCACAAUGUAGAGUUCAAUCCAUUUACUUCGUCUAAUGCCACUUCAUGACAUUAUGUAACGCCCCGGGACCGGCGGAGGCCCUCCCGGUAGCGUGCACAGACCCGCCAUAUGACAACACAUAUAAGGCGUCUACAAUAAGAGCGGAAGUAAAGCAAGUAGAAGAACAAAUAGAAGAAGUGAAAUAACUAGCAACUAAUGAUAUUAGAGCGAGUAUAGUUCUACAUCUACACCAAAGGAAAGCAGUAAAGUUAGACAAUGAAAUGAGUCAUAAGUAGUACAAAAUCUGUCUCCAAAAUACAAAAGUGGUGGUCUCUAGUACACUGGUAAAACUCUCAACCUCUCGCAAAAAGAAAUAAAAAUCGAGAGGUAGACCACCUAGCAACUCGUCCUCGAAGGAAGCUAGCUCGAAACAACUCCCUUCCCGCGGUCCCUGGCCUCACCCUGAGUGGAAGGCUCUGUAAAACAUCGAGAAAAAGAGGGCGUGAGAACUAUAAUUUAUAGUUCCCAGUGGGCAAUUACUGACCUCAGCUCCUGCUCCACUAGGCCCCAAAAAUAAGGGUAAGUAACGUUAAUACCAAUAAGCAAUAAAAAGGGAGCAUAUAUAAAAUGCUAUACUACUAUAUCUCACAUAAGCACGAUGUCAAAGUGUUGUACAUCUAUUCUAUCAUAAGGAAAAGUGACCAAUGGCAAUAGUUUACUGUUACAAACCUUUAUUCAUACAUGAUUAGCAAGUCUUUCAUAGCAACCAAGUAUACUGUGAUGAAAUAGGUAACUGGUCAAGAUAUAUCUACAUGUCCUAACCCUAUGGCUAUAACAUGUAAAUGUACAUCAACUACUAAACCUAUCUAGUAGUGAUUGUUCAUAUACAACAACUGAUGUCGAUUUCCAUUCCAAUAAGGACUACCAAAGGUAUGCUCAGCUUGUGCCCCGUAAGUGCGCUGUGGUAGCCAACAUGCCUACUCUUGGAAUGUGUCUGUCCACUCGACCCGUAGGCUUCUCAAUACCGCAACGAGCGAACAAAAGUCGCGUAGCUAACUCCGGAGUGCCGGCUUUGGGGAGCGACCCUCACAAGCAUGUGCGAAUGCAGCACAAAUGCAAGCAAGCAUAGUCGAAAUCUCAAGUAUCCAACCCUCAUGUCUCUAACAUGGUAAGUCACUAGCAGCCGCGAAGAUCUAUGUUAAGCACAAUGUUAAGUUUCAACAUUUGCUAUGCAUAGUGCCCUUGAUGAACACUUAGGAAUUUGAUGUUCAACAUGUUUUCCAAAUCCCUCAAUGGGCCGCUAUCCACUAGAUUCACACAUGUCCCAGCUCAAAUGCCGCUUGAUGACAUUAGCUCUCUAAUUCACAUAAUAUCAAUUCGAUGCUAUAUAUAUAGUGAAUUGUCACUUUCAUGUCUCAAUUAAACUUAUGUUUAAACGCAUGAUCAUACUCAUCUACUCUAUAAAACAUAAACCAAAUCUCAUAUAGAAUGCUAAAUGCAACCAACUCUCUCUCAGCAACUCUCACUACAUAGAGGUCCAGAAUUUCAUUACAUAUAACAUGGGUAUUUAAGCACUCUAAAAUUAAUAAUAAAUACAUUUAAUAUGAAAUGCAUGAGAUAUUAGUACACGAAGCACUUAUCACCAAAUAAUGAGAUUUUCUCAUAUCAAGGCUAGGUCAAACCCACCGAAUCGAAACUUUCGUUUCGCCGAACGGAGAUUUCCACAAGCUCCUAGCACCCUAGGACAUCAAAAAUGGUGUCAUCCACUCGAUACGAAGAGUAAUAAGCUCAAUCUUUAACCUAGAAGCAAAAGGCAAACUCACUCUAAAAGAGUAGAAAUCUUCUCCUAAGCUCCAAAAGAAGCUAGAACCCUUCCAAUCCAAGUCUAGGAAGGUUCUAAACCACACCAAUCAAGCUCAAAAGCCCUAGGUUCAAAAAGCCCAAAAUAAACCUAAGUCCCAAAAUAGGGUUUCAUCUCAAAGAAGCUUAAAAUCUAAAAACUAGAGAAAAGAUCUUGCACUUACCUCUUAGAAGCCUCAAAACCAGCUCAAGUCCUCAAACUUCAAGUAUCUUCCCUCAAUCAAACUCCAAAUCCAAGUUCCAAAGCUCCAACACAUGGUAAUAGCUCAAUAGGAAAAAGAGAGGAAAUCCAUCAAAACCAAGAAAUUGAGAUCAAAUCCAAAUAGGGGAAAAGAGGGAACUCCUUACCUUGCCUCCUCCUCAGGUUCCGCACAAGGAGGACCUAUGGGGCGUGGUGCUGUUUAAGGGUGCCACAAUCGCAAAUAAGCCCCUGCAGAACAAACUGCAUGAAAUUAGCCCCUUGUACCGACAGGGAUCUUGUACCGGUACAAGAGCUGCGAAAAUCCAAAUCGCGGGCUGCGGGUGGCGCAGUUCUGCGGCACUGUACCGGUACAGGCCCGAUGGCUGUACCGGUACAACCAUCAACAUUGUACCGGUACAAGACCAUCCUUGUACCGGUACAAGACCUGCGAAAAUGCAAACCCGAGGCUCGGGUUUGCGAGUUCUCGGCUCUGUACCGGUACAACCACAACCUUGUACCGGUACAAGCCCGCCAGACAGCCAAUCCGAGAGCUGACCAAAAUCCAAAUUUUUGGGUUUUGGUGCAAGGCUUCGUACCACACUCCUCGGGACACGUGCCAUAGGUCGGAACACAGUCAACGACCUACCAGAAAAUCUGGAAAAGCUCAGAGCACAGCUAAUCACUCGAACAUCGCAAUUUGCAAAGGUCCAGUGUGUUACACAUUAGGUUUACUAUGUCAAACAUAAUCCAAGUCUAAUGCCCCUUUAUGACAUUAUGUUUUCUCCUAUGUCAAAUAUGAGUUCUAAGUCCGAGAGCAUAUCAUACAUGUCAUUUUCACUACCAGAACCAAGAUCCCAAGCGAUAUACAAGAAUGCUAUUCAUAUGCAUAAUCACAAUGCACUAAUCUCUCUACAACAUAGAGAUAAAAUUUCAUUAUACAUAACAUAUGCAUUUUAAGCAUUCUAAAUUUCACAUAUGCCCUAUCUAGCAUGAAUAUACAUGAUUUUCUAUUUUACAACAAUUAAAAAGACAUAGGUGAAAUUUUUUCUCAUUCAGUGAGGUCAAACCUACCGAGACUCCUCGAAUCCCCUUCGUUCGCGUCGAUGAAGGUGUCCACACGUGUCCUAGCUCCCUAGAGAAAAUUCUAUGAGGGUUAGACAAAACAAACGAACACCCCACGUGUUCAACUCAAAAUCAACCCAAGAAUAGGGCAAAACUCACCUAAAGUGUAGAAAAACCCUCUCAAAUUCGAAAAGGAGGCUAGAGUACUUCAAAUCUACCCCAACGAGAUAUUCUACACCUAUCAAUUAAGCCCCAAGAACUACUGUAACACACUAGACCUUCGCAAAUUGCGAGGUUCGAGUGUUUGAUCCGUGUUCCGAAUUUUUUCAGCUAUUCUGGAGGGUCGUUGACAGUGCUCGAUCUAUGACUCGUAUCCCGAGAAUUGAGGCAUUUAAAGUAGCGCUAAGGUCACCAAAGAGGAGGACUUUGGCUACUCUAGGGUUGCUUUCUGCAGGAUUGUGUACCGGUACACCUUGAUGGUUGUACCGGUACAGAAAGUGUACCGGUGACAACUCGAUGGUUGUACCGGUACACAUUUGGUUAUUGGCCAACCCGAUGCUCGGAUUCGCGCAUUCGGGGGAGUUGUACCGGUACACUUUUUCGUGUACCGGUACACUUUGACAGAUUGCGAACUGGCUAUUUUUCAGGGGUGUAUCUGCAUUGUGGCUUCUCUAUAUUAGCCCCCACGCCCCUUAGGGCCUCCCCUGAGCUGAGAACGGUGGAGAGCAAGGUAGGGCUCCUUCCCUCUUCUCCUAUUUGGUAUAUUCUUCCCUUUUGCUUGGGAUUUAAGGUUUGUUCUCCUCUUUUGCUCCUUGGUGCUACUUCCUCCAUGUUGAAGGCUUGGAGCUCGGACUUAGAGCUUGAUAGAAGGAAGAUCAUCACACUUAGUAGACUUUGAUCCUUGUUUGAAGCUCCUAAGAGGCUAGCCACUUGCUCUUUCCUCUAGAUUUCAUGUUUUGGUGGUUUAUUUGAGAUGAAACCCUAAAAUUGGAAACUUAGGGUUUAUUUGGGCAUUUUGGAUUUAGGGCUUUUGGAGCUUGAUCUCUUGGAUUAGAACCUUCCUCUAGGUUGGAUUGGAAGGGUUCUAGCUUUCGUUUGGAGUUCGAGAGAGAUUCUCACCAUCUGAGAUGAGUUUUUGCCCCUUUGCUUGAGAUGGUUGAUGUUUGAGCUUAGGGUUGUUCGUAACGUUCGUUUAUCUCUCCUUUUAUUACUUUAGGUGCUAGGAGAUUAGUGGACAACCUCGUUUGACGAAACGAAGGGUUCCAAGAAGACUUGGUGGGUUUGGCCUCACCAAAAUGGGAUAAAUCAUCCUUAUUAUGGUUUUUAUUUAUUGAAAAAUAAAAAUGCGUGCAUAUUUAUGCUAGAUAGAAUAUUUGAGAAUUUUAGAAUGCUUGAAAUACACAUGUUAUGUAUAUUGUAUUUUUAGACCUCUAUGUAGUAGAGGGUUCCAUGUUGGGUUUAAGCAUGUGAGUAGCAUUCUUGUUUGUGGCUUGGAAUCAUGUUUCAUUUAGUGAAAAUGAUAUGUGCAUUACACUCAUGGACUUAGAACUCAUGCCUAGCUUAGGAGCUAACAUAAUAUCAUAAAGUGGCAUUAGACUCGAGUGAAGUAUGAUUUAGUAAGCUAAUGUCAUAAAGGGACAUUAGGCUUGGACUAUGUAUAGAUUUAGUAAGCUAAUGUCAUAAAGGGACAUUAGGCUUGGACUAUGUAUGAAUUUAGUGAGCUAAUGUCAUGAAGUGAUAUUGAGCUUGAGCUAUAUGUGAAUUUAGUAAAAUAAUGCCAUAAAGGGGCCUUAAAUUUGAAAUAUGCUUGGUUAUAGCAAUGUUCUAAUGUCAUGAAGGGGCAUUAGACUUAAUGAAUGUUGGAACCUCACAUUGAGACAUAGAACUAGACCGUUGGGUUGCUAGUGGCUAUUACCAUGUUAGAGACAUGAUGAUCGGGUUCUUGAGACGAUGACUAUGCUUGCUUGCCAUUUGUGCUUAUUCGCACAUGCUUGUAAGGGUCGCUCUUUACAAGCCGGCAGUCCGAAGUUAGCCUACGCGAUUUAUGAUCGCUUGUGCGGUAUCGAGAAGCCUACGGUAGCUUCGAGGGAUAGACUCAUUCCUCGAGUGGGAAUGCUGAAGCUACCACGGACACUUAGGCGGCACAAGCUGGACUACCUUGUGCAAAUCCUUAAUUGAAAAUGAAAAUUAACACGGAGUCAUAUAAGUAAUAAUCAUUACUAGACAGUUCAUAGUAGUUGGAUUUAUUGGGCAAUUGGACAUGUAGUGUAUUUGAUAGUAUUGCUUAUUGCAUUAUAGGAUACUUGUUUGCCAUGCUGGAGCAUACUAGUUAUGUAUUGGCAUUUCGGACUAUGAUAGAAUAGAUGUACACCAUGUUGACAUCAUGUAUAUUUAUGGCAUUGUAGAUUAGCAUUUCAUUACAUGCUUUACAUAUCGCAGCUUACUUGUAGUUCUUUUAUCUACUUAUGCUUUUGGGCCUAGUGGUGCAUUUUGCUCAGGUCAGUAAUUGCCUACUGGGAACUAUAAAUUAUAGUUCUCACACCCCCUAUUUUAUAUUUUCUUUCAGAGCCUUCCACUCUAGGAGAGGCUAGGGACCGCGGCAAGGGUGUUGCUUUGAGUUAGCGAGCGAGGGGUCUUGCUAGGUGAAUCAUUUUCUCCUUUUUAUUUUAGUUGGAAACAAUGAGAGUGUUUGUACCCUACAUAGAGACUACCAUUUUGGAUAUUGUAGUAUUUGCUUUGGGACAGUUUAAUAUAUUUACUCUAUGUUUUAUUACAGUUGAUAGUUUUACUGCUUCUACUUGUUGAUAGAUGUUAGCGGUACACAUGCUCUGAUAUCUCUAGAUAUUUAUUAUCUUUUCUUCAUUUAUCGCUAUUGUUGUAGACGCCUUAUAUGUGGAGGCAUAUGGCGGGUCUGGACACGCACCGGACGGGCCUGUGCUGGGUCCCGGGGAGUGACAGCUACAAAUCAAAAAUCCCCAAAAUAAAUCCUAGUUUGCUCAUUCUAGGUUUCCAUCUCAUAAGAUCUACUAAAAUAUGGAUCAAAGAAUAGAUUUAGGGUACUAACCUCUCCAAAGCUUCAAAUCAAGCUAGAAAGUGAGCUAGGGUUGAAGAUCUCUCCUCCAACAAGCUCAAUCCUUCACUUCAAGGCUUCUCCAAUAGUCCAAAAGCAAAACCCAUAAAGAAGAAAUCAAAGGAGGAGAUCAAACCUCUAAAAAUCUCAAUAAACGAGAGGAAAAACCAUGGAAAAUGGAGAGGGAAACUCACCUCUCCUCCUUCUCUGUUGCAGCACAAAAGCCCCAGCGAAGAGGUGUGGGGAAUAUAAGGUGUUGCUACAAUUACAAAAAAAAUCCCUCAAAUACUGCUAGACUGCAAUCUGCACUGCGUAUCUUUACAUGGAAAAGAGUAAUGGUACCAGGCUACAGUACGGAAAAUGGAUCCGGAGUAUCGUGGCAUCAAGUUAUAGACCUUAAAUUUUCAGAUUGUCGAUUGGUGGCCGUUAGGUGGUCAAUUGCGAGUUGGAGCCGAACCGGGUCACGUGUGCCGCUAGAGCCCAAUUGCAAGUAACUACAAGCAAUCGGAGAGCGUUACGAGGUGGAUUGUGUUCACCGAAGCGAUUAGAUCACUUCCAUGCCAAAGUGUAGUGUGUUUCAUCGUUGAUGCAUGUAAUGCUAGUUGAUUGCAAAGCUAAUGAAUACAUAUGCAUGCUAAAUACAUGUGAAUGAGAAGGCAUAAUAGAGAUGCUAAUAGUGAAUGAAAAUACAUGAGUUAGAUUCUAAUUGUAAAUGCAUAUGAUGUAUGCUAGUAAAGGAAUGCAUGAUUGAGAUGUGCUAAUUGGGUAUGUAUAAUGUAUGCUAAAUGAAUGCAUGAGUUAAAAUGCUAAAGUUAAUUAAUGCAUGAGUUAGAUCCUAACUGUAAAUGCAUAGGAUGUAUGCUAGUAAAAGGAAUGCAUGCUUGAGAUGUGCAAAUUAGGUAUGCAUGAUGUAUGGUAAAUGAUUGUAUAAGAUAGAGGCUAAUAAAUGAAUGCAUAGAGUAUAUGCUAAAUAAAUAACAUGAGCUAGAUGCUAAUGAAUGUAUAGAGUAUAUGUUGAGAGAAUGUAUGAGUAAAUACUAAAUGAAUGUAUAAGCCGUAUGCUGAUCAAGUAUGCAUGAGACAUAUGUUAGAAAAAUGCACGAACUAGAUGCUAAAUAACAUGCAUGACAUAGAUGUUAUACAAAUGCACGUGAGAUGAUUGUAAACUAGUGAGAAUAUGUAAAAACGCUAUGUAUGCGUGAAUGAUGAUAAGAACCUAAAAAAGGUAGAGAAUCUAAUGACAUUGAGAACAAAUGACAUUAUGACAUCAAAAGAAGAGUGGCAUCAAUGAGUUUUGAAUGCUAGUGUUACAAUAAUGACAUUAAUGGGUCAAGAAUGCUAGUGUACAAGUGUGGCAUUAAUGAGUAUUGAAUGCUAGAAAGAACACUUAGUGCGUGUGGCAUCAUGAAUAUUAAAGAAAUGUAAGUAAGUGAAAUUGAUGAUAUAAUGACAUAGCAACCUUAUAGUUAAGGGUCAUAUGAGCAUUGCUUCCUUAUAGUUAAGAAAUGGAUUGAACUUGGAAUCCUUAUAGUUAAGGAUUGGAUCAUACUCGCCUAUAAGUCCUUGCUCGGAAGGUGGUAGCUCCCCCUUUAGCGAUGAACUCCGGAGUUGUCAUCACUGAGUCGUAGUAGUCUCCCCAGAGGACGGUUCCAUCGGGUCGUAGUAGUCUCCCCGAUAUUUGGGAUUAUAAGUUGGUGAGUCUAUUGAGGGCAAAACCUACGGGUUAGCCGAGAGGAUUGACUAUUGAUAGGGACAAUUGCCAUGCACCAUGAGCAGUAUAUAUGUUGUUCCAUUGAGCUUGAGCGACUUGCGGUCCGGGGUUGACGGUAUAUCCUCACCCUAUAGUAGACCUAUAGUUAUGGUCCGGGUGUGCAGGUAUUUUCCUCGCCCGUUGGUAGACCUAUAGUCAAGAGGAUUUAAGGCUGAGGGCUGUGAGAGUUCCUUCACCUUGAGCCUGACUGAGCACGAAUUAUUCGCAGUUGAAUGACUCAAGACCGAGUUGAGUGGCAUAGUUGGCUAAGGUAAAGUAGCCUUAAGAAAGAAUAGUAAAUGAGCAUAAUAUGGCUAAGGUGUAAAUACCCUUAGUAAAGAAUAAAGAAUAGCUAAGAAUAAAGAAUGGCUAAGAAUACAGUGUGGCUAAUAAUAAAGAAAGUCAAAGAAUAAAGAAUUGCAAGUAGUAAAGAAUGACAAGUGAUAAAGAAUUGCUAAUAAUAUAAUGAAUAGCAAAUGAUUAAAACCAAUUAAUCUACGUGUAUGAGUUGCAUGAUUUGCAUAUUGCAUAUUGUGAGGCAUGAACAUGAUAAUUGUUAGUUGUAUAAAUUAUAUAUAUCUGUGGAUAUUUGUUAGACUAACAUGUUUGCAGUGCCUCCUUUGGACCUGGUGGGUCAAGUUCUUCCCUUGGGUGGCCGUACCCACUGGAAACUAUGGACAAUAGUUCUCACCCCCGUAUUUUUUUUUUGGGUACAGCUUCACACGUGAGCUCCGCCGCGGCGAGAGGAAAGGGUGUAGCUCCAUAGUUAGCGCCCUACCAUCGAGACCAGAGAUAGCAGUACCCUAAGUCAGCUACUUAGGGAUGUAAAAGAAAGGAUAAAGAACAAUGUUGUAAUAAUCAUAUUAAAUCGGAUUGUAUUUGGAAGCUAAAAAGAGUUAAAGAAUGCAAAAUGUGUAUGCAAAAUGUAAUGUGAGAUGAAUGCUUGUAAUAGCAUAGAUGUAUUUAUGUUUUUUAUACCUUCUUUAUGCAAUCUUUGUUGUAUGUUGUUCCUGGUUAGAACCUCGCGCAUUGUAUGGAUUGUGACGCUUUGGACGUACAGGGGAGACUCUGUCCGCGGUACAGGAGAAACCCUGUCCGUCCGGCGGUCUGUUGACGUGUCCGAAUCCGACCAAAUAGGCGGGCUCAGGGUGUGACAAUUGCAUAUUGGCAAGCUGUGGGUAAAAGAAACAUGGUCUUUGCAGGCUCGAACAUAGCCUAAGGCUUUGGUUAUGUAUCAAAGACAAAUUCUAUGAGAGCCAUGAUUGAAGUAAGCUUUUAUCAAUUGAUGCAAACCGAGAGGUUGCCAAAAUUGAAUUGUUAACUUUAUUUUCAUUUAAAGAUAUUUCUUAAAAUAAACUAGAUUUAAUUUAUUGAUUCCGGCAAACUUUACUAUAAUUAAAGUAAGGAAGCAAAAAAUUUCAGCAAGACAAAAAAUUAAAAUCGAAUUGAAGUAAUACUAAGAUUGUAAUAAACUUUCAAUAUACAAGAUAAUAACAACCAAUAUAUCGACGAGGAGGGCGAUACAAUAAGGGUAGAACUUCAGCAAUAGGGAAGAAGAAGAUGAGACAAGGACCUAGAAGAAGAUGAUAGGUAGAAGUAGAAGCCGAUCUUGUCACGAAGAAGAAGCGACAAUGAUCAAGUUGAGGAAGAAGAUGAUCUCGGCGCAAGGAAGAAGCAUUGAUGAUCUUACCAGAAAGUAGAACACAACGGUAAGGAAAAAGAACAAGAGUAGAAAUUUCUAUUUAUCAAAAUCUGCCCUCCAAGCAUCAAGAACCAGGUGUUUAUAGUGUUGAGAGCUCAUCCUGUAAUAAAUUAUUAUUCUUUUUUUAUCAACACAACACGGUAAUAUAAGGGUCAUGCAUAGAAGACGAAGCAAUUUUGGAGAAUUUGAUAGGUAUUUAUGGGAUUGUUUCAAUAUUUAUUGGAGAUAAGAGUUUAGGUUAGUCAAAUCAACUAAAAUUAAAUAAUUUAAGCCCAAAUCAAAUAUGAACUUACGAAAUACACAAAAAUUACAUUUAAAAAUAAAAUAAUUGUUUAUAGCAUUGGUUCUUUUCCUAGUUGGAGAAAUCUCGGCCCAAAACUAAAUUGUAACUUUAUUUUCAUUUAAAGGUUUUUUUAAAAAAAUAAAUUAGGUUCAAUUUAUCAAUUCUAGCGAACUUUACUAUAGUUAAAAUAAAAAAGCAAAAAUUUUAGCAAAAUAAAAAAUUAAAAAUUAAAUUUAAGCAAUACUAAGAUGGUAAUAAACCUUCAAUAUAUGAGAUAAUAACAACAAACUAAAAAAUAUAUAUAAUAGUUCUAAAAUAGCAAAUUCAGUUUUAUCAGACUUAAAGCUUUUAAAUUUGGUUGUUUUGGCAAAUACGGUUGAUAAUGACAGAAAAGUAGAAUGAAAAGGAUAUUGGGAUAUCGGGAGAUGAAACGUACAAGAAGUGUACCGAUCAUGUAAGGAAGUGAAUUCUCGAAAUCCGAGAGUUGGACUUCGUUCAGAAUCGACUAAUUGUCGAGUGGAUGAGCUUCGGAAGAGCCGAAGAAGUUAGAAAUGCGAAAAGUGCAUUACAACGGACCUCGGAGAGCAAGAUUGUGAAAAUCUGCUAAGUUGUAGGUUUUGCUCUCGGGUACCGGUCCCUGGUGUGAGGGACCGGUUCCCGUAAGCAGGGGUGUGGCAGAGAAGCCUCUGCGCACCAUGUUUGCUCUCGGGGACCGGUCCCUGGUGGGACAGACCAGUCCCCGUACGCGCAGCCAGCGAAAAGAAGGAAAAAUCGGCUAAGUCCUGAGAGUUCCUCUCUCGGGGACCGGUCCCUGGUGGGACGGACCGGUCCCCGUACGCGUAGAAGCUGGCAGAAGAGUUCUGCCCGCAAAUGUUGCUCUCGGGGACCGGUCUGUCCAUAGAGGGACCGGUCCCCGUGCCCGAAAACUGCCCAGUUUGGGCAAGGCAUGAGAAGCAAAGUGGAGGGGCUAAACUGCAAUUGUGACUUGAGUUGAGGGUAUAGAAAAGAAAACACUCUCUCUUUCUCUUAUUUCACACCCAAGCCCUAGCCCCCUCUCUCUCUAAUAUCUCUUUCUCUCUCUCUAGAAGGUGAAGAAGGAGGUGGAGUUGGUAGAGAUCAAGGCCAAGGGAAGGAUUAGUAGCAUUUUCUUCUUCCUCUCCACCAUUGGAGCUUGCUAUAGAGGUAAGCUCAUGAGAGCUUUCAUGGUAGAACCAUUUUUAUGGGUUUUUAUCUUCUAGAAUUGGUUCCAUUGGAUCUUUUUAAUGCCAAAUAGAAGCUUUAUGCUUGAAUCUUGAAGCUUGAAGGGGAUUCUUGCUUUGGUUGGAACCUAGGGCUCCAAAUUGGGGUUUUUGGAAGUAAAGGGUUUUGAUCUAAAUUGAUAAUGUGUUAACCUAAUUACUAGGUGUUUAAACGCGUUGGAAAGGUCGGUUCAUCGAUUCGUCGAGCGGGUGCGAAGAUAUCGCCAAAACGAGUGUUCGUGACUUCGUGUUGACCGGAGGAGUCGAAGCGGCGCUCAAAAAUCACGAAAUCGACUCCAUAGCCUCGUGACCUAGUCGAAAGGUAGGGGGUGUCAUCCUGAAGCAACUGGGCUUCUCCCUAUGUCUUAAGUAUCUCCAUGUUGAUUACACUCCAUAUAUAGCAUCAUGCAUGGUAGGGUGUUUAGAUGUUACUUUACUACUCUUGCAUGUUCCUUUGUAAUGCGGUAUAGUAGGCUUGGCAUGUGAACUUAGGAAUGCAUGAAAAUGAGCUUUGUGACAUAGAACCCUAUAGAGAUAAGUUAAACAAUAACUUGAUCUUGCAUGGAUGAGUAUAAUGAUAUAUAACUAGAAUAGUUGAGACAUUGCAUUAUGAUGAGUGGCAUGUAUAUCAAGUAGAUAACUUGAUGAGUAACUUGUAUACCAAGUAAACAACUUGAUGAGUGGCAUUAGAAUUUAAUGUUAAAGAACACUUGUGGCAUGAUAGUUGUCACGCCCCGAGUCCGAUCCUUUUGGCCGGUUCGAGAGCGUCGAACAGACGCCGAACAGACAGAACCUCUCCUGUCCGCCCAAGACUCAACAACAAGUAUCAAUAGAGUAACAAUUUGCAUAAGCGGAAGCAUACACAAUGGCUUGCACGAGGGCAAGCAAAGGCGAAUGUGAAAGUACUAAACUAACAACAACCAGUAAUUAAUAUAAUUAAUUUUAAAUCACAUACAUGUAUACUACUUAUCAAGUUCUAUUACAGCUCUUUCAUCAUUUUUUUUUAUAUCUCAUAUCUCCUAAAUAUAACAUUGAUAUUAAAUAAAUUCUUUUACAUCAUUCAUGUCCUUUCAUUUAACAGUUAUAAUCAUCAAAAUACAAAAGAUGAUAUAUCAAAAGGGUAUGCAACUAUGAAAUAAAACAUCUCGGGCGGUCUCUACCUAGGGCGCGAUGCCCUUACCGCAGUCGUCUGCCGGCUCGCUCGGUCCCGGCUUUGUGGAAAUAGGGGUGUGAGAACUACAACAAAGUUUCCAGUGGGUUCGGCAACCAACCACGCCGACUAUCCCACUAGGUCUAAUCAGGCAUAAUAGAAUAGAGGAAGGAAAGUAACCAACUAACAAAUUCAACUAAUAUGCCUGAACAAUAUAAAAUACGAUGCUCAAUAUAGUGCUCAUGAUGAAUGCAGGAUCAUAAUUUUUUCACCCAAUCUCUUGGCUAACCCGUAGGUUUCGCCCUCAACAAACUCACCAACCCAAAAUCCUACUAACUGGGGAGAUACCCGCUACAACUCGAUAGGACCGUCCUAUGGGGAGAUACCCGCUACGACCCAGUGAUGUCAACUCCGGAGCACAUCGCCCGAGGGAGAGCUACCACCCUCGAGUAAGGACUAAAGGUGAGUACGAUCAAUCCUACAUUGAGGAUUCCAAGUUCAAUCCAUUCCUUAACUUUAAGGAAGACCAUGCUCAAAUGACCCUUAACUCUAAGGUUGAAAUGUCAUAAUGUCUCAAUCAUUCUUUUCUUUGCAUUCUUUACUAUCACUAGUGUCAUAUACACUACUAUAUUCUUGAACUCAUGCCACACUUGUUUUCUAAGUUUUCAAGACUCAUCAAUGUCACUCACUAGAUCUAUGUCCAUGUGUCACUUUUGUUCACUAACCCUUCUAGGUUCUUGUCACUUGUCAUGCAUAAAUAAGGUUUACAAUUCUCACAUUCUUACAAGUAUUUCAUACGAAAUUAAAUUCACAAUCAUGCCAUAAAAGCUCACAAUUAACCCUACUAUGCAACAUGCUCAAUAUAUACAUAUAUGUUCAAACAUGACACUUUAGACAUAAAGAAAUUUCCGAGGUCCUUGGAAUGCACCACCCACCUCGAGUGAUCGUGUAGGUGUAGAAUACAACGACUCCCGAACUUUAAGAAAGCCGAUUCCGCGUCCUAUAACCAAAAUAGUGUCAUAUUAGGCCUUUUGUACAUGAACCAUACUUAAACAUUUUCGUAACGUCGAACGGAGUUGUCCAACGCGUCGAGGACACUCCCAAUUAGGUUUCUACGAGGUCAAUUUGCUCUCAAAAAAUUCUAGGGCAAAAGUCCCAAAUUUAAGCCCUAACAAUGUCAUCUAGGGCUUCCACCUAGAUCGAUCUUGUUGCUAAGCAAAGGAUAGCUUAGAAUCACUUGGGAAGCUCUCUAAUAAAGUUUCUAAGCUCUUGGAACCAACCCUAGGGUAUCUAACUCAACCUCCAAGGGUUCACCAUGAGAGCACCUUGAGCUCUCAUGGGUGUCACGUUGUUCAUGGCUCAAAAGAGCUUCUAAAACCUCUAAGGAGCACAAAGCUCCAAAUCCUUAGGUCAAGACCCAAACCCUAGAGGAAACCUUACAAGAACUUACCUCUAGUCCAAGUCCUAGCAAGCUCCUUCUUGUUAGAGAGCUUCUAGACCCACCAAAUCCACCAAAAAUCCUCCUCCAAGCCUUUCCUUCUUCUUCUCUAAACUCUAGGGUUAGCUCUCUAGAAAGAGAAAAGAGAGAAAGUGAGAGAGAUAUGUGUGAAUGGCUGUGAAGGGCGAGGGGGUUGGGUGUAUAAUGUGUUGUAAUAAUUACAACAAGGCCCCUCCACUUUAUUCCCAGUGCACUGCCCAGACUGGGCAUUUUUUGGAGUCAGGGACCGGUCUCCCCGACCAGGGACUGGUUCCCGAAGGUCGGAUUUCCAGGACUUAGCCGAUUUUCUGCGUUUUUGGCUGGCUGCGCAGCAAGGGACCGGCCUCUCCCUCAGGGACCGGUCUCCCGAGGACCGGUCUCACACCCAGGGACCGGUUGCCUCAAGAUUAAGGGCAAGUUAUGCGUAUGGGGACCGGUCUCUCCAUCAGGGACCGGUCCCCGAGAGCCCAAAAUCUGGGACUUAGCCAGAUUUUGCAAUCUCGCUCUCUCGGGUCCCUAACCUCUUCCUAUGGGCUCCAAUGCUAUUUUAGCCCAUACCAACUUGUUCCACUCCACGUUCCGCGCAUUUUGACAGAACUCGGCACAACUUACGAGGGUAUGAUACGUUACAAUAGUCCUAGUGACUGGAUCUCCUCAUUGGACGAGGAAUGGAUCAUACUCACAUUGUCUGUUCAGCGCUUGUGGCGGUCGCUCCGCACAAGGAGUGCGCUCCGGAGUUUGGCACGUGAAUCGAUUGGGAUAGCCUAUGUGGGGUCCCAAGGGAUAGCCUAUAUGGGGUCCCGCAAACAGUCCCUCGGGUGGUUCGAGUCCCCCCUUCAUAGACGGAUUUGAGAUGUGAGUUGAGGGCGCGCCUAUGGGCCAGCCAAAUGAUUGGGUAAUAAACUCAAGAGAGUUAUGCAAAUUAGGCAUAUUGUGCAUAUUGAGCAUAAUAGAGUUGUAUCCAUACUUGAUGUUGGUAUUAUAGCAUGUUAGCGAAUGCAUGGCUAUCUUGUUCAUUCUUGAAUCUCAAGGCAUAGUAGUAUAAUGUAAUUCUUUCAGUAUGCAUCAUUUACAGUUUUAGAUAUCUAUCUAUCUAUCUAUUUAUCUAUUUAUGCCUGCUUAGAUCUAGUGGAGAGAUCGGCGGAGUUGGCGGCCAAAUCCACUGGGAACUAUAUUUAUAUAGUUCUCACUCCACUUUGUUGCAGGGCCUAGUAAGAGAGCACCGGCAGAGGACCAUGGUAAGGGUAUAGCGCCCUAGUCAGAUAGUAGCUUUCCAUUUUGCAUUAGAGUACCCUCGAAUACCUAGAGAUGUGAUGUAUUUUGGGAGUUACUUAUGUAUUUGGAGAUCGGAACAUGUGUAUAUUCAUUUUGAGAGUUACAAAAUGUAAACUUGAUGUAAGAGAAUGGUUGAAUGGAUGUAAUAGCUAAAUGUAUCUCUCUUUAAUUACUUGUAUGGCAUACUUGUAUCUUGCUCUUACUUGUGAGUACUAGUAGUGCUCCGUACUUGUCAUGUAUGUAAUUGAAUUAUUCCUGGGCAAUUCUAUGUACAUGAUUCUGUUGUCGAGCCUUGGGCGGGCAGAGGAGGAGCUGUCCGUCCGGCGUCUGUUCGACGCGCCCGAAUCGGACCAAAUUGGUAGCGGGCUCAGGGCGUGACAGAUCACACGAUUGCAGGGGUUCCACGAUCGACAAGGAGGUCAGUACACCACGAGUAAAACUUCAGCAACGAGAAAAAAAAAGAUGAGGUAGGGACCUAGAGGAUGAGGAAGGAUAGAAGUAGAAGACGAUCUUGUCACGAGAAAGAAGCGACAACAAUCAAGUUGGGAAAGAAGACGUUCUCAGCGUGAGAAAGAAAUGUCGAUGACCGAGAAGUAGAACAGCACGGCAAGGAAAAAAAACAAGAGUAUAAAUUUCUAUUCAUCAUGUUGCCAUGUGGUGCAUGUGUCCACAUUGGCGGGUCUUAAUUUAACCCGAUCCACUUAAGAUGUGGAUUGAGAUUUAUCCUAAUAAGCUAAGAAUAAGAAUAAAUUAUAUAUUUCUUAUUAGUUAAGAAACAUAUCUUCUAGUGGAUAUGUAUCAUAGAUAUCCUAAUCCUAGUCCUUAUCCUAAUCUCUUUGUGAGAUUCAGGAUAUUUUAGGGGUUCUGUUAUUCUAUAAAUAUGUCCCCUUUUCUCUCCCGUCAAGAGACGAUCGAAUACGAUCUAAUUCGAAAGAAUCAACAAUAAAUCUUCCUUUCUGUCUCUCUUCUUCCUCUCUGGGAUUUCCACCUACGUUCCCGGGGUUUUGGAGUGUGGACAUAGAAAAGGACUCUGGUAGCCCUCUUCGAUUGGCAUUCGUCGCAUCAGAUCCGCAUUCGAUCCGUGACGUAAGGCGUACGCGUGGGAGAAGGCGAGAAACGUGGGAGAUCCAGAAGAAUCGAGACAAGGACGAUCCAAAAAGGCUUGUAAAACUAGCAAUCCGAUUUCGAUUUCCGGAUACGUUGGCUAUCCGGUUUGUAAGUUUCCGCUACCCUAAUAUUUCCAACAAUUGGUAUCAGAGCUGUAUGCUUGUUUUCGCCUUUGAUCAUGCUUGUGAUGCAUGUAUUUUAGAUCGCAUGUUUCGUUGAUCAAUCCUUAAUGUAGAUCGGUUCUACAAUUUUUUUUGGUUUCUACGUGAAAUCAAUUUUAAAAAGAGAAAAAAAAAAGAAAAAUUAAAUUAGUUUUAGUUUUUUCUUUUGAUCAUGGGAUAUGUGAAUUAUUUUUUAACAUAUGUUGUAUUUUUUCGUGCAUUAAAAAUAAAAUAAAAUAAAUGCUGUAGCGGCAGUAGGCGAGAGCGCACUGCACCCACACGGUGAGAAGGGGCAUACCGGCACGGCCCGACCCAUUGCACGCGUGCGGAGGCACGCUACGGAUGGGCGUAGGGGCCGCUGAGCAACGCGUGCGGCGCAAAGCCCGCUCGGCUUGCGCCGGCCCGAGAAGCCCUGCAACGGCGCUUGGGCCUGGCCCGGCUCGUCCCACCGCAUGCGCAGGCGCGCGGACCCGGCCCGUUGUGGGCACCACGAACCCGCUCGCCGCGGCGCGAGCAUGAGGGCUGCGUGCGUGGGACUACCCGCUCGCCUCAACGCGGGCUUGCGAGUGCGAGGGGCAUACCCACACACAGAGCGCGGGCCUGGACUGCUAUUGGCGCAGCGCCAUACCCGCGCACCACGCGCAGCGCACAACGCGGGCGCAUACCUGUGUACAGCGCUUGUGCACGGCCCGCUGCGGGCGCGGGCGCGCACCCCCCCGCUGCGCGCGGGCCCGGCCUGUUGGUGAUGCAGAUGCAGCCUCUGUUCGGCCUGAUUGUGUUCACGCAGUAUUUUUUAUUUUUUGCCCAUUAAAAAAAAAAAUAUUUUCCAGCGUGGUAAAAUUUUUUUUCUGUGUGGUUAAUUUUUUUGGGAUACAUAUAUUUUUUUAUGCUUGAAUAUGCAUGUGUUGUUUGUUUAAUUUAUCCUAUGUGGGUGCAUUUUUAAAUGCUUAUGUAGCAUAAUAUAGUUGCGUGAUUGUGUAUUUUUGGGCAUAUAAAUACUUGUGUUAUUUUGGUGUUUUUUUUUUCAACAAAAUUUAAUUUUGGAAAAACGGGUUCAACGUGUGCAGCAUUCCUGUAGAACAUUCAUUUUCUGAUGUACAUCUUAUAGUGAUGUAGUAGGUGUUAUUAUGCAAAAGGUGAUAUAAUAAUUAAGGCCGUGUAAAGGAAUGUGUUUUGUGCAGCGUCGACGUUUUUCAAAUUAAAUUUUGGCAUAAGUACUUAUUUUUUUUAUCUGUGUGAUGAUAUUAUGAGAUAAGUUAUCAAAAUAUAUAAAUAAUUGUUUUUAAAAGAAAAGGAUGUGUUCUUUUAAAAUGGAUGAGUUCCAACUUUUGGAUAAGUUUUAAAAUUAAUAGAAAAUUAAUAAAAUUGUAAUAUCUUGAACCGACACUGGGUGAUGAUUACGAGCAUAACAAAGUUUUCGAUCCUGUUGUGUCUUUCAAUCUUGUUAAUUUUUUGGAAUAUGUGCCUAAUGUCCAAACCUAUUUUUUUUUAAUAUAAUGAAAUAACUUCCAAAAACAUCAUAGCUGAUCUCACCAGGGGUGAUAAGCUAGAUGGAAAGAAUUAUGAUAUUUGGUAUAGGAAAAUGCAAUACCUGUUUAAUGAACAAAGGGUUCUCGAAACACUCUCUGUCAAAACAGUCAUGCCUGCUGAAGGGACAACUUCCAAGUAUGAAAAGAGGUUUAUAACAAAUGGUUCAAGGAGGAUCGAAACUGAUCGGUACACUAUGUUGUGUGCCAUGCAAGACGACUUCAUUGGACAGUUUGAGAUCUACGAGACUGCCAAGUACAUGUGGGACAAUCUGAAGAUUGCUUUUGGGCAAAUUUCAGCCACGAGGCUAUGUGCCUUAAAUUUGAUGUUUCAGCAAUACACUGAGGACCUGAAAUAUUUAAUGGCUGAGCACCUUCGUGUGAUGAGCACCAUAAUUCGGGGCCUUAAAAUUGCUGGAAACAAGCUCAAUAAUGAGCAACAAUAAGUUCUAGCAGUGAUUCGUUCACUGCCUGAUCCUGAAUGGUCCCAAAUAAAGCUCCUGAUGAAGCACAGUGAGGACAUUAAAACGUUUAAUGACAUCUCGCGUCAUCUCGAGCUCGAGGCAGAGCGGUUGGAAGCGAACCGUUCUGUCGCUCUUGUUGCACACUCUGAGAAGCGCAGUGGGAUUGCACCCAAGCACAAAAAGUAUCACAACAAUGGAGCGCAGAAGAAACGAAAUCGAGCUCCCUAUGGUGGAGUUGGAAAGCUUUGUAGAGCCAUUUUGACAGAGACGGCCUAAAUAUUUCCUUUCAGUGGUACUUUAUUUAGAUAUGGUACAUUAGUUGAUGGUUUCUUUAAAUUAGAUUUGGAGGAUGAUUCGUUUGCAUUUGCUUCUUCUUCUUAUUCUUCUAACCUCUGUGAUGAAUCUGUUAAAUGGCAUGCCAAAUUAGGCCAUAUAGGUCAAGAAAGAAUGAAUAGACUGGCUCGAGAAGGCCUUUUGGGGUCUCUCGCCAAAGUUGACCUAUCUGUGUGCAAGCCUUGUCUGGCUGGGAAGGCAUGUAGAAAGCUUUUCAGUAAGGCUACUCGUGCCUCUCAUCCUUUAGAGCUAAUCCACUUAGACAUUUGUGGGCCAAUGAAUGUGAGGGUCCGGCAUGGUGCGUGCUAUUUUCUCACAUUCAUUGAUGAUUAUUCCCGCUAUGGAUAUGUGUAUUUGUUUUCUUGCCGAUUUGAAGCUUUAGAUUGCUUCAAGUGCUUUGUUGCAGAGGUUGUGAAUCCAAUAGAAAGAAGUGUAAAGGUGCUUCACACUGACCGAGGUCGUGAAUACUUGUCUGAUCAAUUCAAGACUUAUUGUGAGCAAAAGGGCAUUAGUAGACAGCUCACUAUUUUUGGUACUCUGCAACAAAAUGGUGUUGCAGAGCGAGGGAACCAUACUCUAUUAGACAUGAUUAGGUCAAUGAUGGCGCAAGCGCAACUUCCCAUAAAUUUUUGGGGAGAUGCUGUUUUGACUGCAGCCUACAUCCUUAACCGAGUCUCUAGCAGAUCUGUGCCUUCUACUCCAUAUGAGUUGUGGAGUGGUAGAAAACCAAGUUUACACUAUUUACGCCCUUGGGGUUCAGCUGGAUAUGUUCAUAGCUCCUCACAUAGAUUCGGAAAACUCGGCCCUAAAGCGAGCAAGCAUGUGUUCAUCAGAUACCCUGAAAAUUCGAAGGGCUAUGUGUGAACACCCAGAUGGUGGUAUGACCGAGAUUGAGUCUCGUUAUGUGGAAUUCCUAGAAUGGGAUUUUUCAAGCAUUGGUGAAAUACGAAGAGACGUCGGAUUGUAUGAGUUACAGGAUGACGCUACCCCAUCUGCUAUUCAGGGUGAUCGAUCACUUCCCGAAGUCACUGAAGGAAGUGGUAGCAAUCCUCCGGCUAGUGGGAGUGCUUCCUUGAAUGAGAGUAUACCCUUGAAAGUCGGCAAUUCAGACUCUCCAUUACGUAGAAGUAAACGUGGACAUAUUCUCUGUCAACAUUUUGAGAUCGAAGGAGAUAUUUUCAUGUGCACUCCGCUCGAUGAUAAUGAACCUGUUUCUUAUAAAGAAGUACUGCAGACAUCAGCUUGCAGUGAGUGGAUGGCUGCUAUGAAAGAUAAGAUGGACUCCAUGAGCAAGAACCAAGUAUGGGAGUUGGUUGACCUCCCGCCCGGGCGCAAAUCUAUUGGAAAUAAAUGGGUUUUAAAAAUUAAGCGCAAGGCGAAUGGGUCAAUCGAUAAAUACAAGGCUCGGCUCGUCGCCUAGGGCUACACUUAGAGGCAAGGGGUAGAUUACAACGAGACGUUUUCUUCCGUUGUGUGAUUUGCCUCUAUUCGUUUGAUUCUAGCCUUAGUGGCACACCUAGAUUUGGAAUUGUUCCAAAUGGAUGUCAAGACAGCUUUUCUCAAUGGAGAAUUAGCGAAGGAGAUCUAUAUAGAUCAACCUGAGGGUUUUGUACUCAAAGGUUAAGAAGACAAAGUUUGUUGUCUUAAAAGAUCCAUUUAUGGUCUCAAGCAGUCGUCGAGACAGUGGUAUUUCAGGUUUCAUGAAGCCGUCACCUCUAUUGGUAUGUCCAUGAUAGAGGAGGACCACAGUGUAUAUGUCAAAAAGACAGAGAAUGGAAUUUUAUCUCUCUUUAUAUGUCGACAAUACACUAUUGGCUGAAAAUGACAUGGAGUUAAUCAAUACCACUAAGGAGUGGUUGUCUCCCAACUUUGUAAUGAAAGACAUGGGUGAGACGAGCUAUGUGCUCGGAGUGAAGAUCAUCCGUGAUCGCUCUAGAAAGCUUCUUGGUUUGUCUCAAGAAACUUAUAUUAAAAAAAUUCUAGAGCAUUUUAGGAUGCAUAAUUGUAAACCCGUUGACACUCCAGUGGAGAAGAAUCACACUCUAAGUCUUGAUCAGUGCCCUAAAGCGGAUAAAGAAAAGGAGCAAAUGAGUAGGGUUCCUUAUGCGAGUGCAACUGGCAGCUUGAUGUACGCUAUGAUGUGUACUCGACCUGACAUUUACUUCGCUAUUUGUUUGGUAAGUCGUUACCAGAGCAACCCAGGAUCCAUUCAUUGGCAAGUGGUCAAGAGAAUCCUUCGAUAUUUAAAAGGAACCAGUGAUCUCGUUCUCUGCUUCCAAGCUGGGGACUUGAGAUUGAAAGGAUAUAGUGAUGCUAAUUAGGGCAGUGAUAGAGAUGAGCGCCGGUCCACCUCAGGCUAUGUGUUUAGAGGCAAGGCAAUUUCCUAGUACAAUAAGAAGUAAGGCUGCGUUGCCUUGUCUACUAUGGAAGCGGGGCAUGUUGCUUGUUCAGCAGCAGUCUAGGAGGCUGUUUGGCUGAAGAGAUUUCUCCAGCACCUCGACUUUGUGACUCGAGCUGAUAAUUCUGUUGAGAUGUUCUCUGACAUCAUAGCUGCCCUGGAGUAUGUGAAAGAUCCCAAGUAUCAUGGCAGAACCAAGCAUAUAGAUAUCCGUUUUCACUACAUUCGAGACAUGAUCAGGCUAGGCGAGGUCGUUCUUAGACAUAUCUCCACCACUAGGAUGGUGGCUGAUCCGUUGACCAAGCCGAUAACCAGGGAUAUGUUCCCGACCCACGUUAGGAGUUUGGGUCUUUGUAGGUUUUGAUAUAUGGACAUUAUUUAUUACGCUUAAUUAAUGAAAAUAUGUUUUUCCUUUUAAUGUGAUUGCGUAAUUGAUACUAGUAGGAACAUAUUCGAUAAGUCACCAGGCUCAGAUCAGCCCACUCACACGGGUGAUCGCUUUGGCACCUAGGUGGUGAGCAAGAUAAGACUAGAUAAUCAUAUUAAACUUGAGUAGUUGUAAUAUGAUUACUUUGUUCAUAUAUGUUAUGAAUGAAGUGUUGAUAUAAUUUAAAGUCACCUUAAUUAGUUUAAAAUGAGACUCUAAAGAGUUUGAUAUGAAAGUUUUUCUGAGAAAUUUCAUAUCGAGCCUGUAUAGUAACCGAACCUAAGUACUCAAGUUAGAGAGAUGACUUGAGUUGUGGUGGUUAGAUACAUUAGUGGUACCUAGACUAAGAUUCGUAUGGCGUUUUUUUUUAGAGCGUGACAUGACCCAUUGAGUGGGAGCUCUGCCAUAGCAUAUAUAUCAUACUGUAUGUGCUUGUCGACCAGUUAGUAGAGUGACAUAAGUUCUUCCAUCCAUGUCACUGUGUGAGCACUAACCCUUUUGUGCUCUCGACUUAGAACUACGUUAUGAAGUGGAGGUCCAAAGUAACUAACUUAGCGUGUAUCUUAGGGUCAUGAGAAAAUACAAUCUCGCGGAGCACAUCUAGUAAAGUGCUUGGAGCAAUAUGGAUUAACGUGAGGGGUUCAGGAAGAUGUUUCAAUAACACACCACGUAAGUCUUGUGACUCAUUGCCCGAACGGUUAUCUCGGUUGUGUUACUUAAGAUAAUCAUGAGUACGAGAAAUAAAUGUCGGGUCGAGCCCUGUCAUUACAGGAGAGGGGCUUUGUGAUGCUUGAUCUGGUGUGUGUUGAAACGUCUAGACCAUAGACGAAUUAAGUCAGUGAUGUGCUAUGUUAGUCGGGUGGCGACUUAAUAUAGCACUCCUGCAUAUAUUUCUUUCGUCAGGUCGCACGCUCCAUUACCCGUAUGAAGAGAUGAAUGAGUGAGAGAGAAAUGGCCAAUGUGGCCAAGUGGGAGAUUGGUGCUAUGUGGUGUGUCCACAUUGGCGGGUCUUAACUUAACCCGAUCCACUUAAGAUGUGGAUUGAGAUUUAUCCUAAUAAGUUAAGGAUAAGAAUAAAUUAUAUGUUUCUUAUUAGUUAAGAAACAUAUCUUCUAGUGGAUAUGUAUCAUGGAUAUUCUAAUCCUAGUCCUUAUCAUAAUUUCUUUGAGAGAUUCAGGAUAUUUUAAGGGUUCUGUUAUUCUAUAAAUACGUCCCCUUUUCUCUCCCGUCGAGAGACGAUCAAAUACGAUCUAAUUCGAAAGAAUCCACGGUAAAUUUUCCUUUCUCUCUCUCUUCUUCCUCUCUGGGAUUUCCACCUACGUUUUUGGGGUUUUGGAGUGUGGACAUAGAAGAGGACUCUGGUAGCCCUCUUCGAUUGGCAUCCAUCGCAUCAGAUCCGCAUCCGAUCCGUGACGUAAGGCGUACGCGUGGGAGAAGGCGAGAAACGUAGGAGAUUCAGAAGAAUCGAGACAAGGACGAUCCAAGAAAACUUGUAAAACAAGCAAUCCGAUUUCGAUUCCCGGAUACGUUGGCUAUCCGGUUUGUAAGUUUCCGCUGCCCUAAUAUUUCCAACACAUCAAAAUCUACCUCCAAAUAUUAAGAACCCUUGACAAAUUCUACAAGAGCCUUGAUUACUACUCAUUUCCUCCCCAGAAUCCUUGUGCUCUGCACAGAUUUGAAGCUAGUAGUUGUUUGUUCCUCACUUCGAAUCUGUGGUAUCGCCAUUCGUUUUGACACCAAAGUGAUCCUCAAAUUUUUGUACAAUUCCCACUGUAAACACAAAAGACAAAAAGGAAAAAAAAAAUCAUUAAAUGGUAACAUCAUCAUCAUUCGCAAUACGCUUCAAGGAGAGGUGAAACUACUGUAACCUACUUAAACCCUAAUGAACUAACAAAUCAAGUAUUGAAAAGGUCAAAAGAGCAACAACAAACAACUAAAGCACAUCUACAAAAUAGAGGAAAAAAAAAUCCCAUUUUUGAACUCCAAAAAUCGAAUCCAUUGGAUAUUUUCCACCCACAAAAAUAUCUACUAGAAUCCAAAACAGAAUCUAAAAGAGAUUAGAAACAAAAGGGGCUUGAGUGACGUAUAGUACGAAAGACAAAAGUGCUGAGUAUCAACAAGUAGCGAAAAUGCAAAAUAGUUGGAAGGCAUAACAAAAGUCCGUAGCAUAGUUAGUAAAGUGGAAACUAGUCAAGGCAAAGAUAAUCUCAACGAAAGGAUUGAAAGCUUGUGGAUUCUAUAGGUGAAGCUUGACAUUAUGCAAUUGUGGAGGCAGUAGUGCGGCGAAAGUUGUUUGGAAAGAGGGCAUUAGAACGACACAAGUACUCAUAGGCCUUGAGCUUUGUGUAACAUUGAAUUUGUAAAACGUUCUUAUAUUUGUUAUAUGGAUAAGAGUUCAAGUAAAGGAACUUGUUGUAUAAAAAGGGAAUGUCAGAUCGAGAAUAUCUCAACUUAACCUGGGAAGGGCAUAAAAUUGGUCGUCACUAUGGUAUUUUGAGGUGGAGAAGCGAAAGCGAGUUGCGAGCUGAUUCAUAAUGGACACUCCAAGACGUGGGACAUUUGGAGUUUGACCUCGAAGGGAGCAAUGGAGGACUAUUCUACCAUUCUUUAUUGAAUAUGACGGGAUGUUUGAGAUAUACAAGUAGUGCACAAGGCUUGCUGGUGAUGAUCUAGGGAAAAAUUGUUAGUCCAUAGACUACUUACAUGAGAUGAAAUCACAAGGUUGGCUACUAGACUUCAACAAAUUUGUUUAAGUCAGGGCCACAUGGAUAUUAAGGCAGAGUAGUUAUGAUGGAAAUGACCAAAUUGUGGAGCAGCGUUAGUGCAAUCUUGGUAUCUAAUGGAGUAUAAGAUUGGAACCACAGAGGAGUUAGUGUGCUGCGUUGAAGGCACCAAGGCCGAAAGGCUUUAACUCAAAGGGACAAAAUAUGUGUAUAAAGUGUUUAGUUAAGGAGGACCGACGGGCUUUGGUGAACAAACUGAUUGUUGGCAAAUCAGUGUGGCAUGGAAUACCUAGGCCAUGAGUGGCUCUAGUUUGGAGAAUUAGUAUUGCUAUGAAUAUUGAAGUUCUUGUGAAGUGGUUGAGCAUCUACGGGGACGUCGAUGGCUUGGGUGAGGGUGUCUAUCAUGUGCUAAUCGCUUGGGUUCGGCUGUGAUGUCCACGAUGACCACUUUUGGAAGGCAUUUGUGUUGACGAAGUUAUGAAGUUGCAAAGUUUGAGACGCUUUGUCAGAUAUUCCGUCACAGAUGGGCCAAUAGAGACAAUUCCCUAGGAAUGAUCUAUAUCGUUGCAAUGAUAUUGGUCCAAACGCGGGAGAGACUCGAAAUGCACCUUUUGAUGACCAUCUUUGUACCCUUAGAUGCUAAAGAGAAGGAAGCCUUGGGUAUGUAGAGGAGGGAUAGAGAUACUUGUGUAGUGGUCUUGACUCCCCUGGCGGUCUAUAGCAUAUUGAUCGCCCCUUGGCAAGCGAACAUGCCAAGCCUAAAGCUUUGUGUGAGCCGAUCAAGUAUAGUAGAAGUCACACAAGUCUAGGGCAAUGUUGAAGAUAUUACAAAGUGAGGUAUGUCAUGAGGUUUUCCUCUUAGAAAUUACUUGUUCUACUUUAUGCCGUCUUGGAUAUCUGUAGUUGAGGGGACAAGCGGAUGAGGAAUAGUCUUGCAGCAGAAUGAUCCUAUGUAGGACAAAGCUUGCCAGGGCAAGUGUGCUGAGUGGGGAUUCAUGAUGCGCGGUGACCACGAAGCUCAUUAGGGGAGCUUCAUGUGGCAAUUGGUAUAGAGAUUUUGUAAAGCAAACCUCAAAAGUUGGGCUAAGGGUGUUGUGGCCGAACGUGCUUGUUCAAUGGAGAUGCCAAUUAGCUAGCGAAGCAGAGUAAGGUCGGUGCAAUUAUAUAAAAUGUUAUGUCAGAAGCUUUAGCGGGGAUAAUCGAUGUUGGGUCCUUAAAGUAAAUCUUAGGGUUGAAUCAAGGGCGUUGACAACUAAGCUUGGUUGGGCAAUGAAGGUACCAGGUUUUAAUGCAUUUAACCGAAUAAUAGGGGUAAAUGUAAGAAUGGAUGCAAUUAGCAGUUAAAUUGCAUUACUAAUCCCUAAACUAUGACUAAAGUUAAUUUCAUUUGUUCUUUAAACUUUAAAUUUCGACAUUUAAGAUCCUAAGCUUUUAAUAAGGUAUUAGUUUAGUCCAUAAACUUCUACCAAUAUUAUAUUUUUGUUCUUACCUUAUAAUAAAAUUUAUUUUCUAUACUUAGUUUAUUUGUUUGUUCGUACACUAUGAAUUUGCCAUUUCUUUAUUCAUCUCAUACUUUUAAUUAAGAAAUCGCAUUUUUAUACACAAAAAAAUUAAAAUUUGUAGGUGGUAUGAUUAAAAUAUACGAAAAAAUAGUUGGUAAAUGUAUAUUGCACAAACAUAAAGAUGCAUAUAGUAUAAGCAAUAAUCUUUUCUUGGAAAAAUGUGAAAAACUACAUUUUAGUUGAAAAAAAUUCUUUUUCGUAGUUUUUGUUUUCUGAUUUUAAAAACAGAAAAGCAGAAAUAUUAAUUUUCUAUAAAAUCUAAAAAAUAUUUGUUUUUUUUAAAAUUAUUUUAUAGAAACCAAACAAACAAAAAACACUAAUCUAGUCAAAAAAAACUAUUUUUGGAUUUUUUUUAAAAACCAAACACAGUCUAUUAGUAAAUAAAUAUAUAUAAAGAUUAAAGUCAAAUUCUUUUAGAGAGUUUAAGGAGUAUUAAUGGUGAAUUUUUAUUAAAGUUUGAGAACCAAUGUGAAACUUGGCUAAAGAUUUGGAGACUAUUGGAACACUCACUGGCCAUACAGUCUCAACAUUGCUAAUUAGUCCCUUUUUUCUUUUUUUUUUUUGCACAUUUUGGCUUGCACAUGAAAAUUCUAACUUCGUUUCUGGAGCUUAGUCUUGAUCCAGACGAUGAAUAAAAAAUGAACCAAAAUAGGCUCAGAAAUAUAAAUUCAUUUCAAAUUUUGGAAAACAAGUAAACCCCACCCACUUUGCCUGAUCAAAUUGGCUCCAACCCAAAUCCAUUUUGAGUCCAAAUUGAAAUCCUACUUAAACCUUGAUUAGGACCCCACCUCAAAACCCCACUAUGUUAUUUAAUUUUCGAAUUAUUUACGAAUUAUUCGUGAAUUUUUGAAGAAACGAAUUACACUGUCGAAUUCAUAUUUUUUUUUAAAAAAAAAUUUUAAAAAUUAUAUUUUAUUGAUAAAAAUAAUUAUUCGUGAAUAAUUCGCGGUUCGCGAAUAAUUCGCUCACGGGUCGCAGGCCUCGCGGGUCGCGGACCUUGCGGCCCGCCCAAAACAGGGANAAAAAAAAAAAAAAAAAUAUAUCACUCGCCCCCUCCGGAAUGUUCGGCCCUCUUCCCCCCAAAAAAAAAAAAAUCACUCUGGUUUUGCCCUAACUUUCUUCUCACACCUGCUGCCCUCUCUCCCCAGAAACAAAAAAUCGCUCGAUCAAAAAGGUUUUGCCCCAACUUUCUUCUCACCCCUGCUGCGGGCUGCUGCCCUCUCUGCUACCGACCGCAGUCCCCAUCCCUUCCCCUCCGCCUCUUCCCUUCCGGCCGCUCGCCGAACGCCAUCGGAAGCCCCACAUCGAAGAAGAUCAGGUUCUUCACUCUUCAGAAAUCAGAACCCUCCUCUGUGGCCUCUUCCUCUUCCGCUUCCGCGUCGGGUGGUUCUUUACAAGAACUUUUAUGCUUUAGUUUCUCUCUCUCUUUCCUUUAUUUCAUCUUCUCUUAAUUGCUGUAUGGUUUUGAGUAACAAGACCAUGACUACAAAAUGUAGCAUCAUUGUGAACAUGCAUUUAUUAAGAUUCAUUAUUAUUUUUUUUUUAUCUUUAAUCUCUACAGCAUACAUGAAUAUGUCCAGCAUACAAGAAUAAUCAGCAAAUAAGGUUUUAAGAAUUAAGACCUCAAAAGGUUUGAUAUGCCCAGACAGGUUGUGACUUGUGAGUAAGGUUUGAAUGUCACAAGCAUAUGCAUUGAUUAAAAACAUGGGUGUUAACUGGCAAUCCUGUGAAUUUCCGAUGAAUUUGGAGAAAUAGCAAUAUUGAGAUAUUAACUUAAUUUUGUAGCUCUUUAUUCUUAUAUUCUUAAGAAUUAUGAGUAUAUAUACUAAUAGCAUAAUCUUGAGAGGGAAAAAACUUAAUUUAAUAGCCGAAUUUUUAAUUGGUGAACGUAUAAUAUCCGUAUAAAUCACGUAUCCGAAUAAUUGGUGAAUCCCUUUUUUAGCCGGAUUUUUCAACGAAUUUAAAAAUUAAAAAACGAAUUUUAUCCGAAUUAUACCCGUACCGAAUUUUUGCCGAAUCCGAAUUAACUAUGUUACUACUUCCGCCCUUUCCCCAUCUCUAGAUUCGACCGGAUCUCAUCCUCUACUCAACCUUCCCUUCCUUCCUUCCUUCUCUGAUCGGAGGGAUGCCCUAGUCGCCUCCGGGUUCUUCUCCGUCAGCUCGCCUGAGCCCCUUCGAAGGCGCUUCUCGUUGGACCCACCUGCCGCACCUCCUCCUCUCCACCUGCUGCUGCCACUUAUUCUCCUUCUAACUAGUAAAGUUGCUACCUUUACUCCUCUUCUCCUUCUAUCUACUAAUACUUGUUAUCUUCCAGGUUGUUACAGAAGAAGAUGAUGGCGUUUAGGGUUCUCUCGCGAAUCCCGAGGGGCGGCGCCGCCACCGCCGCCCACCGCGCGAUCAUGGCGGCAUCGCGGCCGGAAGCGGCAGGGAACCUCUCGGGUGGAGCCCCUCAGAUCAAGGUUAGGGUUUUAUAAGAUUAAUCAUUUACAGGAAUUUAGUUUAAUUGGUUUGUAAUCUCUUUUGUUGAAUUUGGAUUCGGGUAAUAUGAAUCGCCUUCUUUAAAUUCAUUUCCAUCUUAAAAUUAUUUUUAAAACAUUAAUUUUCUUUAUACAGCUACAAUUUAUACUGCAUUAAAUUUGUUGGUCCUCGUAUAAUAACAAAUGUCUACUACUGUUGAGGGUUUUAUGUCUAUUUUUCUACUUAUUCUGUUAUUACUAUAGGUGAAUUAUACGUUUUCAAACAAUGAGGUGUCCUGCUCCCUUUGGAGUUUUUAGCCCACUAACCCUCUUAAAAACUUUACUAUAAAAUUGGAACCCUCAAAUUUUAUUUUUAAAAAUAAGCUCUGGUUAGACACGUGGGUCCCAAGUCGGUGCAUUCCUGAAUUUUCAUGAAUGCAGUCAAUGGUUCACUGUCUAUUGAGAAAUAUACACAAUCCUAAAAAGGCGGUGAAUCAUUUACCGCAUUCAUAUAAGCGGAGAAUGGUUCACCAUCUUUAAAUACUAACCCACUAGCUUUAGCAGCGAUAACUGACUUAACCAAUGAUAACUGACUUAAAGGCGCUGAAUGAUUCACCGUUUACAUGAAGGCGCCAAGGCGGUGAAUGGUUCACCACCUCUAAAGGCGGUGGAUGGUUCGUUGCCUUUUCUUUUCUGCACCACAACAGCAUAAAUUUCCAAGUUUUUCUGUAUUUACAUAAUAGCAAUUUUUCCAAACAGUUCAAUCACAAUAAUAAAUACAUAGAUUGACCUAUACCAACUUUAACCACACGUACAUAAAAUUGAACUACACCAACCUCAACCAUACUUUAACAUGAAUAAUACAAUAUAAUAAUGUAAAAAUUACAAACAAAAGAUUAGAAAUAUCAAAUAUACAUGAAAUUCUAAAAAAUCCUCACAAAAUCAACUCCUCUCCAUGCCCUUCCUACACCCUCGCCCUCGUCCCCUACCACCUCCACAUCCAUGUUGUCAACCCCUUCCUCGAAUAUGCCUCCACGUCCACGUUGUCGACCCCUUCCUCGAAUAUGCACAUCAUCCUCCAUCUGAAGAUGUACAGGCUUAGUGCCAUGCAUCUGAUCAAUAUGCUUGAUGGCGGUGCCCUCAACAAUUUGGCUUCGUCCCUUGCGUGUCAACGACUGAUGAUAGCAUCCCCUUUUGCAUCUCAACUAUAGGCUCGUCAGAAAUAUGAUCGUGUCGCCGUCACGUAUGUCGAUAUAUAAUAUCAACCCGACACACCUCCGAUGCGGAUGGAACGUCGGAUGGAGGAUUAGGCGUGAAUGGAUCAAACUGAUGUACCUCUGAUGUAGAUGGUAUAUCACAUGGAGGGAUAAACGUCGAUGCUUGAGGGAACGAUGCCGACGGGAUAUCAAAAUGAAAGACUUCCGAUGUCGAGGGGACGUCAGAUGGAUGAAUAGUGUCGGAUAUGGAUGGAAAAUCGUAUGCAUGCGUGGAGGCGGAGGGAAUAUUGCCAUGGUCAUCAAAAGAUGGCAGGCGUGGAGGUGGAGGAAUAUCACCAUGAUCAUGAAAAGAUGGAGGAAUAUAACUGUGUUUUUCCAAAAUUUGUCGCCCUGCGAAGCUUUCGAUAAAUGAGGGCAAAAAAUUGAACUCGAUAACCAAAUUUCGGGGCACAUCGACCAUAAAAUUCAGUUUUUGGAGUUAGAAUAUUGAAAAUACUAAUAAAAUUAAAAGCUAAAUUAAAUCAAUUGAUACUUAAAUUUAUUUAAUUUAUUUGUCAUAUAAUUUAUCGCUUAAUUUUUGUGGAUAGAUCUAAUAAAUUUUUAUCAUCCACCGGGACGAUAUAUGUGGAAUUAAGCAAUCAUCUCUUUAUAAAGAUAUAAAUUUAUAUAAUUAUUGUACUUGUGAAUUUUAUUAUAGUAUUUUAAUUUCUAUUCUUUAUAAGGUAUAAUUGUACUUUAUAUAUAUAAAAAAAAAAACUUAGCAAUAUGUUAAUUGGUGAGUGUAAUAAGCUAUACAUAACUAAUAUUCAUAAUUAUUUAAUUAAAUCAUUCAAAAUAACAUUAUAAGAGUUUAUUGGAAUUAAAAAAUAAAAAAAGGUUGUGCCAAAACGUGCCAUUUGGAGGUCAUACGUAUCCGUCGGCACGCAAGCGUGUUUGUGCCGUAUCAUGCCAGGCAAAAAGCGGCAUACCUCUGUGCCACGACACUUUAAUCCUUGGAUAAAAUGCUCAUGUUGGUUGGAGGACAUAAUACUUGCAUUUUGCACACGUCCAUAUCUUAUAUAUUAUGUGUUUGUUUGUUCUAUUGUUGUCUUUCAUUCCAUCUUUAAGUUUUUGGUUCCUUAAUAAGUUGUUAUGGAGGGCAUGCUUUUCUUUGUAUUUACAUGGGUGUCUCUUUUAAAUUUAGGGAUACAGUUUCUGCUUGCUAUCUUGGCUUGAAUCAUAUAAUUAUUAGUUCUAUUUUGCAAGGCAGUCAUUUUAUGCACAAAUGUCGUACAAUAAGAUCUUCAAAUAUUCUUUCAGUGAAACCCAAUUUUCUAGAGUCUUUUGUUUAAAUAUAAAUCCUGUAUGCCAAAUCUCUUUUGCUAUUUUUUGUCAUCACAGUGUGUUUUACUAUAGGUUGUAUGAAAUUCAAUUUUGUAGCAAAAUGAACUAUGAAUUACAAGUUUCCCAAAGCGAUGAGACAAUUUUGGAGUCUUAUUCUUCUUAUCUGCUCUAGUAAAAUCAGUUUUGUUGAAGUCGCAAUUGGAAUUGUAUGUUUACAUGAUCAAAUGAACUCAAUUAUCUAACCGAGUUUGCUUAGAGAGUAUUUGAAGGAUUGAUUGGGUUACCAUCCAAUCAUAUUAUCACCUUGAAGCAUAUGAGAUGGUGAGACUGAAAUUACUAAAGGAGGAUGAGUCGACCUCUUGGUUUUUCUUUUGUGUUAUUCAGGGUUAUUUUAUUGUUGGCAUUUUUGCAACCAUUCUUGUUUUUUUGCAUUCUGUUACAUUGUUAAAUUAAAUGAUUUAAAUGAAAAGACAAUAUUUUCUUUUCCUCUUUUUAAAAUUUUUCUUUUCUGCAGGUUCCAUACCAAUCAAACCGAAUGUUGAGCCAUUCAACUGUAGUUGAUUCAAUCUUUCAGCGAUUUGGGUUCUCAUCUACUGCAUCUCCUGAACCUACUGAAAAGGAUGCGAACCAAUCUCCCGGCCACGAUAAUACAUCAAAAGCUUCAUCAGAAGCGGUGCCCGACAUCGACCCUACCAAAAAGAGUAAUGGUUCUACUAGCCCAGGUCAAACACCAGAUGCAGGUCAUAGUUCGGAACCUGAGGAUCCAAAAUCCCACGACUCUCAUAAGAGGAGGAGGAAGAGUAGUACUAAACGAACUGCAUUUUCUGAUUCAGAUGCCGAGGGGGAGCUAUCUAUGGAUGAAUUAGUCAAGCUCGUAGCAGAGAAAGAAGAGCUACUGAAGUUAAAGCACAAGGAGAUUGAGAAAAUGCAAGAUAAGGUUCUUCGCAGCUAUGCCGAGAUGGAGAAUGUUAUAGACAGGACAAAGCGUGAGGCUGAGAACUCAAAGAAAUAUGCAAUACAGGUAUUUCGCCAGUCCCCCAACCCCCCCGCCUCUUUUGUUUUCCCUUUCCUCUUCAGGACUUCCAUAUAUACUGUUGGAAGUCAUUUAUCUAAAUGUACGCCACUUUAAAAUCUGGAAUCUUCGUACAUAUCCCUUGAAACUUUUGUAUUUACCAAAAUACCCUUAAGUUGGGGAUUUGUCUAAUUUUAUGAAGGAACUUGGAUUUUGGAUCAGAGUGAAUCUUUCAAAGAGGGGUACUUUGUGAGUAUAAGAUACGAUUCUGAUAAAUUAAAGUUUUGAAGGGCACAGGUGAAAAUUUAGAUUUCACAAUGCUUGUUCAGUGGAUGAUUCUGUAGUGGCAUCUGCAUAUAUGUUUCCUUGCCAUUUUAGUUUUGCACUGUAUGCUCAUUUGACCUUUCUUCUAGAGCAGCUUCUGUACUCGGGAAAGCAUAUGUUUCUAGACAAUAAUCAUUCGGUUACCGAGCAUCACAGAACUUCUAGCGGGGAGCUGAACGAGCUUUCAGGCUCUAAAAGUCGAAAAUUUAUUUUGAAGCUUUUGUUUAGCUUGGAAUAAGUUACUAGGAAUUUUAAUUCAGAAGUUAUUUGUGCUUUGUCCAACUGUGCUAACUUAAUUAGCACUGCUGUAAAAGCUGCUUUGGUCUUGUGUUUUUUAUUUAUAUUGUGCCCUUAGGACUUCUUUCUAUUAAGUGCAUGUCUCAAAAUACUCUGCUUGUGUAUGGUUACAGAGCUUUGCGAAGAGCUUGUUAGAUGUUGCGGAUAAUUUGGCUAGAGCUUCAUCUGUUGUGAAGGAAAGCUUUUCAAAGCUUGAUACAUCUAAAGACAAUGCAGGAGCUGUCCCUCUCCUGAAAACCCUACUUGAGGGUGUUGAGAUGACUGAAAAGCAACUUUCGGAGGUAAUAUUUUUUUUCCCACCUGUGAUUCGAUGCUUUAUCAGUUCCUGUAUUUCAGAAUGAUAGUUAUAAGAAGAAACUGUUUCAUAGUAUUUUACUAUCUUCAGUAUUCAUCUACCAAAAAAAGUUUGUGGUAAGGCCACCUUUUUAUAUAUAAACAAAUUCCUUUCAAUGCUGACAUCUUGCGAAACAAUGGAGAAUUUGCUUUUUUGCUUACGAAGUUUACUGCUGAUUAGCAUUUUGAUGAUUUUCGGUUAUAUUUCACCAACUUGUAAUAUAUGGGGGUAACUUCGAAAUGCCAUGUUCAAUGAUUCCUUCAGUAGAAAAUUUGUUUUCCAGUGGGUUCUCACUGCUUCUUUAAUCUGGUGGGCCUAUUAAUGCAUAACUCUAUGUGGCCUUCUUGCACUCGUGAGUCGUGAGUAACAAAUAGUUUUUGUGUCCGAAAAUAGCCCACUUUUUUUUUUUUAUUUUGCAAUCUCAGUUUAGUUAUGCUGAUUUGGCGACUUUGGGCUUUAGUGUCAUUCUGUGGAUGGGAAUUGCCCUAGCAGAUGUUGUGAGGAGUCCCAAGUAGUGAAGAUUCCGGGCAGGGGUAUUCUGGUUCAUGAAAUUAUCUUUGUUGACCCAAAAGUUACAGUGCAACAAAAUUCCAAAAUAGAAAAAUAAGUGGACAACUUUUGUGCAAAAUGUGCAAAAACUUGCUCAUUGCAUCUGAUUGAUCUAUGUUGCUACAAGUGGAAUACCAUUGCCUCUGAUUUCUUUAAAAGAUAUAAAUUUGUUGUAAUAUUCUAAUGAAUACCCUCUCUCUUUUUCAGGUGUUUAGAAAGUUUGGAGUGGAGAAAUUCGACCCUACAAAUGAGCACUUUGAUCCGCAUAGGCAUCUUGCAGUUUUCCAAAUCAAAGAUGCUUCGAAACCACCUGGAACUGUAUCUGUUGUUAUAAAGGUAAACUUCUUGUAAACUUUAAUUUGAUUUGGAAUAUUAAUUUUGGGCUUCUUUUUAUUUAAACCAUGGAAAGACUCAGAUUUGUAAUUGUUAGAUCUGACUGGUUUAUAAGAUGAAUGUGUAGUUGUGUUAUUCUUUCUAGAUUUAGUUUGGAAAUGGAGGGGGACAUGACUUGAUCAGUUUAAAGCAUAUCAUGUUCUUACAGUCACUUCUAAGAAACGGACGAAUAUUAAUUAUUGUAAUCUUAAUGUUUAUUAAGCUGCACUAUCGCUUCUCGAAGUUGACUUAAAUAGACUAAUCAUGUAGUGUAAGUUUAAGGCUUCAAUCAUGUAACUUUCAGUUUAAAUAUGUUGAUAUUCAAUUACAAGUUCUCGUUGACAGGAGCUGUUCUCUUGGCCAAACGAAUGUCCUUUGUUUCUUCUUUUCUUUUAUUAUUUUUGACAUUUGCAUUGUUAACGGCGGUAAUUAGAGCAAUAGGCGGUGUUAUAGUGGAGCAACAUGUGAGAACUUAGUCCACAAUUAAAAAUAAUUAAAAAAGUUAAAUUUAGAGAAUUCUAGUAUUUGGCAGGGUAUCGGAAUAGUUUAUUUAUUUAUGAAAAAUUAAGCUUGAUGGGAAUUAGGAGAAUUCUACUUAUGCAUAGAGAAUAUAUGCAGUUAGUGAUUGGACAAAACAGCUGGAUCUAACCAUUCCAUAGUUGAGUUUGGAAUGUGAAAAUGACGUACUAAAUGCGGCAAACCUUAUUUGAUCGUUCAACCCGUCUUUUGAACUUUCUUUUGACUCUGUAAUUUCUCUGCCUUGGUUAUGGACUAAUAAUAAUUAGUUUCUUUUGAUUCGCUUUUCCUGGGCUCUUUGAGUAUCAAAUUCAAUUGUAUUAGAAAUAUAAUUAUAAUUGGUGUGAAAUUAUUUUUAACUUUUUAACUUUGAUUUUCAAAAUUGUAUGAGCUGUGCAUUAAUCAAAUUGAUCUGCUGAUCGAUGUAAUUGGUUUCGUCGCUUUUGCAGACUGGAUACAUGCUGCACGAUCGCGUACUUCGCCCGGCAGAAGUUGGUGUAACCGAAGCCAAUAAUGAAACAGAUGAAAAUUCCAGUGAAUGAAUUGGAGGUUGGGCGGGGCCCGUAGUACUUCCUAUCAAACAUUUCUUAUAGUUGUAUACAGAGUUUUUAAGUUAACUCACUUUUCCGUAGUCGGCGAGAUCAUUUACCCGUAAGAUUAGGAAAGGAAAAUUUGACUGCUGAUCUUUUUUUGAAAGUUCGACACCGAGUCUGUUCACAAUUUUUGGUUCUUUAAUUGAAAUAAUCAGUUUUUACGAAACUCGCUCGUGCAGCUUUUGGAUAUGGAAAUUUCCUCACUAGACUCUAGUUGUCGCGGAAUAUUGUGAACAACAAUUCGAUGACUCUCAGAACACUCUUUUGAUCAAUCAUUUAUUUUUGUAGCAAGUAUGUCCAUCUGUGAUGCUGCUGUGAAAUAUUUAACCAUUUUAAUGUGCAUGUUUUUUUUUUUUUUUUUUGGGGGGGUAGUGGAUUUUUGUGGCGAUGAAUUCAAAAGGAUGAAUCAAAAAGUGUUCCUUUUGUGCUGAUGUCCAACAUAGAUUAGCAUCCUUUAGAAGUGUGUUUUUCUUUCCCGUCUCUCUAUACCUCUCUGCUGCUUUAUUAGAGUUUUGUGUAUACUAAAUUUUAGUGUGUUUUUUUUAGUGCUUUUAUUUUUUUCUUUCGCGCACGCGCGUACGGAGGGGCGCAGGCCCUAAGCCGGACCGGCCCCUUUGCGCCAAUGCCGCCCGCUCGCUGCGUGUCGCAGCUGUGUCACCGGCGCACCGCACGCCGCGUCGGAUAAAAAACGACGAUAUGGUUGAAUCUAGCUAAUUCUAUUUUGUUGGUGAUUUAAUCUGAAACUAGUGAAGGCCCGCGCUUCGCGGCGGAAAAUUUGCGUAAAUUUUAAAAUAUUGUGAACAAAUUUUUUUAAUUUUAAAUUAAAUAUAAAAAUUAUAUAUAGUAAAUAAAUAUAUAUUUAUAAAUAAAAUUAGAUAUAUAUAAAUUAGACUUAAAAUUUAAAAUUUGAAAUUUAUAUAUAAAAUUUAAAAUUUAAAGUUGUAAAAUUCUCUCUCUCUCUUUCUCUUUCUCCUGACUCCUCUCUCUCUCUCUUUCUCUCUCUCCCUCUCUCUCUCUCUCUCUCUCUCCCUGCUCUCUGUGGGUCCCGCCGAAGGCCUCCGCCAAACGCGGGGAGGCCCCCCUGGUGCUCGGCGGGCGCACAUGGUAGGCCCCUCCCCUCUCUCUCCCUUUCUCUCUCUCUUCUGCUCUCUCUCUCUCUUCCUCUGUUCUCUCUCUCUCCCCCUCUCUCUGUAUGCUCUCUCUCUCUCUCCUCGGGCAGAGCUGAGCAGGGGAGGGAAUUGCUGGGGAGACGACGCGUGGCGGGUUUAGGGUUCGCCUUUUAUUAUAUGUAUAGACAAUCAACUAUUGUUCGAAAAAUUGAUCUUAAUAGUCUUGAUUUUGUUUGUUCCAAAAAAAAUCCAAUCAACAUGGGAAAAAGGAUUACAUCUUAAACAAAGAAAUUAACGACUAUCUCGUGUUUUCGUUUUUCAGAUCUUAAUCUAUCAAUUUAACUAAAAUAAUUAGAUAGGAUUUAGUUUUUUUUACCUCACGCGGGUUGGGAACACUAUAAAAUCCAUGAUCGUUGGUAAAAUCUAUUCGUCUUCGUUAGCUAGCUGCGCCUGCACAUGCUCCCGGUCUCUACUCGUGUCCACAUGAGAUCAUGGGUUUGAUCAAGCUAAUCAACGACUUCGAUCCGCGAUUCGGUUAUGAACUAAUACUUAUGUUGCUGCGAGAGAGAUGAAUCAACCUUCAGUGCGUGCUAGCAACCUUCUAAAGAUUGAUACCGGUGGUUUUAUAUUGUAGGAUUUGAAAAAAUGGGAGGGGAUUGAUCGCUAGAUUUUUCUAGUUUUCUUUUAUUAAUUAUUAGUGUAUGUGCGAUGCACGUUUUGUAGACAAUUUUUUUAAAUUAAAAUUUCAAAUUUAAAUAUCUAAUUUAUUUUAUCGGAAAUGAGAUCAUAGAGUAAUCGUUUUAUUAAAAUAAUUUAAUGAUGAUAAAAAAAGGACUUCUUUUUCUUGAAGAGAAAAAAAGAAAAAGAAAAGAAGAAGCCCUAUUUCUUUUAAAUAAUUAUUAAAUUAAUUUUGCAAGAAAAAAAGGUUAAUUAUGAAUGUUUUGGUAGUAAAAAUAGUUAACUAAGGAUAAGAAAAUUAAUUAGGAAUAUAUUGGAAGUAAAAUAGACAAUGAGGGGUAUUUUGGAAAUUAAAAUUGAUAGAUCGAAAAAAUAUACUUGCUUUUUUAUAUAUACUAGUUAAGGAAGCCCGCGCGAUGCGCUGGGUAUUUUUUUAACUUUAUAUAAUAAAAUUUUAUUUGAAAUAAUUUAAUAAAUUUUUAAAAAAUUGUAAGAACAUAAAAAAUCUACAUCCGUAUAGAAUCAAUUUAACAUUUUAUUCAAGUCUAAGCUGCUUAAAGAAAAAAUAGCGCGAAAACUUUAAAAUAUAUAGUUAUAUAUUUUAAAUUUUUAUAAUAAAAAAAUUAAUUGAAUUCGAUAAAAUCAGUACGGUCGGGGUCAAAUAGUAAAUUUAUAAGUUUGUGUUUUAAUUAUAAUAAAACUUUAGGAUAUAUAAUUAUUUAUGCCUAAUUUUUAAAUAUUUUAGAUUGUAUGUAUUAAAUAUUAAUUUUAAUUUUAUAAUUAUUUAGAUAUAAAUAAUUUAUUUUUUAUAAAAAAUACUAUAAUUAAGUUUUUUUUAAAAUUCAAAAAAGUGAGAGAGAAAAGAGUGGCUCCCUCUCCCUCAAGCGCAGUCCACUACCCCUGUCACGCCCCGGAUGUCUCAUUCCCCGGGCACGCCGACAAAUUCGCCGUAUACAAAGAAAUUUUUUCUGUAUACGAAGCGACAGCUGUACCUGUAGAUAUACAAUACUACAAACAGUAACAUAGAGCUGCUCAAAUAAACAAACAGAGUUCAUAUAUAUAGUUCAAAUCCAAAAUAUAGAGUUACUCGCACUAGCGAGUUAAGUAAGCUAUGUACAUAAACUCAGACAAAACAUCUACCUGCAGCAGAGGUGCCACUAGCUCUGUCAGUCGGGUAGGGCUCUAACUCGCGACACCCUUGCCUUGAUCCUGAUCCGCGGAAGGCGCAGCAGUCGAAACCUGUGGCUCUACAAAACAAGAGUAACAACUGGGCGUGAGAACUACUGUAAAAACAAGUAGUCCUCAGUGGGUACCGCCCAAAACAACAUCGGUCACCCACUAAGUCUACAGAAGGGAGCAAGAAUAGUAGGAAAAGCAGGAAGUACACUCUACCGCUAUCAAUCACUACACUAUCAUGCUCUACACUAACCAACUGUAGGAAAUGUCAAAUCUGACCCAAUCCAAUCGGGACUGUAAGCAUACCCGUCCCCGGAACUGUGAAUACACCCGUCCCCGCCCCGUUGUGACUGUCCAGCUACCUCCACUCUAACUGGUCCGUGGAGAGCAAGUCCAACUGGCAUGAGCGACACCAACGCGAAAGCACAAAGCCUGACUCCGGAGUGGCACUCGUGGGCGCUACCCAACCGAGUAUGCAGCGUAUCUCUGUCGAGCUCAAACAGGCUCUGAAAAGCCAAAGUCAAGAAAUCGACUCUAACUGGUCUAACAAUCAACAAGUAACGUGCCCUCGGCACACUAAGAUGCCAAAAAGGCGAUACGGGUCCACCGUCAACCUCAACGGCACCCUACAGUCCGGAACAGCCUAAACGACCCUGUAAAAAUCCACUCGGCGAACCAGCACGAGUGUAGAUAUAUUCUAAACUACCUGAAGUACUCGUCUUGAAGAUACUGCGACAGUACAAUUUAAUAACGGCUCCUAGAGCUAAAUCAGGCAGUUUAAUCAAGUGACAGGUCCAAAACGCAGGUUUUCUUCUAAUUCAAUUUCCAAGUCCAACAAGUAUAACCUAUUCAAUUUAUUACCUCAUGCUCCAAAUUCAGAUAUGCAAUCUACCAUUUAAUCCAUGAAUUCGAGCUAGAAUAGAUUAUCCAAAAAAAUCGGAAACUAUACAUGUCGACGAUUAGAACUUAGGAGUCAAAGCCAAUGUAACCCACCUCGCACGCUAAUCCCUUGCAGCACGGAACUCUCACGGUGGCGGAACAACCUGCUGGAUCGACUGGAAAUGUCCGAUUCCCGCAAUUGAGCUAACUCCAAGCUAUCAACGUCGCAAAUCCACAAUUCAGUCCAAAAAUACAGCAGCAGAGAAGGGAAGGGUUUCGACCAAGCUAACCUUCACCAAAAACCGCAAGUAAGGGCUUCGUGGAUUCCUCUCGAAGUCCCGAAUCCAACGAACCAAGUCUCGCCGCAAUCCGAUGCUCCUACGUCGAGAACGAGCUAAAAUACUAACAGUCGACGGUGGAUUUCAGCAAACAAUAACUAUCCGAGUAGAAAUAGUAAACACUUGCCCAAAAAUCAAGGAAAAACUAAAAUACCCACCUCGACAACGCCGAGCACCUGAGUGACAGCAAGAACGGUGAAAAUCCCUGCUCGCCCAGCCUCCACGCGCUACCCCGGCGUCAAACACAAGCUCGAACGGCCUCGCGGCGCGACGUCGGCGACAAAACUCCAACCGAGCUCCAAAGCCUUCAACCGGAGGAGAGUGAGAGUGAGAGAGGGAGAAUUGCAACUAGAAGACCUCUCUCUUUCUCUCUACACGAAGCUAUAUAGAGGGGAGAGAGGGGUGAUACAAACGAGGGAGGGAAUUACCAAAUUAACCCUCUACCUACCCCCUUGUACCGGUACACGGGCUCUUGUACCGGUACAAGAGCCAACCCGAGAGCUGCUAAGCCACUGCGCGAUGGUUGUACCGGUACAGCGUGCUGGUUGUACCGGUACAGCAAGCAGAGAAAUCUGCUGUUUUGCAGAUUUCUUUGCUAUAAGCUGCCCUUGCGUCGUAUGGAAUCCGUUUUACGUCUAUUUGACGCCAACGCGACUCGGACUUGUCCCGACACUCUCCAGAGUUGUCGAUAAGCCUCCACAGCUAAACACAAGGGAUCUCACAACCCCCCUCCCUCAGCCGGUCCACCAUGAGCCGCCCGCCCGGUAGACUUCGUGCAGGGACACCUGUGAGCCCCGCCAGCUCCCCUCACGCGGGUCGCGCCCACACACGCCACGUGGCAGCCCAGGAACGCUUAGGUUCCCAAUUCAUAAGUUAUAUAAUAGUAUAGAUUGUUAUUUUAACGUGCGGUACAACAUGUAUUUAUAAAGAGAAAACUCCAAGCCUAAUAUUAAUUCCAAGCAGAAUUCUUGUUCCAUUGGUUUGUCAAAUUAGUUCCUCAAGUUGGGUUUAAUCUAAAACCAAAUUUGAAUCCUAAUUCGAUUUGUAUGUAAUAUUUACACGUAAGUCAUAUUAUUUACUAGCAACUAGUAAAUACUAAAUACACUAUACAACUUUUACAUUUAAAUAUCUCUAAUUUACAACAAUCUAUUAUAUAUUACUGCAUACUAUAGUUCGUGAAUGUGUUCUCUUUACAUGACACGUGUUCUCCAUAUAUUUUGGGUGAACUUGGUGCAGUGUAGACCAUGAACCUGUCUCGAUUGGAUCUAUUGAGGAGGUGUUCUCUUAGGGCUUGUUUGGUUCAUCCAUUUUGAAUAUGGAAUGGGAAUCGGUUUGAUCAAAUCCGGUUAAUUUUAUUUGGUUCGCAGGAAUUGGUUUGGGAUUCCUAUUCCGAACUGGAAUUGGAAUGGCCCAUCAGCCUUCAAUUUAAUUCCGGUCUCCUAAUCCGGAUUGAGAUUUCAUUCUCGAAGUCUACUAAGUUCUCGAGGCCUAUGCAACCAUCUCACCCUCCUCUCCUGUAUACAUAAGAUCUCUUCAUCCCUCUCUCAUCAAAAAAAAAAAAAACCACCUAUCCUCUCUUAAAACCCUAGCCCUAACCCACAUCAAUAAAAGUUUUUAAAAAUAAAUUUGAUAUUUUUUUUGGAAAAGUUAUUAGAGAAUAGUAUUAUAUUUUUCAUAAAUUUUAAAUAAUAUAAAAUUAUAUUUGAGAGUAAAAUUAGUAUUAUGGUAUCCUAUAAUUUUUUAGUUUAUACGAACCAAACAAUGAAAUGUGAAUAACCAUUCCAAUUUCCAAUCCACAAAUGAACCAAAUGUUUUGAGGGAGUGAGCCAAUCCAAUUUAUUCCAAUUCAUUCUCAUUCCAUUAUCCAUUCCAAUUCCACCUUUGAACCAAACAAGCUCUUAAUGUGACAUGUGUUUUCUUUAUAUCUUCUUCUCUUUGACAGAGUGUGUCCUUUCUCUUUUAUUUUAAUUUUUAUUUAAUAUUCAUAUCGUUUUGAUCUCCUCUGUCUCUCCACUGAGAAAUAUACAUACCUCUUUCCUCUCUCUCUCUCUCUUAGAGUUUAAUUUUAAUUUAAUUUUCUCUUUUCUCUCUUUCUUCAAACAAAAGACGUGACUAUUUUUUUUUAAAAAAAAUUUAAAUUUAACUUUAAUAAUUAUAUAUUUUCAAAAAUACUUAAUUUUUUAUUUUUUAAAUUAUAAAUAAAAUACACUAUAUUUAAAAGUUUAAAAGUACUCUUUCUUACUUUAAUUUUUAUUUAAUGUUUUGUUCUCUCUCCAAAUAAGAGAUACUUUUUUUUCUCUCCUCUCUCUCUCUUCUCUCUCUUCAAAUAAGAGAAACCUUUUUUCUCUCCUCUUUCUCUCUCAAGUGUGGAUGCUUCUUUGCAUUUUGUAUGACCAAAUUAUGUGCACUCUCUUAGAAAAGUGAAAUUUAAGUAUUUUUGAAAAUGUGUAACAAGAGAUAACUUUUUUUAAAAGAUUAAAAAUUGAAUUUAGUAAUUAUACAUUUUUAAAAAUACUUAAAUUUUACUUUUUUAAAAUAUAAGUAAAAUAUAAUAUAUUUGAAAGGCCUUUUUGCAUAAAAAAUCUACUUAUUUUGGGCUUUUGCAAAAUCGGACCAUCUUUUUUAUUUUUGCAGAUUCGGUCCACUUUUUCAGCAAACUGACCAAAAUACCCUUAUACAUUUUUCUCUCUCAUCUUUUUUUUUUCUUUCGUUCUUUUUUUCUUUCUUUUCCCAGAGAGCGGCGGAGGCAGAAACGUCACCUCCUGCCCCGGCGACGUCGCGCUCGCCCGCUGGAGCACCUUUAAGGAUAAUUUUUUUUUUCUCCUCUUUUUUUUCUUCUUCUUCUUUCUCUUGCUGGAGCACCUUUCUUUUUUUUUUUCUUUUUCCUCUUCUUCUUCUUCCUGUAGGAGCACGAGGCGCCGCCUUCGCCCACGCCCACAGCCGCUCCCUCCUCGUCAGCCCCACCUGCUCCUACAUCUCCAUAAUAAUAAUAAUAAUAAAAAAAAAAUUCCAUCCCAUUCCAUUAUUACACCUAUGCAUGCUCUCUUUUAAAAUCCCAAAUUAUAGGGCUUACUAGGCUCUUGUUAGUUACACACACAUAAUGCUCCCAUAUGCUAUUUUCUCAUUCAACAGCGAUACACUAUAAUUAGAGCUUUUAUUUUUCAGAAAAACUAUUAUUUAUACUAAUUAUUAUUAUUAUUAUUACUACUACUAUUAUCUGAUCUCUGAUCGACAGGACACCUUUCUUCCCCGAAACCCAGCCUGGGACUCGCUUGUGCCCAAGAUGACCCGCACGGGGCGCGCCACCACCGCGUCCCCCGUGUUCGCCUCGGGGCGCUGGCGCUCGAGGCUGCUUGCGGGCGCCGCCCCAUUGAGCCCAAGGCGGCGCCCGAGGAGCUCAUCCUCGUGGAGUGAGUCUGGGAGCGCUGGGCUGCGGGGAGGUGGCCGGAGAAGGUGGACGCGCGGCUGGGCGGGGACUACGACCAGGACGAGGCAAUGGUUGCGAUCAAGGGGAGGCCGAGCGGCAGGGCGCAGGAGGGGGAGGCGGAGGCGCAGCCGGCGCCGGCGAGGAGUGGGGACCAGUAUACCAUUACACCAUUUGCACCAUUAUACUAUUACACCAUUACACCAUUUGCACCAUUACACCAUUACACCAUUACACCAUUUUGCACCAUUACACUAUUACACCAUUUGCACCAUUACACCAUUACAGCAUUACAAUUUUGCACCAUUACACCAUUAUACCAUUUGCACAAUUACACCAUUACACCAUUUGAACCAUUAUACCAUUACACUAUUUGCACCAUUACACAUUCGUGGGAGACCUUCUGGAGGAGGACGUCGCGCGUGAUCUUCUUGGCGCUCGCCCCCCUUAGAGAAAUCUUUAAAAUAAAAAAUAAAAAAUUUUAAAAAAAACACCCAAGAAGAUGAUGAUGAUGAUAAGAGAAAGAGAUCAAGAAACUGGAGAGAAAAACAAAAAUAAAAAUAAAAAAAGAUGGAAACGCAAAAAUAAAAAUAAAAAAACCACCCACUGCUAUUUUUUUCUUUUUUUUUUUUUGGCUCUUUCUCUGCGCGAAUAAUAAGGGAUUGUAAAUGCACGCAAUUGCGAUAGAAUAAAGCAUGCUGCUCCAGACGCAGGAGGUGAACGUCGCGCUCCUCGGGUACCGCCGCCGCUUCCGCAGCUUCGUCGACUGCAUCGCUCGCACCAUGUGCGACGAGGGCUCCCUCUGGCCCGGCUCUUUGCUGCCGCGCCGUUCACCCACGUCCUCCGCGACGCCCUUCGCCCCGUGCUCCUACAGGAAGAAGAAGAAGAAGAAGAGGAGGAGGAGGAAGAGGGAAAAAAAAAAGAAAAAAGAAAGGUGCUCCAGCAGGAGGAAGAAGAAGAAGAAAAGAAAGAAGGGAAAACAAAAUUAUCCUUAAAGGUGCUCCAGCGGGCGAGCGCGCGACGUCGCCGGGGCAGGGGGUGACGUUUCCGCCUCCGCCGCUCUCUGGGAAGAGAAAGAAAAAAAGAACGAAAGAAAAAAAAAAAGGAGAGAGAAAAAUGUAUAAGGGUAUUUUGGUCAGUUUGCUGAAAAAGUGAACCGAAUCUGCAAAAAUAAAAAAGAUGGUCCGAUUUUGCAAAAGCCCAAAAUAAGUGGAUUUUUUAUACAAAAAGGCCUAUAUGAAAGUGCUCUCUCUCUCUUAAUUUAAUUUUUAUUUAAUAUUCUCUUUUCUCUCUCCAAAUAAGAAAUAUACCUUUUAUCUCUUCUCUCUCUCUCAAGGAGAAAUGUGCCUACUUUUUUCCAUUCUCUAUUAUUAAAAUAUGUGCUUUCAUUCUCUCUCUCUCACUUUUAUUUUUUCUUAUUUCUCUCUUUUUUUCAGACAAGAGACAUGAUUUUAUUAAAAAAAUAAAAAAAUGAUUUUAGUAAUUAUACAUUUUUAAAAAUGCCAUAUUUAAAAGUUUAAAAGAUAAAUAUUGAACUAUAAAGUAAAUGCACUAAAUUUCGAAGUUGGACUUACGCAAGGACUAUUUUUUAAUAUUUUUCUUUCUUUCUCUUUCUAAAAAAUUAAUUUUUAAGACUUGUUUUUUCUCUUUCCUCUCCUUCUCUCCCAUCAUGAACUCUCGCUACAAGAAAAGAUAGUAUUAGUGGCAAAAAUAAAGUGACGAUAAAAUAUGUCGCCACUAUAUAGUUAUCUAUGGUGGCGAUAAAAUAAAUUACUACCGAUUGAUUAAUUGAAAGUGACGAUACUACUUUUGCUACUAAAUGACUAUUUUGUCGCCACUAUAUAGUGGUGGCGAUAAAAAAAAUUGCCGCCAAUUAAUUAGAUUAAAGUGGCAAUACUAUUUUCGCCACUAAAUAACUAUGUUGUUGUCACUAUAUGUUACUACGGUGGCGAUAAAAAAAAUUGCCAUCAAUUAAUUAACUUAAAGUAACAAUACUAUUAUCACCACUACAUAACUAUUUUUUUUGUCACUAUAUAUUUAUUUAUGGUGGCGACAAAAAAAAUCACCACCGAUUAAUUAACUUAAAGUGGCAAUAUUACUUUUGUCACUAAAUUACUAGUUGGUUGCCACUAUAAGGUUACAUAUAGUGGCGAUAAAAAAAUUGUCACUUAUUAAUUAACUUAAAAUAUCAUUAUUAUUUCCGUCACUAAAUAUCUAUUUUGUCAUCGCUAUAUAAUCACAUAUGGUGGUAAAAAAAAGUCGCAAUAAAUUAAUAUAUUUGCUUACUCUCUCUCUAAAAUCACAUAUGGUGGCACAAAUAAUUGCUACAAAUUAGUUGAAACUAAGGUGUCAACUCAAAUUUAUAUCUAUUUUAUUAAAUUAAAUAAUUUAAUAAUUUUAUUAAUAAAAUUGCAAUCAAAAUAAAAUAUUUAAAAUUUUUAUUUUCAAAAUAAUGUGCAUUAUUUAUUUGUUAAAAAUAAAAUUUAUUGAUAAAUUUAUUUGUUAAAAAUUAACUAAAUUAACUAAACUUGAUAAAAAUAUUGAUAAAUUUAAUAAAUUUUUAAUUUUAAUUUAAAAAUUAAUAAAUAUUUUAAAAAAUUAAAAGAUAAACUAAUCUUAAUAAAAAUAAUUAAAAUUAAAAUGCUAUUUUAAUGGCCUCAUAGUUUGGAGACUUUGUGUACAUUUUANUAUUAAAAGGAUAAAAAAAAAAAACCACUUCAUUUCCUCCAAAAGAAAAAAAAUCUACACUUAAAUAAAAAAAAAAAAAAUACCCACUCUCCACCCUUUCCCUCACCUGGACCCAUUUCCCCUCGUCGCCUAUAGGUUCAGGCGCCUAAACCCACUCUCCACCAUCUCCCUCACCUAAACCCCUCUUCUCCUAGGCAACCCCUCGCCGGCGAGCUCCUCACCAACGAGAUCCUCGCCGCCGAUCUUCUCGCCGGUUAGCUUCUCUCCGUUCUUCUCGCCGGCGAGCCCCACUCCGUUGAUCUCGUCGCCGGUUACCUCAUAGGCGACGAGCUCAUUGCCGCCGAUCUUCUCGCUGGCGAGCCCCUCUCUGUCGAUCUCUUCGCCGGUGACCUCAUAGGCGACGAGGUUUUUGCCGCCGAUCUUCUCGCCAGUGAGCCUCUCUCUAUAAUAAUAAGGAUGGUGGAGUGUUUUUUAUGCAAUUUUUGCUUGAUUUUUUCUAUUUUUUAUGUUUAUUAGGCUUCUAGUUGCUCUGAUUUGGUAUUAGUUUCUUGGAUUUGGUAUUAUUUGCUUCGACCAUAACUCAGAGAGAGAGAUGGGGAUUUCUAUUGCCUCUUAGGGCGUGUUUGGUUCACUUCUUUUUCACCCUGGAAUCGGAAUCGGAAUGGGCGAAUCCGUUUGUAGGUGUUUGGUACGCGGGAGUUCUAUUCCAAUUCCGAUUCCUGAGUGGAAUGAGAAUUAUCCAAUUACCACUUUUUCCAAUCCGGCCUCCUAAGCCGGAUUGGAAGUUGAAUCCGGACGGAAUUGAUAUUUAUUCGGAUUAAAUUUAUUUUUUCAAAUUUUUUUAAUUAAAAUAUGAGUUUAAAUUUAUAAAUUAAAUUUAUAAUUUUAAAUUUUAAUUUUAAUUUGAAUUAAAAAUUAAAAUUUAAUCAAGUAUUUCGAAUCUAACUUAUGAAUUUGAAUUUAAAUUAAAUUUUAAUUUAUAUAAAGUUAUUCAAAUUUUAUUUAAAACUUAAAUUAAAUUUAUGGAUUCAAAUUAAAAUUUGAAUUGUAAUUUUAAGUUUGAAUUUGAAUAANAAUUUAAACUGUAAAUUUAAGUUUGACUUUUAAUAAAUAAAAAUUUAGUUACUUUUUUUUUUUAAUAAAAUUGAUUUAAAAUUUUGACAUUAUUUCAAAAUUUUGAUGUAAAUUUUUAAUAUUUAAUUUUCAAUUUGAAUUUAAAUUAAUAUAUUAUAAAAAUAAAGUUAGUAUAUUAAUUUGAUUACGUUUUUUAUAUCUGCUUGAACCAAACACCGAUGAUGGGAAUGAUUUAUUCCGAUUCCGAUUCAGGCAACGAACCAAACAUAAUUAGGUAAUGAGUCAUUCCGAUUUCGAUUCCAGUUUAUUUCGAUUCCGAUUCUGAUUCCGAUUCGGACUUCGAACCAAACGAGCCCUUAGUUUCUUCUAUGUUGUGGGUAUAACAUUAUUGAUUAUAUAAUUGCUCUUCACAAUAAAAUUACAUGGUGUUUGAACAAACUCUACUGAAUGUGAUCAGAUUCUGUUGACAACUUUAAUAAAUAUAUUUACCAAUAUUUAAUUUGACUCUGCCCUAAAUUUUAGGUAAAAUUUAAAUUUUCAUGUCACGCCCCGCGAUCGCCAAUUUGGUCGGUUCGGGCACGUGCACAGACGCCGAACGAACAGAACCUCCCCUAUCCGUCCAAGGCUCAACAAACAAUAACAGUCAUCAUGUAUAAAGAAUUAGCCCAGAAAUAAUGUCAAUAUACAUGACUUGCACGAGGGCAAGCAACAAGCAAGUGAAAGUAUCUAGCUAUACAUGCAUUCAUAUUCCAUCACAAACUAUUUACAUUCAUUUUCCCAAGUACAUGAUAUAUUAUUCAAGUACAUAACAUCAUCUCCUAUACAUAGUCUAUUUCAUCAAGUACAAAAGAUGAAACCAAAAAGGGUGUAGCUAAACUCGAAGGAAGCCCACUACCUAGGGCACGAUACCCUUACCGCGAUCCUCGACCGCCCCGCUCGCGCUAGAAUCUGCGAAGUUAGUAAUUUGAGAACUAAUGAAAGUUCCCAGUGGGUUCGGCCGUCGAUCUCACCGACUCACCUACUAGGUCUACUCAGGCAUAUGUAGAAAGAAAGAAUAGAUAGGUAACCAUACUAAUGUUACUACAAUGCCUGUACAAAAUUGAACAAUAGGUAAUAUACUUAUGAUGCAUGCAAUUCACUUUUUACCUUUACCUUUACCUAAUCCACUUUGUUAACUAUUUGGUUAAACCCAACUCACCAAACCAAAUUUCUUUUUGGCGGGGAGAAUACCGCUACAACUCGACGGGACCGUCUGCUGGGGAGAAUUUCGCUACCGCCCAGUUGAUGACAACUCCAGAGCUCACCGCUUGAGGUGGAGCGACCACCCUCAAGCAUUUAGACUAUCUGUGAGUACGAUCCAAUCCUCACUUGGAGGAUACCAUGUUACUAUUGCCACAAUGUUCACAUAGUUUUUCUUUGUCUAGCAUUCAUAAUUCUUGGUGCUAUUCAUUCCCUCUAGUCAUAAUGUCACCUUGUUUACUAUUGUCAUAGUCCUAUACCUUGUUCCUACAUUCAUAGGGUUCUAUGUCAUGGUCCUUUAUUGUUUCACAUGUUUUCUACAUUGAAAGCACAUAAGAUUGCCCACAUCUCAGCCACAUAAUAACAUCAACCCUAUAAUGCAUAAAUGCCAACUAUACAUAAACAUAUAUGCUCAACAAGGGAACAUCGACAUAAUGAAGGAUUCUAAGAUUUUGGAUAGCACUACCCACCUCGUGGGGAUACCGAGAUGCGAGAAGCCAAGUCCUGUGAUUUUUAGACGUCUACUUCUCUCGACCCCCGACAAACAAAGCAAAAAUGAGGCUUAUCCUAAAUAUCUUGCAGUAGACCCAUUGGAACUUCGUCCGAGCCUCCCAACGCGUCGAAUUAAGCUUCAAUUAGGGCUACAAGAGAUCAAACCCAUGUUAGAUCUCUCAUUUUACAAAUCCCCAUUUUUAACCCUAGGGUUCAUACAUGAUACCCAUUAUACACUUUUCUUGGGAUUUCAUAGCGUAAACAAGGCUCUAGAAAUCCAAGAAACUCAAAACUAAACCAUUUAGGGUAAUUAAAUUAAACCCUAACAAAGAAAUGCAAGAAACCUACCUUAGGUUUUUGCUCCACAAAAUCCCCUUUGCUCUUGGGCUUCUUCUCCACCAAAACCACUUGAUUCCACCUUCAAUUUCUCUUAAUCUCCACCUUGAGAGAGGGUUCCUAGAGAGAGAAGAAGAAGGAGAUGAGAAGGAAAUGAUAACAAAGCCCUCUCAUGCAUGGGAACACCCAACACGUCGAAUUAUGCUUCAAUUAGGGUUACAAGAGAUCAAACCCAUGUUAGAUCUCCCAUUUUACAAAUUCCCAUUUUAACCCUAGGGUUCAUACAUGAUACCCAUUGUACACUUUUCUUGGGAUUUCAUAGCAUAAACAAGGCUCUAGAAAUCCAAGAAACUAAAAACUAAACCAUUUAGGGUAAUUAAAUUAAACCCUAACAAAGAAAUGCAAGAAACCUACCUUAAGUUUUUGCUCCACAAAUCCCCUUUGCUCUUGGGCUUCUUCUCCGCCAAAACCACUUGAUUCCACCUUCAAUUUCUCUUAAUCUCCACUUUGAGGGAGGGUUCCUAGAGAGAGAAGGAGAAGGAGAAAGAGAUGAGAAGGAGAUGAUAACAAAGCCAUCUCAUUCAUGGGAACACCCAACGCGUCGAAUUAUGCUUCAAUUAGGGCUAUAAGAGAUCAAAACUAUGUUAGAUCUCCCAUUUUACAAAUCCCUAUUUUUAACCCUAGGGUCGUACAUGACACCCAUUAUACACUUUUCUUGGAAUUUCAUAGCAUAAACAAGGCUCUAGAGAUCCAAGAAACUCAAAACUGUAAUUAAAUUAAACCCUAACAAAGAAAUGCAAGAAACCUACCUUAAGUUUUUGCUCCACGAAAUCCCCCUUUCUCUUGGGCUUCUUCUCCACCAAAACCACUUGAUUCCACCUUCAAUUUCUCUUAAUCUCCACCUUGAGGGAGGGUUCCUAGAGAGAGAAGGAGAAGGAGAUGAGAAGGAGAUGAUAACAAACCCCUCUCAUGCAUGGGAAUAACAGGUGUAAGGUUGGGGCUAUUUAUAUAGACCCCAGCAAUUACAAUUAGGCCCCUCACAAAAGUCUUACUCAACCAUUACAAUUCAGUCCUUUUAGUCUGAGUACCGGUACUCGGGUUGGAGUACCGGUCACGAGGCCUCUAGUACCGGUAUCAGGUGCACAGUACCGGUACCAGCCACCAACCCGAGAGCUACAUAAGCUCAAUUCUAACCUGGAGUACCGUUACACAAUUCCGGUACCAGUACCCGACCAGUCCAGUACUGGUACCAGCUGCACAGUAUCGGUACACACCCCAAACAGUCUCCCAAACCUGAGAGCUAGUCUUUCAGGUUUGAUCGCGUUGUACCGGUACUAGCCACUCAGUACCGGUACCCAAUCUGUCGAAUACCGAUACUAGAUGAACAGUACAGGUACCCAGCUUGACAGUAUCACAAACCCGAGAUCAGCUCAUCUUUCGGGCAACUGGUGGAGUAUCAGUACCCCUCCUCUGGUACCGAUACGCAGCUCCACACAACCAAAUUAAACCCGAGAGCUACCCAUCUCCUGUUUCUAUUGGGUACCGGUACCGCAUUGACUUGGUACCAGUACUCAAUGCCAAAGUUGCAAUCUCACAGCAAUAGUGUUCCGGAGUCCGUUUUCACGCCCAACUUGCGCCGGAAACACUUAAACACCUCCGAAACUCACAAUUAACCAUCCCCACGCCUCCAAAGUAACUCGAGGACAUCACACAUCACGCUCAUGCCUCACUUUGAUCAAUUCGAUCAAAGUUAGCAUCAUAACUCGGAGAUUUGGUAUAUUACAUUCCAUUUGUGCGUUUCUUUCUUAUGAUAUUUAGUUCGCAAUUGUCGAUUUCCUUGCCCCUUGGUAACAAUUAACAAGGAGCCUAGUUAGUUCAUAUGGUACUUAGAUGUUUUUCUUUUCUCGUGGAGGCUCCCAAAUCUUAUUCUAAUGGUGAAAAGUAAUGCUACGUUAAUGUGAAGUACCUCCCUUCCACGCUGGGAUGAAACUCAAUUGGAGAAUGAUGCCAUUAAUGUCUCCUUUUUUCAUUUUCCUUUUUUUAAAUAAUGAUUAGUUACUUUUCCUGCUAUUUUAGUGGAUACCUCCUCCUCAAAAUGAUAUAUGAUUAGUUACUAUUCAUCUUGAAUGUAAUUUGAAUUGCAUAUUCAAUUCUUUAUUUUGAGUUACUGAUUAUGAAUUCAAUAUCUUAUCAUAAAGUUGAAGUUCAAAUUUGUAUUUCUCUGUAUUUAUUGUUUUUCAAAUUCAGUUCGCCAUCCUACACGUAAUUUUUUGUUAGUUUGAUGAGUAUAUAGGCCAGUUAUUUGCCGAAUCUUGUAUCGUUCCUGGUAGUUCAGUUUGCCAUCCUAAACAUCUCUUUUUGAGUUAGUUUGUCGAGUUUGUGUGCUGGUUAUUUGUGGAAUCUAGCUAUAGUGUCCUUCAGUAUGCCAUCCUAGACAUUAUUUUUCAAUUAGUUUGUUCAGUAUAUAUGCCGGUUGCUUACUAAAUCUUAAUCUUCCUCUUAUGCUAUUCAGCUUGAUAUCCUAGGCAUCUAUUUUUGGGUUAGCUUUGCUGGACAUUUCUGUUUGUUGUCUGCUGAAAACUACUCCAAUCUUGACCCUUUAUUCUCUGGCCUAUAACAUUGCCAUGAUGUAGGACUACAACAGGAGACCUCUAACAGCAGUAAAAAUUCAUUUGAAACAUUGUUGAUUUGUCGAUAUUCUCUUCAUUUGUCUUUGCUGCCAUAAAAUUGUGAACACCUGGAAGAAUCAAGUGUAGGAGGCUUGGCUUGAAAAUGAAUGGAAGGUACGAUAUCCCAGAAUUCUAUAUUAGCUAGAUAGCUUAAGGAAACGUUGCUGAAUCUUGGGCCAACUUUCAUCAAAGGUAGGACAGCUUAUUGAAAUACAUAUUAUAUAUUAAAUUACUUGGUACUUUAUGACAUGCAGAAAUGGGGAAUGUAUUGCAUAACAUUACUGUUAGUGAUUCUCAUCUGUCUGGAACAUUUUCUUUUGCUCUGCAGAUUACAAGGCCAGAUAUAAUUGGACCAGAUAUUUACGAGGUUUGGUAAAAUAUUCCUAGAAUUUUUGUCAUUCCUAGUUAUUGUUCUUGCUGUUUCUAUUAUAUCUUUAAUUUUUUUUUAAUUGCUUGAGGUGUUCAAGCAGUUGUAAUAUUUCAUGGGAACUAAUUGAGGAGUAAAUGAGCUGAAUGCUCUUGACUUCUUUUUCAGGCACUGUCCGAGUUACAUGAGAAAGUUCGUCCUUUCCGAAGAGAUGUCACUAUGAAGCUUAUAGAAACAGAAUUAGGAUGCCCAAGAGAUAGCAUAUAUAGCUACAUUUCUGAUGAACCUAUCAGAAAUCUAAGAGUCUACAGUUUUCUACUCAUGCAGCAAGUUGACUUUUGCUAAUCAUUGAGAUCAUGAAUAGCAAAAUUUACUCCAUUACUCCCUUCUAUUUUGAAAUAAAAUCGUUGUUUAAUCAUUUUUUUGUGAUUCAGCUCUAUCAUCCUAUAGUGGUUUAACUUUGGUGUUGAAAUAUCUUCUAAUGUUUUUUUUCGAAGUGCAAUAUUUAACUUAUGCCUUUCCUAAAUUUAUACUUAAAAUGUAGUACCAAAUUGAUGAACUUGGGGUUAUUAUUUUAUGUUUCGUAAUCUUUUCAGCAUUCUUAGGUUUGGUUUCAACAUUCUUUGGUUCGAUCAUUGAAGGAAAUCACUACAGAACUUUACAAGCAUCAUGUCACCUGCGUCAUUUCACCAGUAUCACGUCGCUUGCAUCAUUCCACAUGGUUUUCUAUUCCAAGACUUCAGCAUAGAGAUUCUACGCCACCUACAUUAGAUGUUCCUAAUACCGGUAUAAAUACUUUUCUUUGCAUUAAUCAAAUGAAAGUAAAAUUAACCCAUCUUGGAUACUUUCGUAUCAUGUUUGCAUGAUUGUUGUUGUUGAUCAACUAGAAUACGGAGCAUAGUUCCGUGGAUGAAUUAAGAUGGAAUGGAUCCACAUAUUCCUGCAGAGCGAAGCUAAAACCCGGCAUUUAAUACCCAACUAAAACAAAGCAACAAUUAUAACACUUCGAAACUUGGUCAGCAUCGUCCAACUACUUGUCUACAAAACAUAAACAGAAAGACCUACCAAAACAGAUUGGUUGUGGGGUAAUAAUAAGUUGAAAAAAGAUUCUACAAAAUUCCUGAUGUUAAUAGCACUAUUUAUAUAUUGUUUGUGUACUCACCAAGAUGUGAGAUGGAACAUGUAUAACAUUGCAAAUCCUUGGAUGUGCUCGUCUUUUUUCCAUCAGUUCAAAUCCAAACCACUUGUUUUAUUAUUUAUGGUGACAGUUUCUUACAAAUGUAGUUUUGUACAUAUGAUUUUUGAAAAAAAAAAGAAAUAACUCUAGUCAAGCAUAUAUUAUUUUAAUCGUGAUUUUAAAUUUAAUUGUGAUUAUAAUUUUAAUUGUGAUUAUUUUGUUCUAGAGUAAUUUCUAAAUUAUCUUUAUCUUGCAGAUUAUGAUACGCCCGGAUUGUCACGCUCUGAGCCCGCUUAUUUGGUCGGUUCGGGCACGUCAAACAGACGCCGAACGGACAGCACCUCUUCUGUCCGCCCAAAGCUCAACACAAGUACAGAUCAGGUAUAUGAAUUCUACACAGCGGAACGUAGAUAUAUAUGGCUCGCACGAGGGCAAGCAAUAGCCAAAAGUGAAAGUUCUAUGCUAUUACAUUCAUACAAGUACUAUGAUUAACUUUUAAUCACAUACAUGCAUUCAACAUUUACAUUCUUUUCUUAUACAUCACAUAAUGCAACUCCAAAAUAUUUUACAUCUCCCAAAAUAAGCUUUUUACAUUUAUACAUCAUCCACACAUCAUACAUCAUCAAAUACAAAAGAUGAUAAUAAAGGGUAUGAAACUAAACUCGGGAGGUCACUCUAUGGAGUGAUACCGUUACCGCGAUCCUCGGCCAGCUCACUCGGCCCCGGCUCUGUAGAAGAUAGUGGGGUGAGAACUACAACAAAAAUCCCAGUGGGUUCGGGAGCCGACCUUGCGGACUUUCCCACUAUGUCUAAAUUAGGCAUAAUAGAAGAAAUAAACAGAUAGAUAGUAACAAUGCUAUACAAAUACAGCUAAUAUGCCUGAACAAAAUACAACAAUAAGGAUGCUCAUGAUGCAUACAAGAUCCACUUUCCAAUACCCAAUCCUUUUGGCUAACCCGUAGGUUUCUCGUAAACGACUCACCAACUCAAAUCCCUAAUAUCGAGGAGACUCUUACAACACGACGGGACCGUCCUCUGGGGAAACUCUAACCCAGUGAUGACUACUCCGGAGCUCAUAGCUCAAGGAGGUGCGACCGCCUUCAAGCCAAGACUUAUAGGUGAGUAUAAUCCAAUCCUUAACUAUAAGGAUGCCAAGUUCAAUCCAAUCCUUAACUAUAAGGAUGCCUCAGCUUUGAGGAUGCUAUGUUCACAUAUGUCAUAAUACAAUCGUUUCAUUCUUUAGCAUUCUUUAGCUCUCUAACAUUUAUUAUACUCAUCAAAGCCUCACCACUAGGUGUCUCAUUUCUAGCAUUCAUGACUCAGUAAUGCCACACACCCUAUGUGUUCAACACUAGCAUUCAUUAUAUUCAUUAAUGCCACAUACCCUAUGUGUUCUCAUAUGUCAUAAUGUCACUAUGUUCUUAGCCUCAAUUAGAUUCUUGCCACAAUUCAUACAUUUAUAGGGUUUACAAGUCUCAAUAGCUCACUAACAUCUCAUAUGCAUUUUGUAUUAAAAGCAUGCAGAACACAUAUCAACAUAAUCUCAACUCACCCUACAAUGCAUGAAACUCAUAUACACAUAUAUGCUCAAGAAAGGACAUUUAGACAUAAAGGAAAAUUUAAGAAUUUCGGAUAGCACCACCCACCUCGUGGUGUUGCUAAGGUGCUACGAUUCAAUUCUUAUGAUUUUUGGUCGCUUAUUUCCCUUGACUGCAGCAAAACGAAGCCAAAACGGGCUUUUUCUUAAAUUUCUCCGCGUAGACUCGUCGGAUCUUCGAACCGAGUCUCCCAAUGCGUCGGUUUUACCUUCAAUUAGGGUUCUACGAGAGUAAUUUACAUAUAACCCAACCUAAGGCAAAAACCCCAAACCAAACCCUAGAAGGCCACUAUUGCAAGAACACUACAUACAACCCUUUGAUUCAAGCAAUAGCAAGUAUAAUACCAUCUAGAAACUCAUCUAGAUCCAUUCCUAGGGCAUUUAAACCAAACCCUAAAGUUCUACCAUGAGAGGUCUAGAAGCUUACCUCAAAACCUAGCUUUUUCUUGAGCCAAGGAAGAAGAAGAGGAAGAAGCUUCACCUCCAAGCCUUUUUCUCCACCAAAUCCUCCUCUUGACUCCACCCUAGGAGAGAGAGAGGGAGAUCUUAGAGAGAGAGAGAGAGAGAGCUCUCUUUUGGUGUGUGAGUGUGAGGAAAUGAGAGGAGAGAGCCCUCAACCCCUCUCAUAUUACCCCACUCAAACGCAAUUGCAUAAAACCCCUCUAACUUGCCACCUUAUGCACUGCCCGAACUGGGCAAAAUUCGGCUACGGGGUCUGGACCCUGCACAAGGUCCGGACCCCGUGAGCAUAUUUUCUGCGAAAAUUGCAGAAUCUCUCCCAGCUGCUCACCAAGGUCCUCUAACACUCUUAAGUACCAUUCCAACACAUUUCAGACUUUCCGAAGUGUUCCGAAGCGACCGACUUCGCACUUUGGUCAAUUUGACUAAAGUUCGAUAUAACCUACCGAAGUUUCGGUAUAUGACACGGAUGCUCCAAGUCUAAGUGAGAUGCUUUGUACAUAUCAAUUGAGGCAUUGAAUGUUUUUUUAUCUUCCAUGACUGAGUAAUAAUUUUUAGUUUUUUUUUCUCUAAAUAUUUAUGUUGUGAGUUGGCAACUUGAUGGAUUCUUGUUUUGUUUCUUUAUUUUUGUUGAUAUUGUUAGAGAAACUAAUGUAUAACAUUAUUUUAAAAUGAUUUGUCAUGUUGGAGUUUAGUUUGAAUGUGUUUUGCUUAUAAUUUUUGUUAUCUUGCCAAUAUAUAUUUGUAUAUGAACAUUUGGUAGCAAAAAAUAAUACUAUCGAAUGUGAAUAUAAUAUGUCGCAACUACUAAAUGCUCAUUUAGUGGCGACAAAUUUUUGCCACCAAAUGUUACAUUUAGUGGUGACAUGUAUUUACCAUCAAAUAGACACUUUUCAUGGUGAUAAAUAUUUGCCACCAAAUAAAACAUAUUUAGUGGCGAUAAAUAUUUGCCACCAAACGAAACACAUUUAGGGCAUGUUUGGUUCAUCUAUUUUAGAUUAUGGAAUCGGAAUGGAAUUCGUUGAUUCCGAUAGUUGCCGUUUGUUUUAUAGGAAUCAGAUUCCGAUUCCCAUUCCACUCUGGAAUGGGAAUGGCCAAAUCCAUUUAUGAUCCAAUCCGGCUUUAAAUUCCGGAUUGGCCCAUUUCAAAGUAAACUAUUCAAUAUCCUCUUUCAUCAACACCUACCUCCUCUCCCUUCAUCACUUUCCUCUCUCUUAAUUAAAACUCUCUAUAAAAAAUUUUAAAUUUAAUUCUGAUUUCCAUUCCAUUAAUGAACCAAAUAUUUUUGGAUGAUUCGUCAUUCCAUUUCCUAUUCCAAAGCAAUCCAAUUCCAUUUCCCAUUCCUAUUCCAAUCAUGAACGAGACAUGCCCUUAAUGGCGACAAAUAUUUGCCAUUAAAUGAUAUAUUUGCCAUCAAGUAGACACUUUUCCAUCAAAUAGACACUUUUCAUGGCGAUAAAUAUUUGCCACCAAAUGAAACAUAUUUAGUGGCGAUAAAUAUUUGCCACCAAAUGAAACACAUUUAGUGGCGAUGCCAUUAAAUGAUAUAUUUAGUGACGACAAAUAUUUGCCAUUAAAUGAUAUAUUUAGUGGGACAAAUAUUUGCCACCUAAAGUUGAAUCUUGGUGGCAAUAAUUAGUUGCCACCAAAUCCUAGCAAUUGGUGGGAACAAAAUGUCGCCACCGAAUGAUUCCCUUUCGUAGCAACUAUUGUCGCUACAAAAAGUUACAUUUAAAGUGGCAAAAUAUAUAUUCGCCACUGAUUCAUUCGCUGGCGGGAUCUAUUGCGGCAACAUAUGGUGACAAUUUUGGUCGCCAUUAUAGACAUUUGGUGGCGAUAUAAAGUCACCACCGAAUGAUAAUUAUCUUGUAGUGUCUCCCACCUAGAAAUGUGCAUGCCUUUUUCUUUCUCUAUAGCCAAGAUAUGUGCUCUUUCUCUCACUUUAAUUUUUAAUUUAAUGCUUUCUUCUUUUUCUUCGAAUAAGACACAUGCUUUUUUAAAAAUUAAAUUUUAAUUUAGUAAUUACAAAUUUUUAAUUAUUGAAAGUUUAAAAAUAAAAAUAUAUAAGUCAAAAGUAUAUGGAACAAAACUGUUUAUUCUAUUCUCGCGGUGACGGAGGGGUAGAGGGCCACGCUGCCACCUCCCAUGCUAAAGAUGAUCAUCAUUGAGGUCGAUCCAAAGUUGAUGCCAGGCUCGGCGGCAAUGACGAAAUGGUUCAGGGCAUAGACAAUCCUCGCGGGGGUCAAUCCGAAGUUGACAUUGGGCUCGGUGGCUACGGUGCAACGGUUUAGGUCAUUGAAGGAAAGCAACAGAGAUAGCCGCCCCAUCCGUGCCGUUGUGGUAAGGGAUGAAUCAUGUUUACUAUCUAAUGUUAAUGUUUAUUUCUCUCUCUCUCUUUGUUUCUCUCUCUAUACAAAUUUUUCUCCUCCUGCUCUCUAUGAGGGGCAACGAUUGAGUCAACAAUAGUCAACUUGAUGAUUGGGUUGAAUUAGUUGCUAUAUUUAUGAACUAAAACUUUGACACAUGCUAUUUCAAGCUUUUUGGUAGCUGUAUUUUUUUGGGGGGGCAAUUCCCGACUUUUCGAUUUACCCCUCUUAGAAGGCUAAUAUUAAAAAUACCCUCUUUACGUUCCAACCUAUUUCUAAUAUACCCCUAGAGUUAAAAUCUGUUAAUUAACUCUGUUAACUCUAUAAAAUUACUAUUUUGUCCUUUCAAAUAUACCCUUCCACCAUCACUGACUUUCUUAUUUGCCCUUAAAGUCAGAGGCACAAAAAGUAUUUUGAGUUUUGGUCUUUUCCAAUAUACCCCUCUACCGUCACCAACAUUUCUUAUUUGCCCUUAAGUUAAGGGCAAAAUUGACUUUUUAAUUUUUUUUAACUGUGGUAGAUGUUUAACUCACGUUUAACCCAAGUUAACUUAACAGGAGAUAAUUGCGGAGGUAUUUUGCAAUAACGGUGGAACAUAUAAGGGGUAUUUUAAAAAGAAAAAAAAAGAGUAAAUAAGAUAUUUUCAAAGGUAUGAGGGGUAUAUAGGCAAUUACCCCUUUUUUUUACACUGGGAAGUUUUUUUUUAUUGCCACUUGCAAGCUUUGUUUCUUGACAACUAAAAGUUAUUUGCCUACACAUCUUGUGAAGAAAUUUUUUUUACCUCUUUUGGUAAAUCGAAAAAAUAAAAAAUUAUAAUUCUUAUUCAUAUAUAUAUAUAUAUAAUAUAUUAAUAUAUAUCAUAUAUAAUAUAUAAUAAACUAGCUGGAAAUACUAUAAUACGACCAAUGACAUAGUGCUAUUAAUUUCUACCAUUGGAUUAAAAGAUGCAUUAGGAUGAUAUGAGCCCCAUUAGGGUUGAGUGGUGGUUUGUUGAAUAGUAUAAUCUAACGGGUAAAAAUAAUCAAGGGGUAAAUCUAACGUGACAACCUCGAUAGCACCAAAUUUUUGGUACUUCGAUAGUAUCCCAGCCGGACUCUAAUAUAUAUAUAGUAUAUAUAUAUAUACAUAACAUACAUAUAUAUAUAUAUAUAUAUAUAAUAUACAUAUAUACAUACAUCUACAUACAUACAUACAUACAUAUAUACAUACAUACAUACAUACAUAUACAUACAUACAUACAUACAUAUACAUACAUACAUACAUACAUACAUAUACAUACAUAUACAUACAUACAUACAUACAUAUACAUACAUACAUACAUACAUAUACAUACAUACAUACAUACAUACAUAUAUAUAUACAUUUAUACAUAUACAUAUAUAUACAUACAUAUACAUAUAUAUAUACAUACAUAUAUAUAUAUAUAUAUAUAUAUAUAUAUAUAUAUAUAUACAUUAUCACAACCUUUUUUUUUUUCCAGUCGUCCAUCAGGUAUGUUGUUUUUUGAAAUUCUACUAUUUUUUAAUAUGCAUUAAUUGAUUUAUUUCCUUUAGUUGAUGGUAUUUUCUAAAUUGAAUGAUUGUAAAAUAGCAACCGUAGCACCCUUGUAACCAUAUAAGGUGGGCGGUGCAUUCCGAAAAUAUUGAAUUUUCUUUUAUGUCUAAAGUGUCAUUUUUGAGUAUAUGUGAAUGUUGAGCAUUGUGCAUAGUAGGGUUAAUUGAGAGCUUCUUGUUGCAUGUUGUGAGUACAAAUGCAUGUGAAGUAAUAGUAAAAGAGUAAGAACUUAUAAGCCCUAUGUAUGCAUGAUCAAUGACAAUAACCUAGAAAGGGGUAAAAAACCUAGUUGAGCUAAAGAACAAAAGUGACAUAUUGACAUAAAUGUAGAGAGCGGCAUUAGUGAAUGCAUUGAAUGCUAGAGAUGGAACUUAGUGUGUGGCACUGAUGAGUCUAGCAUGCAUGAGAAUAAAACAAAGAACCUAGUGACCUUGAGAACAAGAAUGCUAGAGUUGAACACUUAGAGAAUAAGUGUGGCAUUGUAAAUGAGUAUAAAGAACAAAGUAGUAUAUAUAACACUAGUGCAAGUCAAAGAAUGCAAGUGAAAAGAGAUAGUGACAUUGUGACGUAAAAACCUUAAAGUUAAGGGUCACAUGAGCAUUGAAAUUCUUAAAGAUAAGGAUUGAUCAUACUCGCCUAUAGUCUUGGCUUAAGGGAGGUCGCUCCCCCUCGAGCGAUGAGCUCCGGAGUUGUCAUCACUGGGAUGUGGAACCCCUAGAGGACGGUCCUAGCGGGAGGAAGCGUAGGGCCCGCAAUUAGGGACUUGUGUUGGUGAGUUAUGUAACCCGGCGGGAGGAGGCUUAGGGCCCGACGGGUUAGCCACGAGAUUGAACAGUGUAAAGCAAACUUGCAUUCAUCAUGAGCAUUCUAUUUGAGUAUAGCAUUCUAUAUAUUGUUCAAGCAUAUUAGUUGUAUUUGUUAGUUGGCUACUAUCUAUUCUUUCUUCUAUUAUGCCUGAUUUAGACCUAGCGGGAAAGUCGGCGAGGUCGGCGGCCGAACCCACUGGAAACUUUGUUGUAGUUCUCACCCCACUAUUUCCACAGAGCUAGGGCCGAGCGAGCCGGCGGAUGAUCGCGGUAAAGGUAUCGCGCCAUAGCUAGAGACCACCCGAGUUGGUUUCAUAUUUUGGUUUAGUUGCAUACCCUUUAGUUCUCAUCUUUUGUAUUUUGAUGAUCUUAAUAUCAUGAACAUGUUAAAUGAAUGAUGUAAAAUGGGUUUAUGUUCAAUGCAAAGGUUAUAUUUUGAGAUAUCAUGUGAUGUAAAAGAGAAGAAAUGAUGAUAAAGAAAAGAAUGCAAAUAUACAAGUUGUAUGCAUCUAUGUGAUUUAAAUUUAAUCAUAGUACUUGUAUGUUGAUUAGUUAGUACUUUCACUUUGACUAUUGCUUGCCCUCGUGCAGGCCAUUAUGUUUGCUUCUGCAUGUGCAAAUUUUAUACUCUAUUUGUACUUGUUGUUGAGCCUUGGGCGGGUAGGGGAGGUGCUGUCCGUUCGGCGUCUGUUCGACGUGCUCGAACCGGCCAAAUAGGACCGGGCUCGGGGCGUGACAGUUGAGUAGGUGGUUUGUUGAAUAGUAUAAUCUAACGAGUAAAAAUAAUCAAGGGGUUAAAUCUAACGGUGGAAAACUCGAUAGCACCAAAUCCUUGGUGCUAUCGAUAGCAUCCCAGCCGGAUUCUCUCUCUCUCUCUCUCUCUCUCUCUCUCUCUCUCUCUAUAUAUAUAUAUAUAUAUAUAUAUAUAUAUAUAUUAACUUUUAACUUUUUUACAACCUUUUCUUUUUCCAGUCGUCCAUCAGGUAUGUUGUUGUUUGAAAUUCUACUCUUUUUUAAUAUGCAUUUAAUUGACUUAUUUCCUUUAGUUGAUGGUAUUUUCUAAAUUGAAUGAUUGUAAAAUAGUAAAAAUUAUCUUUUAAGGAAAGAUGAAUUAUCGGUAAUCCAAGCUAUUAGAAUAGAAGACCAAUACCGACUUAAGGAGAUUAAACCGUCUAACAACCGAUCAAACAUAAAUCUAACCGAGAUUCAAAACUAGAGCCAUGAGCCUAAACCCAAAGGUAAAAAUUUUAAACCUAAGGGUAAAGGUUUUAAAGAUAGGAACCCAAAUCGAAAUCAGAACCGUACCGAGAAACCUAAUAUCAACUAUUCUAGUGGGAAUAAGAAUAAGGAUGAUUUCUGUUAUGUAUGUGGUCAGGACAACUAUUUUGCUUCAAAAUGCUUUUACCGAAAGAAAAAAAAGGUUGUCUAUAAGAAGGGCCAAAAUAAUCAGAGCAAAUACCCUAAACCUUAGGUCAACAUGAUUGAGGGUGAACCUUCCAGCUCCACUUUUAGGUCAAUCUCUUUUAUACCUAAUGUUAACCUUAUCUAUCGUGAGUUAGAUUGGUGGUUAGACUCAAGAGCCGAUGUCCAUAUUUGCACUAAUAGGUCCGUAUUCUUCUUUUAUCAGAACACAAGUGGAGGAUGUGUAACCAUUGGAGGUGAAAAAGCUGUCAAUGUGUUGGGGAUCAGAACAGUCAAGCUGAAGUUAACUUCUGCAAAGACUUUGAUCCUUCACAAUGUGCAGCAUUCUCUUGAGAUCCGAUGGAACUUGAUUAGUAGGUGUUUAUUAGUACAAUUAGGAUAUAAGAUUGUAUUUGAAUCCAAUAAAGUUGUAAUUUCUAAGGAAAAAAUAUUUAUUAGAAAAGGUUUUGUAUCUGAGGGUUUGUUCAAACUGAAUGUACUUUCUUUUGUUGAUAAUAAAAAUUCUUCUUCUUCUAUUCUUCUACAAUUAUUUUGAAUACUGAAUCUUGUGAUGUAUAGCAUGGUAGAUUAGGGCAUGUGACUUUAGAUAUAUCUAGAAAUUGACCAAUAUUAACAUUGUACCCAAAUUCAAAAUUGAUACUAAAUCCAAAUGUGAGAUUUGUACCCAAGCUAAUUAGCCAAGAAAACCUUUUAAAUAUGUUCCUUAUAGGGAUAUCCAGAUUGUUGAACUGAUUCAUAGUGAUGUCUGUGAUUCUAAUAGAGGUCCUACUCGUGGAGGAAGUCGUUACUUUGUGACCUUUAUAGACGGCUACUUUAAAUAUUGUUACACCUAUCUCUUAAAGACCAAAGAUAAAAUCCUUAAUAAGUUUAAAGCCUUUAAAGCAAAGGUCGAAAACCAAUUGGAGAAGAUAAUUAAAAUUCUACGGUCUGAUAGGGGAGGUGAAUAUAUUUCAAAUGAAUUAAAUUUGUUCUGCGAAGAAUAUGGAAUAAUUCAUAAAGUAACUGCUACAUACUCACCUCAGUCAAAUGGUGUAACUAAAAGAAAGAACCGAAUCCUAUUAGACAUGGUCGGUACCAUGAUUUUAAAUUCUGAUGUAACUCAGAACUUGUGAGGAGAGGCUCUUUUAUCAGCUUGUUAUAUCCUCAAUAGGAUUCCCUCUAAGGAUAGAACCCAUACACCCUAUAAACUUUGGAAGGGAAGAGCACCUAAGGGGNCCUGAAGUGUGAUUAUUUUUUUGUUGUUUGUUUUGACGUAACUCGUACCGCCUGAAAGUUAAAUUUAAUCACUUCUGUUGUUUGUUUUGAUGUAACUUGGUGCUGGUAAAAUUAGUUUUUUGAGUUCCGUUGUUUGUUUUGAUGUAAGUAAGUGGAUCUCAUUAUCUCCUAAAUAUAGUAGUAAAUUUACCACUAUAAAAUUUAAUCUAUUAUAUAAUUAAUUUUUUUAUUAUUAUUUAAAGAUAAUCCUAAUUUAUUAUAAAUAAAGUAAUUCUAACCCAUUAUAAAGGAAGUAGAGUUUAGGUUUUACUGUUUAAUAAAUUUUUUAGAGGAGGUUGAGUGUAGUGAAAGUUGAGUUCGGCACUUUAGAGGAAGAAGUCGAGAGUAGGUGAAGUGGAGUUCUAACGUAACUUGAGUUACAUUAUAUUUUUCACUUACAUCAAAACAAAUAACGGAAGUGAUGGAACUUGAGUUCCAUCACUCCCCUUACACCAAAACAAACGGGCCCUAAGCUGAGUUACUUUCGAGUAUGGAGGUGCUUAGCAAAGGUAUCUAUUCCUGAACCCAAAAGAAAAAAGAUUGGUCCUAAAACUGUAGAUGGCAUUUUCAUUGGAUAUUCUUUAAAUAGCAACACCUACAGAUUCCUAGUGACCAACUCUGAAGUUUCUAAAAUUUCUAAUGAUAUUUUGAUUGAAUCUAGAGAUGCAACCUUCUUUGAAAAUAUCUUUUCUUUCAAAACCCACAUCUCUAGAUCAGCUCCUGAUUAUCUGCCUACUAUUGAUCAUGCAUCUACCUCUGAUCAUUUACCUGCGUCUGAUUUAUUAUAUAGUUUAGAUCCUAUAGAACCUAACCCACCAGCCGAAUUGAGAAGAAGUAAGAGAGCUCGUAACAAAAAGAACUUUGGUAAAGAUUUUUUUACUUUCUUAGUUUAAAAUACAGCUUCAUCCUACAAGAAAGUUAUGAGUUCUUCUGAAGCUUUUUUUUUUGGAAAGAGGCUAUAAAUAGUGAGAUCGAGUUGAUUAUUAGCAAUAAUAUUUAGAUUCUCACUGAUUUAUCUCAUGAAAACCAACCCUUAGGAUGUAAAUGGAUCUUUAGAAAGAAACUAAGGACUGAGGGAUCGGUAGAGAAGUAUAAGGUGCGGCUUGUAAGUCAAGGUUUUCAACAAAAAGCUGAUGUUGACUGCUUUGACACAUAUGCGCCUGUUGCUCGCAUAGCUACUAUCCAAGUCCUUCUUACAUUAACGUCCAUUCAUAAGCUUUUGAUUCAUCAGAUAGAUGUUAAGACCGCUUUCCUUUAUGGCGAUCUUGAAGAAAAAAUCUAUAUGACUCAAUCUAAAGGUUUUUUAUGUCUGGUCAAGAAAAUAAAGUGUGUAAAUUAGUCUGUUCUUUAUAUGGACCAAAACAAGCACAUAAACAGUGGCACGAGAAAUUCAAUAGUGUUAUUGAAUCAUAUGGAUUUCUGACCAACGAUUUUGAUAAUAGUUUUUAUUUCAUGAUCUUUGUGUUAUUCUUUGCCUCUAUGUUGAUGACAUCCUGACCCUUGCUCCUGAUCUUGAUCUGAUUAACUAAGUUAAAUUCUUUUUAUCAAAUCAUUUUGAUAUAAAGCAUUUUGGUAAAGCAGAUGUGAUUUUAGGAAUGAAAAUUCUUAGAUCAUCUGAUUGAGGGAUACAACGAUGCCAAUUGAAUUUCUGAUUCUCUAGAUAUCAAAUCCACUUCUGAUUAUAUAUUUAUUUUUUGUGGUGGUGCAAUUUCUUGGCAAUCCACCAAAUAGACUAUAAUAGCCAGAAGUAUUAUGGAGGCUGAAUUAGUUGCUCUUGACACUAGUCUUGAAGCCAAGUGGCUCAAGAACCUACUGUCAUCGAUUUCUUUGAUUUUUUUUUCCUAUUCCACCUAUUUUUAUUCGGUGUGACUCUCGAGGUGCAAUUGAUUUUUGUGAAAAGAAAUUGGUAAAUUCUAAAUUUAGUAGACAUUAAAUUGAGACAGAAAUCUAGUAGAUGGCUAACCUCUCAUGAUAUUGUUCCUUUGAGUUUUAUCAAAUCUAAUCAGAAUAUUGCUGAUUACUUGAUGAAAGGCCUGAAGGUUCUGGAGUCAUCGAGGGGCCUAAGGUUCUGGAGUCAUCGAGGGGGAUGAGAUUUACCCAUAAAGGGCCUUCCUGUGGUGGAAACCCAAACUUUGUGAUAAAAGAUCCCUUGAAAAACGUUCAACGUGGUAAAAACAAGCAGGUAAGUUGGCCAAAGAGCACUUUCUACAAUUUAUAUGGAGGAGAUUUAGCUCCAACCCUAUCCCUAUGGUGAGUACUCUAUGAAGUGGUUGAAGUUGAGCUUAUACCUUUUAAUAGGAUCUAAGGUGGUAAUUUUCGCGAGAUGUGACUCUACACACAUUUCUGAAGGAAACCACCUAUAUAAGAGUAUUCAUAUGUGGUCGCAGUUGCCACGCCCCGAAAUCGCCAGUUUGGCCGGUUCGGGCACGUCGAAUAGACGCCGAACGGACAGCACCUCCCCUGUCCGCCCAAGGCUAAAGCAUCAACAAUCAUGUACAAGAGUUGCCCAGGAAAAGCUCAACAACAUAUAUGACUCAACGAGAAGCACCACAAGUGCUAUACAAGUAAGAGCAAGAAUCACAAGUAACAUACAAGUGAACAAAGAGAGAAUUCUAACUAUUACAUCACAUUCAACUAUCAAUUCACAUCGAGUUUACAUUUACAUCUCCCAAAAUGAAUAUAUACAUCCAAGUUCACCUCAUAACUAGUACAAACCCAAAAUACAUGCAACUCUCCAAUAGAUACAUCGAUAUCUCACAGGUACAUAGGUACUCUAAUGCAAAUGGAAGCUGCUAACUAAGCUAGGGCGCUAUGCCCUUACCACGAUCCUCGCCGGGAGUGCUCGAACUCGGCCCUGUAACAAAGUGGGGUGAGAACUAUUGUCCAUAGUUCCCAGUGGGUUCGGUCGCCGACUCUGCCGAUCUCCCCACUAGGUCUAAGUAGACAUAAGCGGAUAGAUAGAUAGAUAGAUAUUUAAAACUGAAACGAAUGCAUAAUAAAGAAGUUGCAACAUGCUACUAUGCCUGGAGAUACGAGAAUAAACAACAUAGUCAUGUAUCUACUAACAUGCCACUAUACCUCUAUCAAGCAGGAAUGCAAUUCUACUAUGCUCAAUAUGCUCAAUAUGCUUAGUAUGCAUAACUCUCAUGAGUUCAUUACCCAAUCCUUUGGCUAACCCGAAGGUCCGCCCUCGACUCACAUCUCAAAUCCCCUAGGUUAGGGUUCUCUCAACCCACCCGGGACCGUCUUCAGACAACUACGUCUAUCCUCUGCGUGACCACCUCCGAAGUGCACUAAGCGACCAACCUUAAAACAGACUAUGUGAGUAUGAUCCAAUUCUCGUCAACUGAGGAUAUCCUGUCAACUGGGGUCUUCAAUGUCACACCGAUCUCAUGCAAGGUGUCAAGUAGCGAAACUCACCUAUCCCCUAAGUCAAUAUGCCAUAGGUGUUCUUUUACACUAAGUCCCAAUGCCACUCGUCAAGCCAUUCUCUUGGUUUACAUGCCACUCGUCAUGAUACAAUGUUUCGACUAUAUUAUGCACAUGUCAUUGUUCUCAUCAAUACAAGAUCAAGUUAUCACUUAUCUCUAUGGGGUUCUUGGUUACAAAAGCUCAUCUUAUGCACCCUAAGUUCACGUGUCAAGCCUUUUAUGCUACACUACAAAGGAGCAUGCAAGAAUAGAAAAUGCAACCAUAUAAAUACCCUAUUAUGCACAAGGUUCACAUGUGAAGUAUGAUCAACAUAUAUAACUUAGACAUAGGGAGCAGCUCAACUGCUUCGGGAUGACACCACCCACCUCUAGGAGAUGCAACGCGGCUAGGAACUUGACUCUGCGAUCUUAGAACGCCGCCCUGGCCCCUCCGGGCGAAAACGAAGCUACGAACAUCCUCUUCGACAAUAUCCUUGCACCGGCUCGACGAAUCGCCGAACCGACUUCGCAAACGCGUCGGAUAACCUAGCAAUUAGGUUUACACAUGCCCAAUUUAGAUCAAAUCCCUAGGUUUCCAAAAACCCCAUUUUUGAACCCUAGGUUACAACUAGGCAAGAAUCUACCCUCAAAGUUUUAGAUUCAAGCAUUUAACUUCUACUUAACAUGCUAGGGUUUCCAAUAAAACCAAUUCCAAGGUAUAAAAAUUCAUUUCUAGGGAUCUACCAUGAAAGCUCUCAGAGCUUACCUCAAUAAGCUUGCUCCAAUGGAGGGAAGAAGAUGAAGAAGGGGAUGAUCCACCUUCUUGAACCCUUCUCCACCAAUCCCUCCUCCUACCUUCCUCCUAGAAGAAAGAGAGAGAGAGAGCUUAGAGAGAGAGAGAGAGAGAGAGCUUAUGUUUUAGGUUUAGGUUGGAGGGAGUGAGAGGAAAGAGAGAGGAGUGGCCCUCAAGUAACCCCAACAUGUUACAUUUGCAUAAAAACCCUCCAACAAUGCCAUCUAUACACAGCCCAACCAGGGCAUUUUCGGGCGACGGGGACCGGUCUUCCCUUAGAGGGACCAGUCGCCGAGAGCAAACUUUGUGGGCAGUGCCAUUAUGCCUAUUUUACACGUACGAGGACCGAUCCCCUCCUCCUGAAGGACCGGACCCCGAGAGCAUUCUUGUGCGCAGCAUUUUUCUGCCACACACCAAGCGUACGGGAACCGAUGUAACAUACCAGAUUUUGGUAUAAAAAUAAAAAUAAAUAAAAAUAGUGCGAGAAACCUUUUUUAUUGGAUUUGUAGAAGUAAAACAUAAGUCAAAAGUGAGUUGUGCUGAAAUCGGAAUGAAAACAAAAGAUUUAGAAUUUUCUGUUGAAAACGGGACAGAUAAAUUAGCAGAAAAUGCACAGUCUCAGAAAAUUAUGAAAAUUGGAGGAUAGGUCGGAAAUAUUUUUAUGAGGUUAGAUUUAAAGUUUCAUAUUUUUCUGACACCCGUAGAGUGAGAAAUAAAAUCCGACAGCUAUCUGAUAAAGAUUACAGUUCGGUACAAUUUUCGGUUACCAAAUGGGGUCGAAACUGAAAACUUAAAAUAUAUUCUUACUCAGUACGUAAAACCGCAUAUGACUGUCAAGUUUGAGCUCAAACGGACAUUCAGGGAGCUCCGACGAAAGUUAUCAGAUUUCAAGCUGCCUGGAGUGAAUAGUGUUUGAGGGGUAUUAUGAAGAAGCUGUUGCUUCUUCUUCUCCUUCGGCCGCACACCACACACGCACACGACACACACACACACACACACACACACACACACGCAAGGAAAGGGAAAGAGAGAAAACUCCUUUUCUCUCUCUAGAUCUCUCCCAAAAUUGAAGGUUUUGGUGGAGAAGCAAGCUUGGAAGUUGUUUUUCAUCUUCUUUAUCUUCUUCCUUUCCAUUAGAGCAAGCUUUGAAGGUAAGCUUCAAAACCCUUUAAUGGCAUUUCUCUCUAGUUUGAUUUUUAAGCUCUAAGAAUGGGUUUAGAGGUAUUCUAGCAUGCUAAUUAGAGGUUUGAUGCUUGAAACUAAGGCUCUAAUGGUGGAUUUUUAUCUAGUUGUAAUUUAGGGCUCAAAAAUACUAGUUUUGUAAAUAUGAGGGUUUGAUCUCAUUUGACCCUCUGUAAACCUAAUUGCUAGGUAAACGAACUCGUUGGCGAAGUCGGUUCGGCAAUUCGUCAAGCCGUUGCGAAGUUAUUAAAGAAACGGACGUUUAGGCUUCGUUUUCGCCUGGAGGGCCGGGGCGACAUCCUAAACCCAUGAAAACGGAUUUGAAACAUCGUGGCACAUAACCGAAGACCUUUAAUUUUCGGAUCGUGAAUUGGAGGCCGUUCGGGUGGUCGCGCGAGAGAUCGGGCCAAACCGGGUGCCGGGUGCCGCGGGAGGCCGAUUGCAAGUGUCGACAAGCAAUUGGAAAGCGAUUUGAGGUGGGUUGUGCUUACCGAAGCGACUAGAUCGCCUGUAUGUCUAAGAGAAAUGAGAUUUCAUAUUGAUGCAUGUUGACAUAUAAUGUGAAAUGCUAAAGGAAUGCAUAUUGACAUAAUGUAAGAAUGUGAAAAGAAGUAUGUUAACAUAUUAUAGAAUGCUAGAUAAAUGCAUGUGAUUAAUGAUUUGAAUGCAUAAGAUAAAGGGCAUAUAAAUGUUAACAUUAUAAGAAUAUGCUUAAAGAAAUGCAUAAUGACAUGUUGUAGAGCAUGCAUGUGGAUAAUGCUAAGUAAUGGUAUGAUAAGCAUGAUAUAGAAAUAAUGAAUGCAAGUAUGUGGUUAAUGUUAAGAAAUGGAAAUGUGCAUAUGGACAAUCUAUAUACAUUAGAUCGAGUGGCACUAAACCUAGAGUCAUGGACAUAGGUUAAACAUGGAAGAUAUGAACCUAGUGUCUUGAACAUAGGUUGAACAAGUAUAGUGUGAACCUAGUGUCAUGAACCUAGCAAACACUUGUGGCAUUUGAGCAUAUAUAUUUUUUACCAUUCAUGCAUGAUAGGGCUAAGUACAUGUGAACCUUGGUUGCUUUCAAUGACAUGUUUCUAACGAAGUUGAACAUAGAGAAAGGUAGAACCAUAAUGGACAUGUAUGUUAGGACCCUAUUAUUGUGUGAAUGUGAGAGUUGGACUUGGACAUUAGUGAACAAAGGUGACAUGGACAAUAGAGACAUUGAUUGGCAUAGAGAACACAGUUGUUAAACAUAGUUUAACCAAGAGUGGCAUUGAGACAAGAAUGACCUAGAGAGCGGCAUGAAUAAAUAGGUAGAAAACCUAUCAUGAUUGUGGCAUUUGUGGCAUUGUGGCUUAUGGCUAUAUAUUCCCAAAUUGGGAAUUGGAUCAUACUCACAUUGAGUCUUGACUUGAGGGAGGUCGCUCCUCCUCGAGCGGUGUGUUUCCAAAAAUCGACACCAUAGUGAGCGAGGUCCCUUAAGAUGGUCCCUAGGGGUGGUUCGAGGCCCCCUGCUUUGACGGGAUUUUGGGUUGUGAGUUCGAGAGGAACUGGGUGAACCUCGAUGCAAUUGGGUAAAAGCCAAGUGAAUGUACAUUAAGCGUUAUGAGCUAUAGAUUGAGUAUCCCUGUCAAGUGGAUUUGGGGCUGAGGUGUAUGUGAGACGUCCAUUACCUCGAGCCUGGUAUUGGUGCGGUAUUCCGCAGUUGAUUGACUCGAGAUUGAGUCAGGUGGUUAGCUUGGCUAGGGUAGAGAAAAACCUUAGGAGCAAGUAACCAAUGAUUGUAAAGUGACAAAAUAUAUAAAAUUAUGGAAAAGCUAUGAAUAGCAUGAUAGAAAGUAAAAUCCUUCAUUCUACUUGUAUAGUUGCAUGAUUCAAAUAUAGCAUGACAUUGUUGCAUUCGUGAGGCAAGGCAUGGUUUUAUUAGUUGCAUAAUAAAGAUAUAUAUAUAUCUAUCUGUUUAUUGAACUAACUUGCAGUUGCCUCCCUUGGACCUAUUGGUCGAGCUUUUUUCUUGGGUGGCCGUACCCACUGGGAAUCAUGGAGUUGGUUCUCACCCCACGUGGCUUUGGGGUAUUACAGGUUCACACGUGAGCGGCGCGGCGGCGCGAGGCAAGGGCGUAGCAUCAUAGUUAGCGCCCUACCACCGAGACCAGAGAUAGCGGUACCCCGAGUCGGUUACUUACGGAUGUAAAGAAUGAAAAGAAUCAAGUUGUAAUAAGCAUGUUAAAUCAGAUUGUAUUUGGAAGUUAAGUGAAAGCUAAUGUAAGAAUCUAAUGAGAUUUGUGAUGUAAAAAUGUAUGAAUGUGAAUGCAUGUAAUAACAUAGGAUGUGUUAUGUUGUUUGAUACCUUCCAUUAUGCAAUCUUGAUUAAAAUGUGUUCCUAGUUGGAACUUCGCACAUUGUAUUGAUUGCUAUGCCUUGAACGUACAGGGGAGACUCUAUCCGCAGUACAGGAGAAAUCCUGUACGUUCGGCGAUCUGUUGGCGGCGCCGCGACCCGGCCAAAUAGGCGGGUGGUCGCGGGGCGUGACAGAUAAGAUGGUAUCAGAGCAUAAAAAGAAAUAUAAAAAGAAUAAUAGAAAAUGCUUUAGUUGGACCUAGGAAACCCUAGGAUAUCAAACCAUAGGAGAUUAAGGUUCGUGAGAGACGAGGACUUGUAACUAUUGGCGAAAAAUAAAUUGAUUGGGUUAUAUUGUAAAUCUCUAAAACGGAUGUUAGAGGUAGAUUCAAGGUGUGGUUUAUUCUCAACCGAGGGUGUUCAUGUUGGAUGCAUACAACAUGAAACAGAGUAGUGAGAAUAGACGACCUUGCGUGACUUUCGCCCGAUUUGAGUCGGUAUUAAGUGUUCGUGUUCGACCUAGAAGGUCGAGGAUUAAUAAGGUUGUCGCGUUUUAGGAAGUAAUAGCACCGCGUAGGCGAUCUUCAUUUAGAUCGGCGCGGGAUGGGCCAAGUGGUGUCCCUGGGCAAUUUGAGGCGAGCAGAGACUUGGAAUUUCGCGAGUUUUGGCGGCCCUCGUGACCUUUGAGAAAUUAACGGAAUCCUCGUCGUGUUAGUUCACUUUUGGUUAAAUUGACCAAAGUGCGUCGAGAAUAGUUGGACAAAGUCUAAUUGACAUUCCAACAAUGUUGGGAGGGUUAGAAUUAAGUUCUAAAAGAGUUAGAAUAGUUUUAGCAUUGCUCGGCACGAAUCGGAGUCGAAGCGGUGCAAAACCGAAAUUCUGGAAUAUGUGUUACCGGUUUAACACCAGGGGUGUACCGGUACAGCAUGGUUGUAACAAAGUGAAUUCUCGAAAGCCGAGAGUUGGACUUCAUCCAGGAUCGACUAAUUGUCGAGUGGGUAUGUAACAUACAGAAACUUCGAUAACCAAGUAUUGAACCUUGGUCAAAUUGACCAAAGAGUGAGGUUGGUACGCUUUGGAAAGGCCGAAGGCGUCAAAUAAUGCAAAAGUGCAUUACUGGGAUCUUCGAGAGUUUUGGAAAUCAAAAUUUGCAAGACUGCAGGUUUUAUGUUCUCGGAGACCGGUCCCUGUGGGGAGAGACCGGUCCCCGAAUGCGCAGGCAGCAAGAGGAGAGAAAAAAAGAAAAUCAACUAAGUCCCUGGUGGACAGCUCUCGGGAACCGGUCCCUGCAGGGAGAGACCGGUCCCUCAGCACGAAAAUUGCCCAGUUUGGGCAGUGCACUGGAUAAAAAGUGGGAGGGCCUAUUUGCGAAUAUUGCAACAUGUUAUAUGCCCUAUCCCUCUCCUCCACAGCGGCGUGAGCUACGAGAGGGCGUUGAGGACAAUGCAACCUAAGGGUUCGCAGCGAGCGCCGGGUGGUCGUAGAUACGCGACCCUGGUUGAGGAACCUGCUGCUGACGACGUCGUUGCAGGUAUGAGUUAUUGAUGCAAGCAUAUGUUUUGCAUGAUCUGAAGUUGAUGCACUGCAUGCAAUGGUUAUGUGAUUAAUUAUUAUUGUCAUACAUGAGCAUAGUAGAGACCGAGUGGACAGGUAAGUAUAGAUAUCCGGGCAUGCUCGUGUUGUAAGGGCGCAAUACCUGCCAGUAUAGGUAUAGAGCUAGAUGGCACUAGCGAAGUGCUAGAAGUAAUCUAUGACGAGAAGUAAGACUCACGGUAGAGAUAGAAGUAGCGAAACGACUCUCAGAGCAAUAUGAGUAGCAAAUUGCGAGAGUUGAGCCAUAAUGCUUAUGAGAACACCCGAGUGGUCCGAAAAUUUCGGAUGUCAUUCUGGUAGAUCAAACAGUGAAAGUAGCAUCACUGUUGAGUGAACGGUCGAUUAGUGGCGAAGUUUGAGCACGUGGGCCUAGUAGUAACUCAAGGUGAGGUAGGCAGUUGUGCUCGUGCGGCCGGGGUGCACAGGUAAGAUUGCCUAAUGCUAAAUUUCGUGUGGAACGCUGUAGAGGCGUAGAGCGCUCAAGUGUAGAUACCCAUAGAGUGCGGAUGUGGAUUCAGCCGAGAGAGUGUACUGGCAGUAGCACUUGAGUAUUGCUAGGUGUGAAGCGUGCCAUGGAUCACUAGUGGGACUGGUGACUCACAUUAGGUGCAUAGUAGCCGGUAGCGGUACGUGUGACUCGGUUGAGCAUGUCGUGUGGGACGACGACGGCGGGUAGUGCUUGGGGACGACCCGUGCCUGGACCAUUUGUGGACUGUGGAGCCUGGGCCCAUCGGGCAGGCACAGUCAGCUGUGAGUGACAGCGGCCCGGUACCUACGGGUAGAGCAGAGUUCUGGUCAGGACGGUAGUCCGAGCUUAGAUCCGGAGCGUGGAAUGCUACGUGAUAGAUUGUGUGACCGAUGGUACACCGAGUAUGGUUGUGACCCAACCCGAGGACUUGACGUGGUUUGGGGUCUUAGUUGCUCCUGGUUGGAGUGUGUGCGAAUUCCCAAGUGAGAAUUUCGCCCGAUGAUGAAUCGGUCUGCAUUUGCGAGCGAGAGACGCUGCGUAUUGAGACAAGUUUAGGCGGUAGGCCUACGUAGGAUCGAUGGCCUUUGGUCCACCUGUGGAGACCGAAGAGAGCGAUUUGGCGGAUAGCCUUAUCGAGGGGGUUUGACUCGAAUUCACGAACGAAGCGCUCGUGUGAGCUAGUGGCGGAAGUAGUUUGAUGUUAAUCGUGGCAUGUGGUAUCAGAUGAUGAAGUACUCCUUGUGAGACAUCAAACUAAUGGAAAGCCACGUGAUGUUGGAGACUAUGCUCGUAAACGAACUAAAGCUUGAGAGGUACCGAAGUGGGCCAUCUCAAGUUAAAGUUAAGGGUUAGUACGAAAUUAGAGCACUCACGACGGAGCGAUGCAUCGGUGAUAUUGCUUCUAAGCAAUGUCGGUGGUCGAAUCAGAAUGUAUUCCCUGAAGGGAAGGUAAGUGCAAAGAAGAGUUCUUUGUGCACCGAAUGGCGAGUGGUGUUGGAGCGCGUAGAGUCGUCGAGUACCGACUUGAGCUGCCACUAUGACUUGCAAGACCGUGAUGCACUUCUGUAUCACACUUUGCAAAUAUGUUUAGGGUUAAACCCAUGUCCUUCAGUAUGAGCCGCUUCUGGAACCACGAUUGUGUGAGGCCGCUCUGGAGUGGGAGAAAGAGUUGGUACCCUCAAUUGCUCGCGGAGCUGGACAGAGGCGUGGUUUGAAUUUCGCGGACGAAAUUCUUUUUAAGAGGUGGAGAAUGUAACAUACCAGAUUUUGGUAUAAAAAUAAAAAUAAAUAAAAAUAGUGUGAGAAACUAUUUUUAUUGGAUUUGUAGAAGUAAAACAUAAGUCAGAAGUGACUUGUGCUGAAAUCGAAAUGAAAACAGAAAAUUUAGAAUUUUCUGUUGGAAACGGGACAAAUAAAUUAGCAGAAAAUGCACAGUCUCAGAAAAUUAUAAAAAUUGGAGGAUAGGUCAGAAAUAUUUUUAUGAGGCUAGAUUUAAAGUUUCAUAUUUUUCUGACACCCGUAGAGUGAGAAAUAAAAUCCGACAGCUAUCUGAUAAAGAUUACAGUUCGGUACAGUUUUCAGUGACCAAACGGGGUCGAAACUGAACCAGCGAUCGUCAGCUUGUUAAGUUAAGUAAAACCGAACAUGACUGUCAAGUUUGAGCUCAAACGGACAUUCAGGGAGCUCCGGUGAAAGUUAUCAGAUUUCAAGCUGCCUGGAGUGAAUAGUGUUUGAGGGGUAUUAUGAAGAAGCUGUUGCUUCUUCUUCUCCUUCGGCCGCACACCACACACGCACACGACACACACACACACACACGCAAGGAAAGGGAAAGAGAGAAAACUCCUUUUCUCUUUUUAGAUCUCUCCCAAAAUUGAAGGUUUUGGUGGAGAAGAAAGCUUGGAAGUUGAUCUUCAUCUUCUUUAUCUUCUUCCUCUCCAUUAGAGCAAGCUUUGAAGGUAAGCUUCAAAACCCUUUAAUGGCAUUUCUCUCUAGUUUGGUUUUCAAGCUCUAAGAAUGGGUUUAGAGGUAUUCUAGCAUGCUAAUUAGAGGUUUGAUGCUUGAAAUCAAGGCUCUAAUGGUGGAUUUUUACCUAGUUGUAAUUUAGGGCUCAAAAAUGCUAGUUUUGUAAAUAUGAGGGUUUGAUCUCAUUUGACCCUCUGUAAACCUAAUUGCUAGGUAAACGAACGCGUUGGCGAAGUCGGUUCGGCGAUUCGUCGAGCCGUUGCGAAGUUAUUAAAGAAAUGGACAUUUAGGCUUCGUUUUCGCCUGGAGGGCUGAGGCGACAUCGUAAGCCCAUGAAAACGGAUUUGAAGUAUCGUGGCACAUAACCGAAGACGUUUAAUUUCUGGAUCGUGAAUUGGAGGCCGUUCGGGUGGUCGCGCUAGAGAUCGGGCCAAACCGGGUGCCGGGUGCCGCGGGAGGCCGAUUGCAAGUGUCGACAAGCAAUUGGAACACGACUUGAGGUGGGUUGUGUUUGCCGAAGCGACUAGGUCCCCUGUAUGUCUAAGAGAAAUGAGAUUUCAUAUUGAUGCAUGUUGACAUAUAAUGUGAAAUGCUAAAGGAAUGCAUAUUGAUAUAAUGUAAGAAUGUGAAAAGAAGUAUGUUAACAUAUUAUAGAAUGCUAGAUAAAUGCAUGUGAUUAAUGAUUUGAAUGCAUAAGAUAAAGGGCAUAUGAAUGUUAACAUUAUAAGAAUAUGCUUAAAGAAAUGCAUAAUGAUAUGUUGUAGAGCAUGCAUGUGGAUAAUGCUAAAUAAUGAUAUGAUAAGCAUGAUAUAGAAAUAAUGAAUGCAAGUAUGUGGUUAAUGUUAAGAAAUGGAAAUGUGCAUAUGGACAAUCUAUAUACAUUAGAUCGAGUUGCACUAAACCUAGAGUCAUGGACAUAGGUUAAACAUGGAAGAUAUGAACCUAGUGUCUUGAACAUAAGUUGAACAAGUAUAGUGUGAACCUAGUGUCAUGAACCUAGUAAACACUUGUGGCAUUUGAGCAUACAUAUUUUGUACCAUUCAUGCAUGAUAGGGCUAAGUACAUGUGAACCUUGGUUGCUUUCAAUUACAUGUUUCUAACGAAGUUGAACAUAGAGAAAGGUAGAAGCAUAAUGGACAUGUAUGUUAGGACCCUAUUAUUGUGUGAAUGUGAGAGUUGGACUUGGACAUUAGUGAACAAAGGUGACAUGGACAAUAGAGUCAUUGAUUGACAUAGAGAACACAAUUGUUAAAUAUAGUUUAACCAAGAGUGGCAUUGAGACAAGAAUGACCUAGAGAGCGGUAUGAAUAAAUAGGUAGAAAACCUAUCAUAAUUGUGGCAUUUAUGGCAUUGUGGCUUAUGGCUAUACAUUCCCAAAUUGGGAAUUGGAUCAUACUCACAUUGAGUCUUGGCUUGAGGGAGGUCACUCCUCCUCAAGCGGUGUGUUUUCGAAAAUCGACACCAUAGUGAGCGAGGUCCCUGAAGACGGUCCCUAGGGGUGGUUUGAGGCCCCUUGCUUUGACGGAAUUUUGGGCUGUGAGUUCGAGGGAAACUGGGUAAACCUCGAUGCAAAUGGGUAAAAGCCAAGUGAAUGUACAUUAAGCGUUAUGAGCUAUAGAUUGAGUAUCCCUGUCGAGUGGAUUUGGGGCUGAGGUGUAUGUGAGACGUUUAUUAUCUCGAGCCUGGUAUUGGUGCGGUAUUCCACAGUUGAUUGACUCGAGACCGAGUCGGGUGGUUAGCUUGGCUAGGGUAGAAGAAAAUCUUAGGAGCAAGUAACCAAUAAUUGUAAAGUGACAAAAUAUAUAAAAUUAUGGAAAAGCUAUGAAUAGCAUGAUAGAAAGUAAAAUCCUUCAUUCUACUUGUAUAGUUGCAUGAUUCGCAUAUAGCAUGGCAUUAUUGCAUUCGUGAGGCAAGGCAUGGUUUUAUUAGUUGCAUAAUAAAGAUAUAUAUCUAUCUGUUUAUUGAACUAACUUGCAGUUGCCUCCCUUGGACCUAUUGGUCGAGCUUUUUCCUUGGGUGGCCGUAUCCACUGGGAACCAUGGAAUUGGUUCUCACCCCACGUGGUUUUGGGGUGUUACAGGUUCACACGUGAGCGACGCAGCGGCGCGAGGCGAGAGCGUAGCAUCAUAGUUAGCACCCUACCACCGAGACCAGAGAUAGCGGUACCCCGAGUCGGUUACUUAGGGAUGUAAAGAAUGAAAAGAUUCAACUUGUAAUAAGCAUGUUAAAUCGUAUUAUAUUUGGAAGUUAAGUGAAAGCUAAUGUAAAAAUCUAAUGAGAUUUGUGAUGUAAAAAUGUAUGAAUGUGUUCCUUGUUCCCAAACUCAACUUUGAUCUCGGUUCCCAAUGUGCGAAGUGGUUCCCAAUGUGCGAAGUGUCCCAAACUCAACUUUGAUCAAUUUCGAUCGAAGUUCGUAUUCGUACCUCGCAAUUUCACUUCCUUACAGCAGUUAUGUGAUAUGGGCUGUUCAUACAAACUCUUAUAAAAAAUCAAAAUAAUGUGUAUAACCAUUAACGCACAGACCCGCGACAGAGAAUUCUAUGCUAUGUGGUGGUAAUUGAAGUCAGGAUCAAAGGAACGUAGUUCAAGACUUGCUUCACUCCGAUUUCUUCUGAUGGAAAUUGCUUACACUAAGUGGGGUUAAAUUUCUUAAAGACACCUUGCCUAUUGCAUGGUAUAAACACCUGAUAAUUUGAUUCUAUCAAAUAGUUUGAUUCUUCUUCUUCCACAAUUUUGAAUUUUAGCACUCAUCUAUAAGUUGAUUUAUUUAUUUUCAUCACAAAACUAGUUAGAUUCUGUUCAUGCCAGAAUUAAAAUUAACACGCCGACCUAACCCACAUAUGAGCUAAAUAAAUAAGGGCACGUGGUACGCCGGGAGUCGGCAAUAGGGUGCCUGAAGGUCAAGAGCGUUUAGGCGGGAACGGUUCAGAAGUGGGGCGUAACUUUCAUGUGAAGUGGAGCGUAACUUCCAUGUGAAGUGGGGCGUAACUUUCAUGAGAAGUGGGGCGUAACUUCUAUGAGAAGUGGGGCGUAACUUCUAUAAUCAUGGCUACACCACUUUCCCCACUACUAUAAUCAACCAAUAAUGUGGGCCAAUAAGAUUUAUAAAUAGUAACUUUGAAGCAUGUAAUAAGGGUCUUUCUCUCCCCUGAACGAGAAGACCACCGCAUUUCCAAUACUUUCAUUUCCUGCAUUUAUCGUUAUCUAGGAGUAGUCUAUAUGUAAUCUUUUUUACCUGCAUUUACUGCUUUCCUAGGAGUAGUUUUUAAGUUAGGCCUCUGGAAUCUGUAUACCCCACGGGCACACUCUAUUGUAAUCUAGAUUUUCAAAGUCUGUAUGCCCUUCGGGCACACUCUGUUUUGUAUGAGUUUCCAAUUUCAGUUUAAUAUAUAAAGACAUUCGGCUCUUUCAGCCGAUCAGUCACUGUGUAUUCCAUCUAUUCGGCUUAUCAGCCGACCCAAAACCUUGUGCAUUCUGUACAUUCGGCUCUUCCAGCUGAACCAAGUCUAUAGUAAAGGUUUUCGAACUCGGCUGAUUCGAUCCCUCAUCAGCCAAAUCGCUUGAUCCAGUCGAAGGGCGCAAACUUCGAGGGUCACUAAUCCUAGCCGUUCUGCAUCCCGACGCGCUUCCCUAGAGAGAUCUUUGACCCGGUCAAAGAAGAGGGAGAAUUCGGCUCCUAACAAUUUAUGGCACGCCCGGUGGGACACACUCAGGUAUUCCCAAUCUAGACUUUGUCCUAUGGCUGACGAUAAUGCUAUGAACCUCCGGAAUAGAGCCAUUCCCAGGCCUUCAGGGAAUGACCAAGCUAGUAGCGCCGAAAUUGUGAAUGAGAAUCAGGCGGUACUACCUGUUGGAGGAGAGACUAGUGAACAGUCGGCUCAUCAAGAGCCGAGUCUAACUCAGGCACUCGGCCAUAUGACCCGAGUCUUGCAAAUUGUAGAUUAAAAUAUCCAUCAAAGUACCGCUCAACUAGAUACGGUGCUGACCGCCAUCACGGUCUACAAUGAAAAUAUUGUUCGAAUCAGAUACUUAUUUACCCGAAAUAAGCAAACUUACGGGGGGCAACAGGGGCCCCUAAAUAUGCCGGUGCAACAAAAUCCCGUCACGCCGGCGGUCUUACAGGCGCAACCGCAAAUGGCACCUUUCCAGGCUACUUAUAGGCCGGCGAAUAUAAACGUCGGCCCGCAAUCGGAGAUGGCAUCGGGUUUACCUCUUUUACCAGCUUACCAGCCCAAAACGUGGGCGUAAGGGCUAGGGGGCAGGCUCUGAAUAUGCAAGGAGUUAACCUAUUAUACCAAAUUUCGGUCUACCGCAAGGACCGAAUGUAGUACAAGCACAGGUUCCUUUCCAGGGGAACAAUAAUGAAAUAUACGCACGGAUUGAAGAAGCCAUCCGAAAUACUUUCGGAGUUGGCGCAAGGACGGCAAUGCGGCAUGUGUUUAGAUCUCCUUAUACCGCAAACAUCGACGUAGAGCAUCCGUAUCUGGCAAACUGAAAAAUGCCGAAGUUCGACAAGUUCUCGGGCGAUGAAACCGAGAAUACGAUCGAGCAUAUAGCCCGGUUCACGGCCCAAUAUAGAGAAGCGGCCGCUGACUCAUUUUUGAACUUAGAUUAUUUAACACGUCGUUAAUUAAAACGGCGUUUACUUGGUAUACAAGUUUAUCAGCUAAUUCCAUCCAAGAUUGGGACGAAUUGGAAAGAAAAUUUCAUGAACAAUUCUAUAGAUCGGAGCCACAAUUAUCGGUUGCCGACUUGGCUUUAUACCGACAAAAGUCAAGUGAAACGAUCGAAGAGUAUUUGAACCGUUUCAAAAUAGCCAAAACCUGGUGCUUUAUGAGAAUGCCGGAAUCAGAGUUCGCCAAAAUGGCGUUAAAUGGUCUGCAUUUUAAGAUAAAAGACCAUUUUGAAGAUAAGUAUUUUUCUAACCUAUUUGAUCUAGGUGUUCGAGUUGCCGAAUCUGAGCAAUUUCGGAAGAAAAGUGAGGACAAUCGGUUGCAAUGGAGCCGAUAUAAAAAGCAAAGCAAAGGCAAAGAAAAAUCCUUGAUAGAAGAACAGUCGGUUCAAGAAGAGCCGAGCCAAUCGAGUGAAAGUGAAGAAUCGGCUGAUGAAGCCGAGGUAUAUGCGGCCGGUAAAGAGCCGCUUUCUUCAAGGAGAAAUCCUUGAUAGAAGAACAUUCGGUUCUAGAAGAGCCGAACCAAUCGAGUAAAAGUAAAGAAUCAGCUGAUAAAGCCGAGGUAUAUGCGGUUGGGAUGAUAAAGAGCCGUUUUCAUUAAGCCAACCAAAACCAGCGAGACUAAAGCUUGGUUCUCGGCUGUGCCAUUGAGCAGUCGAUUUGGCACCAAUAGUCAUCCGAAUGUUCAUUCGAAAGACUAUUGGGGGGGCAUUGUUGAUGCCAAAAUUAAAAUUAACACACCGACCUAACCCACAUAUGAGCUAAAGAAAUAAGGACACGUGGUACACCAGGAGUCGGCAAUAGGGCGCCUAAAGGUCAAGAGCGUUUAGGUGGGAACGGUUCAGAAGUGCGGCGUAACUUCCAUGUGAAGUGGGGCGUAACUUCCAUGAUCAUGGCUAUACCACUUCUGCCACUACUAUAACCAACCAAUAAUAUGGGCUGAUAAGAUAUUAUAAAUAGUAACUUUGAAGCAUGUAAUAAGGGUCUUUCUCUCCCUUGAACGAGAAAACUACCGCAUUUUUAAUACUUUCCUUUUCUGCAUUUAUCGUUUUCUAGGAGUAGUCUACAUGUAAUCUUUUUCACCCGUAUUUACUGCUUUCUUAGGAGUAGUUUUUAAGUUAGAUCUCUGGAGUCUGUAUGCCCCACGGGCACACUCUGUUGUAAUCUAGAUUUUCAGAGUCUGUAUGCCCUUCGGGCACACUUUGUUUUGUAUAAGUUCCCAACUUCAGUUUAAUAUAUAAAGGCAUUCGGCUCUUUCAGCCGAUCAGUCACUGUGUAUUCCAUCUAUUCGGCUUAUCAGCCGACCCAAAACCUUGUACAUUCUGUACAUUCGGCUCUUCCAGCCGAGCCGAGUCUAUAGUAAAGAUCUUUGAACUCGACUUAUCCGAUCCCUCAUCAGCCAAAUCGCUUGAUCCAGUCGAAAGGCGCAAAUUUCGAGGGUCACUAAUCGUAGCCGUUCCGCAUCCCGAUGUGCUUUCCGAGAGAGAUCUUGGACCCGGUCAAAGAAGAGGGAGAAUUCGGCUCCCAACAGAUUCUAAUGACAAUCAGAUUUUUAGUAUGGAAUUUUUCCAACAUACAGCUGGAGCCUAGGUGAUAUAGGCUGAAGGCUUGGAGGUCCCAACCAAGCUAGGCCAAAUGUCUAGUGUACCUAGUGCUGGGAGUGCAUUGAGAGAAAAGAAAAGAAUAGUCUUCUAAAUUUAUAGAAGACGAUAGAGGGGUGAGAUGGAUUCAAAAAGAGGGUUCGGAUUGAAGUUAAUCUAUAUUGAAGAGGAGUAAGGUGUAUUUUUCUCUUGAUUAGUGGAUCUUAUUUCACCUACAUAUUUUUUAUUUAGUUGUUUUUUUCUUUUUUGCGAUAGUGUCAACAAUAACCUUUUCCUAAAGAGACGGAUUUAUCAUAAAAAUUCGAUUUGAUAUUUUCGUUGCGAAAUUCUAACUACUGGUACCGGAACGACUACCGAAUCAACAACAGUCGAUAUCAGAGCGAAUUGCCAAUUAAUUCUCAAAUUUUGGUAUCAAAACGAAUAUUAGAUUUCCAAGAUAUGGUGUUCUACAAAAGUUAUGGCCGAACUUAAUUAACGAUCAACCAAACAAGGGACGUAAACACCCACACCUGAGAUAUCUUCAUCCCUGGCUCUCCACCUUCGAUGAAAUAAAUAGAUCUUCAGUCACUGAUUUUUUUGAGACGAUUGUAAAAAGGUGUUACAAGUAAUAUAACAUUUCUUCUAACUUUUCCUGUUGUUGUCUUUCUCUUACGAGAGCAGAACUAUUUCCUUCCACCUUUUGCUUUCCAUUUUACAUACUAAAAUAUUCUCCCUAUAUAAUUCUUUGCUUAAAUUUUAUCUCAGAAAAUAUCAGAAUUUCCUAGUUUACGGUGUCACAGGUACCAAGGAAGUCAGUAAUCACUUAAGUCAUGUUUGGUUUAAGGAAUAAAAAAAAUAAAAAAUUUAUUUCUCUUUUUCUUCUAAAUGGUACUAAAAAUUUCUAUUAUCUUAUUAACUAGGUACGGACUCGCGCGAUGCGGCGGAAAAAAAAUACAGCAGUAAAUUAUUAUAAUUAUUAAUGUCACUUUUUUUUUCUAUUAUGUAUUAAUAUUUUUAAAUAUUAAUAUUUUGAACCUAUAAGAGUUUCAUGUGACGGAAAGAUAACACAAUAGUAAAUUAUUGUAGUUAUUAAUAUCACUUUAACUUAAAAUUUAUCCUAAAUGGUAUUAUAUAUAUAUAUAUAUUAUUAUAUAUUAAAAAAAUCAAAUUUAACAUUCAAAAGAAAAUCUAAACAAACAAUAUAAAAAUUCCAAGAGAUAUAUACAUAUACAUAUAUAUAUAUAAUAAUAAUCGAUCAACAAAGAGGGAGAGAGGGGUCCACUAACCCCUCUCCUGCAGGCUCCCUCAGCCGGUCCACCAUGAGGUGCCCAGCCUGCGGACCGCGUGCAGGAUUGCGGAGAGGGCAGCAUUAGUAUUUUUUUUCCUUUCUAAGACCUUAUAUAGAAGGCUUAGGAAAAAAUUUGGAAAACUGUAAAGAACCAUAGACAGCAAAUGAAAUCAAUCACUAAGUUGGGUGUAUUAAGUAUAGAAAUGCAUCCUAUGCAUCCAAUCAACCUGAACAGAGCCAAACAUACAUGUAGCAACAAAAUACUUAGGAAUUCUUUGUACACAUUUGCUGUCAAAGAGCGCCCCAAUUUGUAAACAAAUCAUAAAACUAAAAUUUAAGUUUGGUUUUUAAUUUUUUUUAAAACUACAGGGAGCCAGUUGGAAAAUUAGAAAUUUAAGAAGUGUAUGAAGGGCAAAAAAAAACCCAAAGUCAUUUUCAAAGACUAUUAAAUGGAUCAUUCAAUUCUAGAAAACUGUCAUUUUUAAGAUGUUAUAUAGAAAAAGAACAUUAUUCGUGAAGAAAAAAAAAAUCACAAAAGAAAACAUAAUAAAUUAUGACGGCAAGUAAAAUUCACAAAAAGAACCAUGAUAAAUUAUGACGGCAAGUAAUGAAAGCCAAUAAAAUUUUCCAAGUUAAUCUUCAAUUUUGACGUAUUUUAAUCUAGCAUAGUUUUACAACAGAUAAGCAAAAUUCACAAAUAAGAAAGUUUAAUAAAAUAAACAAUAAAUUCGGAUACCCUUUCCUAUAAAACCAUGCACUAUAUCAUGCUACAAUAUGCAAUGAAGAAGUUUAAGCCCCAAAAAUUGGUGAGGAAAAAAAACCAUCAUNAUUAAAAUUUAAUUUAUUUUUUUGUAUGUGGCCCACAACACUCGGGCUCGCAUCCACACCGGCUCGCACCCCCACGCCCACGCCCACGCCCACUCCCGCGCGGCCGCGUGCAAUAUAGUAGAAUAAGUACCUAGCAUAAAUAUUAACAAUGAAAGUUAAUACAAGCCGGAUAUAUGUAUAUAUUAUAGAUAUUUAUGCUAACUAUACUACCAUAGUACUAAGUCUUUGGUACUAUUGAAUUUUGCGUUGGAUGAACGGAUGUCACUAGGAUGAUAGUGAUUGGGUUAAAUUGAUAUGUCCCUAAGGUUGAUGAAUGGUUGGUUUAAUAGUAUAUCUAAUCGGUUGAAAAUGUCAAGGAUAAAUUUAAGCGGUAGAAACCUCAAUAGUGGCCGGGAGACUUGGACUAUCGAUAGGCAUAGUAGCCAGGAUCUAUAUAUAGUAUAUUAAUUCCCUAUAUAUAUUAUUAUAUAGUUAUAUAUAUAUAUAUGAUCUCAACAAAGAAGGACAGAGAUCCUCCUCCUCUCCCUCACUCCUCAUCGUCCGCCAUACUCCCUCUCCCUCAGGCUCCCUCAGCGGUCCGCCAUGAAGGUGCCGCCUGUGGACUGUCCUGCAAUUGUCGGAGAGGGCAGAAUAGUGUUUCCUAAAAUAAAAAUUUAAAUUCAAUCUUAAAUUUAUUUUAAAUUUGAAUCAAAUCACAUUAAAAAUUCUAAUUCUAAUUAUUCAAAUUAUAAUUUAAGAAUAAUUCAGAUUUAAAUUAAAAUUUAUAAUUCUCUAUAUACUGGAGGCUCAAAGUAAAAAAUUUGCAAAUUUUAGGUGCAAUUGGCGUGCCCAGCGCUCACCGCCGCAUUCCGCACCACCUGGCGCCAACUCGCGCGGCUAAACCCCGAGGGGGGCCGUCAAUCCGCCUCCCCCGCCCCCAUCGCACCGAUCGCGAAGGCCCGUCCCUUUAGAAAUCCCCGAUAAAAAUUUCAAUUAAAUUUAAUUUAUUUUUUUGUAUGUGGUCCAACCACAUCCGGGCUGCAUCCCACCGGCUCGCACCCCACGCCCCACAGCCCAAGUCCUCCGCGCGCGGCGCGUGCAAUAUAGUAGAAAUAAGUACCCUAGCAAUAAAUAUUAACAAAAUGAAAGUUAAUACAGCCGGAUUGCCUUCUAAAUAAUAAAGAACUAAAAUAUAAACUGAUAUCUAGUUAAUUAACAACACUACAAAAUAAAAAAAAAAAAGUAUAGAAAAGGAAAAAAAAAAAAAAAGAAAAAAAAGAGAGAUGAUGGUCCCACAAAAAAAGUGAAAAAAAAAAAAAAAUCUGCUCCACGCGGCCUCCACUCGGUCGCAUCCGCUGCUCGCGGCCGGUUCUAGGUGUCCACCAUCAUUCCAACCACACAUUUUUGCGUACAAAGGAAAACAAUUUAGCGCCACUAAUGACGCGGCACCAUUAAUAGUAUAAUAAUAUAAUACCUUACUCCUAUAUAUAUUUAUUCCUAUACUCACAAUGUAAGGCUCACUAAAUAGUAGAAAAGAUUACCCUCAUACUCAAUGGGCGCACAAAAAGCAAGGAAUUAUCUAUUUUUUAUAUGUAUUCACGUUGCCAGGUCAUAAUUAUUAUAUUUUAUCAAUAUAACUUUUUAAAAUUUUGAGUAGACUAUUGCUCCAAAACACGAUUCGGAGAAAUUAUCUACUAAUUCAUAAUUGAUAGAUAAUAUCUACUUUUAUUAAUAGAGAAUAUUGAGACGAAUAGUUCUUCUUUCAAAGUAAAUUUACGUGUAUUUUUAUGUUGUUUAUGUUUGUAACUACACUUGUACCGCGAAUGCCUUAGGACAGCUAAACACAUUGGUCAUCAGGGUUGCCUUACAGCAUCAUUGCUCUCUUUUUCGCCUUUUCUGAUCAUUUUCUUUUUCAUGGGAUACUUUUUUCAAUUAACUCUCUAUUUCCAAAGAAAAAGUCUACCUGUACUCCUAUAGGAAGGUGUAUAUCCUACACCCGUAUGAUCCAACGGCUAUUAUUAGAUCACUAGCACAGUAGCAGCUAACUUAAAUUGUUCUACACAUAAGUCUAUUAAAAAUGUUGUAAUCACUUUACAACCUGUUCUAUAGCCCUAAGAGUGUUCUAUUCUAACUAUACAAAGUGAGUGUUGACAAUCGAUAAACAAAGCUAGCUAUUAAGAGUGUUUUCUAUAUUAAUCUUUACAACUGUUCUAACUAUGUCUAUAAAGACUGUUAAAAGCCUAAAAUGAUAGCCACACGUCAUUUAAGCUUUAUAGCAAUGUUUUUAUUAAUAAUAAGUUAAGAUUGGGAAUGCAUACAUGCUUCGCCGAACCUGCAAAUCUGAUAAAAAAUAAUGCUAAUAAAAGAGUGUUCUUAUCAGCAUGCACAAGCAGGGUAAGAUUGAAGCGUUAAAACCAUGAUAUAGCAACAUAAUAUGGAAAGUUCAGAAGACUCUCCCAGAUUUCUAAAAAUUAAUCAGUAUAUUGAUCUCCAAAGUAAGAGUUUUGAACUCGCCAUCCAUCUCCAGAUUAAUCAGUAGAAUUAGAUCUCCGACAGUAUAAGUAAACAUGAAGAACUCAAAAUACGCUGUGUACGUGAAUUCAAUUCAAGAGAGAAACAUCACAUCCAUCAUAUCUUUCUCUUCUCUCUUUUUUGUUCUGUGCUAAGGUUUUUGUACAUCCAAUUGUCAUUCCCAAUAUGUGAAAUACCACAUAAUUGAAACUAACCAGGAUACAUAUACAGGAAAUUAAGAACGAUCAAUCUACAAUCAAGUUAGAUUCAGUUAUCUCUAAGAGUGUUGCUAGUUCUAACCAUAACCCCAUAUCGAGUUAUUCUAUUAUGCCUUUAAAUUAUUUAUUAGGGCCAUAAAUGGAUUUAUAGCAGUUACAACGUGAGUAGCCAAGUGUUAUGUGCAACUUUAAAGAAUGUUCUAUUAAGAUCAUAAGUGGUAAGAUUACAAUGCAUAGUAUGUUCGAACUAUAAUCCUGGAUAGAAAAAUCUAUAAGUCCUAAAAAUGUUCUACCUAUGACAAACAGCGUGUUCACAACCAUAAACUAAUAAUUAGUGUUCUAAUUAAGCUGUAAGAGUGUUCUUUAUUGCCAUAAGAGUGUCAGCUUGAUCAAAGCAUAUUGUUAGCAAACACACAAAUCUAUAAAAAGUGUUCUACUAAGAGAGUGUUCUUAUAAGUUCUAAGACUAAACUCCUUUAUGCAUAAAAGUGACAGAUUGUAAUGAAAUCAUAAUUCUAGCCAACAAUAGCAUAUAUAAUACUAAACACAAUUAGCUUUAUUUCAAUAAAGUAUACACUAAAAAUAAUAAUGCUUAUUUUACAAAUGCAUAAAAUAAGUAAAUAUACCAUGCUGAGUAAACCCUAAAUAAAUGAAUCAGCUAGUACGUGGGCAAAUCCGCAGGCACGCAUAGAAAACCUAGCUGCACCCUAAACUCUGCAAAAUGAAAUUUCUAGUAUAAGAAAUUUAAAAUUAGAAAAUAAGAGAUGAUAGAAAUCAAUAUCCUGGUUGAGUAGAAUCCUCUUUGUUUGUGUUGUGGCGAUUACUCCGAACUCGUUCCAAUUCGACGCUCACCACUGAAGGAAGUAAGCGUCACAGGUACUCGGGAUGGACAGGGGACAUUGAGAGGCGACCUCCUACCAUGGAGAAAUGGCGAGGCCGAGAGACACCCUAGAACGACUUCGGACACGAGAUGUGUGGAACGAGCGCUGCAGAACUUUGCUCGAGUGGAUGGAGUGCCCUGGCGAGCGAUGAGCGAAGCGAAGCGAGAGAAACAGAAAGGGAGAGCGCGAGAAUGAGAGACAAGGUGACGAGGAAGGCGCGAGAUCAACGGGAGAGGCGAGGGAGCGAGCGGGACCGAGGGACGAGCAGGACGAGAGGAAGUGUAGGGAGAGAGAGAGAGAGGAGAUGUGUAGUAGGAGUUAGCUUUAGGAAGAAAAAAUAGAAAGGGGCAGUGNNNNNNNNNNNNNNNNNNNNNNNNNNNNNNNNNNNNNNNNNNNNNNNNNNNNNNNNNNNNNNNNNNNNNNNNNNNNNNNNNNNNNNNNNNNNNNNNNNNNAACAGAGAAGAUCUACCUAUAGAUCGCACAACUCGCCAUAAUGUAAAGUUGUUUCCCCAUCCGGUCCUCUUGUGGUAUAAAUAUAAUUAGUGGAAAGUGCCAUUCUGAUAGAAAUAUGAUUCCACACCCGCAAGUGCAUGCCCAAGAUGUUUCGCUAAUUGAGGAACAUUGAUACUUUCUGUGGAAAAGGAUUGUACUCGGAAGCCAAAGUUCGAGCAAACGGUAGGGAUUAUACGGCUGAUGUGUGCAAUUUGUUCCCAACGAAGUUGAUGAACACUGUACUGAUAGAAUAUUAUAACUCAUAGACCUCUUCGGAUACUUCACAUUCCUAGAGCAUUUGAUCAUAAUCAGCAACCAUGCUUAGAACAAAAUAUACGAAUAUGGCAGGAUGGCCACACAAUAAUGGCGCCGCUCGACUGAGAUGAUCCGUGCUCGCUUUAGCAUUAAAAAGGAGAAGCCGCCGCAUCCAUAAAAAAUUCAUUUGAGUGAA